rnacentral:lncRNA from 1 species
ACCCUAAGUCCGCCUCGCCCGACCCCUCCUAUCCGCCCGACCCCAGUUCCGUCUCGUCCGACCCUGUCUGUUCCGCCGACCCUUGUCCGCCUCGCCCGAGGGCUUGGCUGUGAUCUUUUUCUUCAACUCGAGGGUGUAUGUGUAAAACUUGGGAACCCUUCAGCGCUUGCGUCUGAGGAUCCCAGUUAUCACAUCCUCUAGUUCAAGGAUCAGACCACUAGUUUCCCUUCCUACCCUUACCUGUUGAUCAUCAUCAGCUCUCUCAAACCGCCUCAACCUCCUGCUCUUUGUCGCAAGUUUCUGGACUCAGGCGAGGCAGUGUUGCUGUCGAAUCAAACGUUUAAGCUAACCCUUGCAUUGCAUUCGUGUAGAGCUGCACCUCGCUAACGGCUUCUACGAGCUGCACCCGGCGCUAGAAGAAGAAGCUGUAGCCGAGUUCCUGCCCGCGGAAGUCGAAGCCGCCCCCGAAGUCGAGCAGUUCUAGCCCUCUUUGCUUGCAGGCAAGCCCCGGUUGCAUGAAAAUCCUACGUGUUUUGUCAAACUUGCGCAUGCCUUCCGUAUAGCAUGUUGUGCAUUUACGUUAGGAGUUGUGUGAAACCCUAGAUGCAUGACCUAGUAACCCUUGAGAUGAGUACUAGCUGUUGGACCGAGUAGCUGCAUUGCUUAAAUAGGAGACGGUAAAAGCCGAGUGAUCUCCUGUCACUCGCGAGUUGUAGGAGUUGCAUGUUUUACUCUCCUGUUACAACUAUAAGGACGAUGGACGGGGCAGGGUUUGGUAACUCUUUGGUGGUCGAAUGGACGCCCCAUCUGUCUAUGAAAAUUGGUUAAGGCCCGACAGUGGUGGUGUUCGUGAUCAAGUGUUUGAAAGUACUAGCCUCAUACUUAGUAUGGGAUGAGGAAGCCUAGUACCUGAUUGAACCUAGACGUGAGCGGUCACCCCAUUGUUCUUGGAACGGAGUUUCCCCUGCUGGUUGUCGCACGUGGUGGCAAAGUGUGGUCACAGAACGGCAGAGGCCGGGUCUGUGGAACCUUGCACCAAAGGAAAUGGGCCCAACACGGGUUAGGGGAUUGAUGGGGAAGGCCGACACAGGAAGCGACCUCCGGGUGCGCGGAUGUCGUGAGGCUAGGUUCACCAUGCAUGGUUAAAGAACUCGAAUCGAUUCGUCUGCCUUUCACAGUCUGAGAUUUCUUGAUCGCUAUGUCACCCUGAGUAAAUGAGGAAUCUGAUGAUGGCAAUAUUGUUGUUUUAUCUACACAUCUUGAUUAGCUUGAUGUUUGCUUAGAAUAGGUUGCACAACUUAGACUGGUAAGUGAACCUAGAACCGGAGCUAAAACUUGAAAUUAAGGUUACUUAGUGCUUUUGGCAAACAAACCCCUCAGCCAAGAAGCCUUGCAUGUCUAGUUAGAAGAGUCGCUGACUCCCGGGUUAAGUCUUGUUGAGCUUAGUAGCUCAGCCUUGUUGUGGCUCCUGUUUUUCAGGUGAAGUUGUUGUUCCCGACCCCUCCCUUGCUGGCGCUUGGCCGUCCCAGCUCCCGCCAGGCUGGACGGUCGAGUGGGACCCCUCCUCGGACGGCGAGGAGAGGACUCAGUGAUGUUCUGGUUGGCCUCGCCCGGACAUCCGACCCCGACGAAGUCUUCCGCUAGUGUUUUCUCUGUCGUUUUCUUUGAACUUGUAAAACUCUGAUGCAAAUUUUUAUGGCCGAACUAAUCAAGUAAGACUUGCUUAACUCAAUGGACUUGUUGUAUUCUCUGUAACCGCUCACCGUCGUGUGGGUUUGCUAGACUCGAUCCUGUUAAGUGGUUAAAUCGGAGGAAAUCCGACGGCACCCCGUGUUAGCUCGGUUUAAGCAGAAGUGUCGCAUGUUAGGCGACUUAACCUUGCUCAAUCAAGCUAAUCCGAGGUGGUUCCGCCACACCCACCCUCUUCAAGGAAAACCUUAUCAUCCUUGACCUUGAAGGCCUAGAUGUUAUCCUUGGCAUGGAUUGGAUGGCCCGACAUCAUGUUGUUCUAGACACAUCAGCCCGAUCUCUUUACAUCAGCUCACCCUCUCAUGGCAGUUCUACCCUAUCCUUGACCCAUCCUGAGUCUUCGACUCCUUGUGCCUAUCCUCUCUUGGGAGCCCGUUUAGAAGACCUCCCUGUUAUCUGUGAGUACCCAGAUGUGUUUCCAGAAGACUUGCCAGGCAUGCCACCUGACAGAGAAGUUGAGUUUUCUAUAGAGUUGGUUCCUGGCACAGCCCCGGUAUCUAAGAGACCCUAUCGGAUGCCACCCGCUGAGUUAGCCGUGUUGAAGACCCAGUUGCAUGAUCUGUUGGAAAAGGGCUUCAUUCGACCCAGUACAUCAUCUUGGGGUUGCCCCGCCUUGUUUGUGAAGAAGAAAGACGGCAGUUUACGGAUGUGUGUGGAUUACCGACCCCUCAAUGCGGUAACAGUCAAGAACAAGUACCCACUGCCCCGCAUUGAUGUCUUGUUCGAUCAGUUAGCCGGAGCAAAAGUGUUCUCCAAGAUCGAUCUUCGUUCUGGUUAUCACCAAAUCAAGAUUCGACCUUGCGACAUACCCAAGACAGCUUUCUCUACCAGAUAUGGACUGUAUGAGUACCUAGUCAUGUCCUUUGGACUCACCAAUGCACCCGCUUACUUCAUGUACCUUAUGAACUCGGUGUUUAUGCCCGAGCUGGACAAGUUUGUAGUGGUGUUCAUUGACGAUAUCCUAGUGUACUCGAAGAACGAGGAAGAGCAUGCCAACCACCUUCAUACAGUUCUCCAACGACUGAGAGAUCACCAGCUUUAUGCAAAGUUCUCCAAGUGUGAGUUUUGGUUAGAUAGUGUCAAGUUUUUGGGACACACUAUCUCCAAGGACGGUAUCGCCGUGGAUCCCAGUAAGGUGCAAGAAGUCAUGGAAUGGAAAUCCCCUGCCUCGGUACACCAGAUCAGGAGUUUCCUUGGACUGGCAGGUUACUAUCGGUGUUUCAUACCGGAUUUCUCCAAGAUAGCUAAGCCGAUGACCGAGUUGCUGAAGAAAGAGGUCAAGUUUGUGUGGGACACCAAGUGUGAAGAAGCUUUCAAGACCCUGAAGCACUUGCUAACCACCGCCCCAGUUUUGGCUCAACCCGACCCCUCUAGGCCGUAUGACGUAUACUGUGACGCCUCUGGCACUGGACUCGGAUGUGUUCUUAUGCAAGACAGCCGAGUCAUUGCCUAUGCCUCACGUGCGUUACGACCUCAUGAGCUGAACUACCCGACCCAUGACCUUGAGUUGGCAGCAGUGGUACAUGCCUUGAAGAUAUGGAGGCACUACUUAAUAGGAGCUCACUGCAACAUCUACACCGACCACAAGAGCCUCAAGUACAGCUUCACGCAAGCCGACCUCAACAUGCGUCAGAGAAGAUGGCUGGAGUUGAUAAAGGAUUAUGAGUUGGAAGUGCACUAUCAUCCUGGCAAGGCCAAUGUGGUAGCCGAUGCCCUCAGUCGCAAACCCCAUUGCCACUGCUUGUUGUCAACAGCCUUCACCAACACUCUGUGUCACGAGAUGGGAAAACUAAGUCUAGAGAUUGUUCCCCAUGGAACCCUUGAUCACAUCAUCCUUAACUCAGUUUUGGAGGACCGAAUUCGGUCAGCACAAGCUAAGGAUGAAGAAAUAAAACGGAUCAUCAGUAAGAUCUCAGUAAAGGAUGAAGGAUAUAAGCAAUUCCGUCAGGACAAAACGGGAGGUGUGUACUGUGGAAACCGACUAGUAGUGCCCGCCGACCCCGAGUUGAGGAAGCAGAUCCUAGAUGAAGCUCAUCUUUCCAAGUUCUCAAUCCACCCUGGCAGCAACAAGAUGUACCAUGAUCUCCGUCAGACCUUUUGGUGGAGUGGGAUGAAACCGGAGAUAGCUCGUUAUGUUUCAGAAUGUGACACUUGUCAACGUGUCAAGGCCAGUCACUUGAAGGUAGCAGGAACCUUGUAGCCGCUACCUAUUCCCUCUUGGAAAUGGGAAGACAUCAGCAUGGACUUCAUAGUUGGGUUACCCCUUACAACUCAACGGUAUGAUUCUAUCUGGGUUAUAGUGGACCGUCUGACCAAGACAGCACAUUUCUUUCCUGUUCGUACCACCUACACAGUCAAGCAAUAUGCAGAGUUGUACCUCGACCGUAUCGUUUCCCUACAUGGUGUACCCAAGACCAUCAUCUCUGAUCGAGGAGUUCAGUUUGUGGCCCGUUUUUGGGAGCAAUUACAAACAUCCAUGGGCACCAAGCUCAUUCGAAGCUCAACGUAUCAUCCCCAAACCGAUGGCCAAACUGAGAGAGUAAACCAGAUCCUCGAAGACAUGUUAAGAGCUUGUGUCAUCCACUAUGACAAAAACUGGGACAAGUGCCUGCCCUUAGCAGAGUUCUCCUACAAUAACAGCUAUCAGGCCAGUUUGAAGAUGGCACCGUUUGAGGCCCUGUACGGCCGAAGAUGCAGGACACCCUUGAACUGGUCCCAACCAGGAGAGAGAUAGGUUUAUGGCCCUGACUUAGUGGCAGAAGCCGAGGAGCAAGUGAAGGUAAUUCAGGCAAAUCUCAAGGCUGCCCAAUCUCGACAGAAGAGUUACUCCGACCAGCGGAGAAGACCCCUGCAGUUCGACCUUGGUGAUCAUGUGUACCUUCGAGUCUCCCCAACCAAAGGAGUGCAACGGUUUGGAAUAAAGGGGCAAGUUAGCUCCCUGCUAUGUUGGCCCUUAUGAGAUUGUGGAGAAAUGUGGACCCGUUGCUUACCGGAUCCAACUCCCAGAACAGCUAUCAGCCAUACAUGAUGUUUUCCAUGUGUCUCAGUUGAAGAAAUGUGUCCGAGUUCCAGCGGAGAUCUUAGAACAAGAACAGCUUCAAGUAGAACCUGACCUGACCUACGCCGAGUACCCAGAUCGAGUUCUUGACCAAAAGGAAAGGCACACCCGACGCCAAGUGGUAAAGAUGUACAAGAUCCUCUGGAGAAACCACACCGAAGAUGAAGCAACAUGGGAAACGGACGAAUAUCUGAACAAGCGUUUCCCAGGUUUUCUGUCCCAUCAAGAAGGUAAAAGCAGCACACCCUUGAUCUUUGAAUCUCGGGACGAGAUUCUUUUUAAGAGGGGUAGGCUGUAACGACCGACCCCUAACCUUUCCCAGUUAGGUUUGAUCUCAGCCCUUAACCUUAGUCAGCUGUUUUGUUUGACCGCACCUAAGUGCUCAGUCUUCCGCCAGUUCCGACCCCUGGAUCCGACCCCUUCCUGCUUCGUUCCUUUCCCGACCCCGGCGAGCUCAGCCCUCCGUCGGAUCCUGCUAAUCUUCCUCACCCGUCCGAUCUAUCCCCGGUGGACCCGCGAGAUCUUUUUCCAGAUCCCCCGCGCCAGCCGCACUCGAGUUGCAUGGCCGCUUCAGAGUCUUCCUGCCGCGUGGCUCAUCUUCUCCGACGCCAUCGCCCAGUUUUGUCUCUGGCAAGGAACAGAGUGGGUUCCCCAAUGGCAGCGGAAGCCCUCUGCACCCCUUUCUGCAGAACCUCGUCUCCCGCGCCCAUCAUCACGCCACCAGAUCCCGGCCCCAGAGCCCGAUGUCGCCCGUCUUUUCCGUCCCUUUCAGCAACAGUUGCGCCGUCCGGUCGUCGCUACGCGACGAUUCCCCCACCGCCAACCCCGACCGCGGCCGCGACAGUUCCUUUUCCCCGCUCUGUCAGAAGCCGCCCGACAAUCUGUUGUUCUGCGCUCUCCCCCGCGCUCGCGUCCGCUUGUAUUCUCACCUGUGCGCCCUCGAUCCUAGCGCCGUUUAACCGGUCGCUUCUAUCACCUCUUCCGCAUGACGACGCCCGCUCUCCGCCAAAUCCCAACCACCGGUCUACCCGCGCCUACGCCGCCCUGACGGUAUAGCGCAAUGAUCGCUGGCGUCACCCCCGGAGUUCUGCAGCACCGCCCUGUUUGCUCAAUCGCCGCCAUGGCAGAGCACUCCAUUGUUUCUCCCCGGCCUUCGCGCCGCUCCCCUUCUCUCUCUCCGUGACGUUUCCGUUCCUCUGCUCCAGCAGCUAUAAAAGGAAUGCCCCCGUCACCGGAGUUCCCUCCGCCUUUGUUGCCUUCAGCCUCCUCUAGCUACCUGCUCAAGCUCCUAGCGCCACCCACCCCGUUCUUGAGAAGUUCUUCUCCCAGUUCCUUCUCAGUUCCUCCAAGUCACCCAGCAGCUUGCUCCUUUGUGCUGCGUAGAGCUCUCUUGUGAUCCGCAAGAAGCAGCGCCGCCGCUGGAGCAUCGCCAGUCUUAGUCCUUGCUUGAAGCUUUAGUCCCUCCGCCCAAGUCUGCCUCUUCCCGACCCCAAGCUUUCCUUUCAGGAAGAAGGUGAGUUGCCGACCCUAAGUCCGCCUCGCCCGACCCCUCCUAUCCGCCCGACCCCAGUUCCGUCUCGUCCGACCCUGUCUGUUCCGCCGACCCUUGUCCGCCUCGCCCGAGGGCUUGGCUGUGAUCUUUUUCUUCAACUCGAGGGUGUAUGUGUAAAACUUGGGAACCCUUCAGCGCUUGCGUCUGAGGAUCCCAGUUAUCACAUCCUCUAGUUCAAGGAUCAGACCACUAGUUUCCCUUCCUACCCUUACCAGUUGAUCAUCAUCAGCUCUCUUGAACCACCAUAACCUCCUGCUCUUUGUCGCAAGUUUCUGGACUCAGGCGAGCCAGUGUUGCUGUUUGAAUAAACGUUUAAGCUAACCCUUGCAUUGCAUUCGUGUAGAGCUGCACCUCACCGACGGCUUCUACGAGUUGCACCCGGCGCCACAAGAAGAAGCUGUAGCCGAGUUCCUGCCCGCGGAAGCCGAAGCCGCCCCAGAAGUCGAGCAGCUUCCGUCCCCUUUGCUCGCAGGCAAGCCCCGGUUGCAUGAGAAUCCUACGUGUUUUGCCAAACUUGCGCAUGCCUUCCGUAUAGCAUGUUUGUGCAUUUACGUUUAGGAGUUGUGUGAAACCCUAGAUGCACGACCUCGUAACCCUUGAUAUGAGCACUAGCUAUUGGACCGAGUAGCUGCAUUGCUUAAAUAGGAGACGGUAAAAGCCGAGUGAUCUCCUGUCACUCGCGAGUUGUAGGAGUUGCAUGAUUUACUAUCCUAUUACAACUAUAAGGACGAGGGACGGGGCAGGGUUUUGGGUAACUCUUUGGUGGUCGGAUGGUCGCCCCGUCUGUCUAUGAAAACUUGCUAAGGCCCGACAGUGGUGGUGUUCGUGAUCAAGUGUUUGAAAGUACUAGCCUCAUACUUAGUAUGGGAUGAGGAAGCCUAGUACCUGAUUGAACCUAGACGUGAGCGGUCGCCCCAUUGUUCUUGGAACGGAGUUUCCCCUGCUGGUUGUCGCACGUGGUGGCAAUGUGUGGUCACAGAACGGCAGAGGCCGGGUCUGUGGAACCUUGCACCAAAGGAAAUGGGCCCGACACGGGUUAGGGGAUUGAUGGGGAAGGCCGAUACAGGAAGCGACCUCCGGGUGCGCGGAUGUCGUGAGGCUAGGUUCACCAUGCAUGGUUAAAGAACUCGAAUCGAUUCGUCUGCCUCUCACAGUCUGAGAUUUCUUGAUCGCUACGUCACCCUGAGUAAAUGAGGAAUCUGAUGAUGGCAAUGUUGUUGUUAUAUCUACACAUCUUCUUUGGCUCUAUGAUUGCUUAGAAUAGGUGGCACAACCUAGACUGGUAAGUGAAUCUAGAACCGGAGCUAAAACCUGAAAAUAAGGUUAAUUAGUGCUUUUGGCAAACAAACCCCUCAGCCAAGAAGCCUUGCAUGUCUAGUUGGAAGAGUAGUUGACUCCUCCCCGGUUAAGUCUUGUUGAGCUUAGUAGCUCAGCCUUGUUGUGGCUCCUGUUUUUCCAGGUGAAGUUGCUGUUCCCGACCCCUCUCUGGUUGGUGCUUGGCCGCCCCAGCUCCCGCCAGGCUGGACGGUCGAGUGGGACCCCUCCUCGGACGGCGAGGAGAGGACUCAGUGAUGUUCUGGUUGGCCUCGCCCAGACAUCCGACCCCGACGAAGUCUUCCGCUAGUGUUUUCUCUGUUGUUCUUUUGUUAUAAAACUCUGAUGUUAAUUUUUAUGGCCGAACUAAUGGAGUAAGACUGUUUAAUUCAGUGGACUUGUUGUAUUCUCUGUAACCGCUCACCUUCGUGUGGGUUUGCUAGACUCGAUCCUGUUAAGUGGUUAAAUCGGAUGAAAUCCGAUGGCACCCCGUGUUAGCUCGGUUUAAGCAGAAGUGUCGCGUGUUAGGCGACUUAACCUUGCUUAAUCAAGCUAAUCCGAGGUGGUUCCGCCACACUUUAGCUACCCACAAAUCAUAUUUAUGGUUAGCAACUAUCUCUUUCUUGUCGUCGGCCUUCACCAGUUCCAUGGUCUUGGACGGUUCCUUGAUGGAUCCAUCUAGGAUCCCCAUCAGCUGCGCGCCACGCACAGCCAGGAAAAGCUGAGCUUUUCACAAGACGUAAUUUUCCUGUGUGAGCUUUUCAGCUAUGGGAGCUCCGAGAGGCACCGCCGGCGAGCUUGAAGAUGACGCCAUUGAGGAGGUGGUAGUCGGGUAGAUGUGUUGUGGAAGAAGGGGGCUCUGAUUACCAUAACGCCAUGGAGGAGGUGGUAGUCGGGUAGAUGUGUUGUGGAAGAAGGGGGCUCUGAUUACCAUGUAAAAUGAUAGAACGUGGUUGCCUAUCUUGGGUCGCCAUGGUUGCACGUUAAUAUAUAGGGAGAGUCCCAACAGAUUACAUCCUAAGGCGUUGCAAAUAUUCGGUUCGGUUGGAUAUGAUUACAACAAGAUUCCUAUCACUAACAACCGAACGAAAGUCUCAACACCUAUAUCUGUAGGAUUACAUAAUCCAAAUUGCAUAUGAUGAUAUCUCUAAUUCCAACAUGUAAUAGAGUAGCGCACACUUUGGCGGCACGCAAAGAUGUAAGUAUAGUCCUCAUGAUGAUGUCCUAUCUUGGGAUGGUAUGUUUCCGGGUGUGGAGGACCUGGUGGCUAGUGACACCACUGGGUCCUCAUUGCGGUGGAGCAGAGCAAUGGGUGUGUCGCAGCACCAGCGUGGAGCGAUGCGAAGGGGGUGAAGUGGUGAACAGGCAUCGAUAAUGAUAUAAACAAAAACAAUCAAGUUACAUGGAAAAUUGGCAAUUGAGGGUGAUUCACUGCUGGAAAACGGACCUUUAGGCCCGGUUGGUAGGGGUCAAAUUUCCCAAAAAUUCAUUUGGGAUUAAUUUUUUGAGAUAAAUGGGUUCUUUACUCCCGGGUCAUCCACUCGGGAUUAAAGGGGGCCUUUAGUUCCGGUUGGUGUUUCCAACCAGGACUAAAGUGUUUUGAAAAAAAUUAAAAAAAAGACGCAAGCCGCCCGCCGCCCGCCGCCCGCCCCGACACCAGCCACACGCCGCUCCGACCUCCGCUCUGCCCCGGCUCUGGCCUCCACCCCAACCCUGACCCCAGCCCCAGCCUCCGCUCCGCCCCGCGCCGCUCCAUCCCGGCGCCGUCCCGUUCCGGCCUCCGCGCCGCUCCGUCGCUUCGAGCAAUUACUGAGAGGGACAUAGGAAUCAGAGGGCGAAGGAUUUUUCAGAGUCAUGCCUCUUGAUUGAGAUCGAUUUUCAAGGGGGGAGGGGGCAGAUGGAGGUCCUGCGCCUGCUCCCGCGUGUCCUGCACCUGUGCGCCACUGCUCGACGUCCUACCCACGCGCCGUGCCUGCGAGUCCCCCGCUCGCCGCGCGCUGCCGCAGCUCACUCGCCGUGCUCCGUCGCCCCAUCGCCGUCACUGCCCUACACCUCACCCUGCUACUACUCCUCACUGCCAGUGUGAGGCGAGCAGAAGGGGAAGGGGAGGGGCAGCAGGGGAGGGGGCGGCCACCCACACCGGAGGGAAAGGAGAAUGGAGGAAGGAGAGGAGGAGGAAGAAGAAGAAAGGGAGAGUAGCAGAAGAAAGACUUGCGCGUGAAAGACUUGUACGCGUGGAUAAGGAGAGGGGGGCAGGAAGCUCCUUUUGUCCCGGUUGGAAAUUCCAACUGGGACAAAAGAUCUACCCUUUUUAUCCCGAUUGGUAAUUCCAACUGGGAUAAAAGAUUAAUUCCCGGUUGGAAUUUCCAACCGGGAUAAAAGGGGCGGACAUCAUUGUCAGAUCUUUUCAACCGGGACUAAAGUCCCUCCCGUCGGUGUCCUUGCGGUACUUAUUUUUGAACCUGGACUAAAGCCACUUUAGUCACGGGUCAAAUAUUAACCGGAACAAAAGGGGGGGAUGGAAGGUCAGUUCUCUAGUAGUAAUCCCUAUUCCUGUGUGAGGAAUCAGGAUGCAGCGUGCAUGCAUAUCGUUUUACUUAUUCCGGCACUCUCUCUAUAUAUAAAUGAUGGACCGUGAGAUGGAAAAGUUAAUAAUAAGUUUUGAAUUGAAAUUGGGAAAGUUAAGAAAAAGUUUUUCAAUUCAAGUUAUUAUGAUGCAUAACAUUUGGAUUGAUUUAUCAGUCUACACCCAACUAUAUCUGGCAUCAAUACUGAAAUCAAGCCAGUUUUCUAGCAGCACUAAUAAAGUGGCAGCAGCAGGUGGUGUCCAUGUUAGUGCAGGACAUAACAUUCCCAAGACGUCUCUCCAGGCAGUUUCUAAGGCAGGCUUUGUCGCACCUUGGUAGAUGAAAGCACAUCGCUACAUAAUUGUAAAUUUAAAAGUAAUGGUCAAAGAUCGAUUGUGUCAAAUCUAAAAUGUUUGUAAAAAAGAAGACGGUAAGACCAUGUGCACAUGUGUAAAUACAAUACGUACAUUUUUGUCCUCCAUGCACAAGAGAUGGUGACAAGACCGCCAUGGCUACGACCAUGACCGUCAAAACAGAACCUUGCUGACAUGUGCCAUGAUAGAUGGUGUUUCUAGCUGUUGCUCUUGCGUUUGGUUGUGAGGUUGCCGGGUUAUUGAAAUGCAAUGCUCUGUGUCCAUGUUAAUAUAGAGGCAGGAGGCUGGAGCAAACAUGGCAGUGAAUUAACUCUAGCCAUAUUCUUUGCUACAUUGUAUAGAUGAUAGAUUGGAUAACUCAUGUCAUACUAGUAGAAAUUAUCUUUCAGACCAUAUAUCAUAAACUUCAUUUUUAGCAUUCAUUUAUCAAAUUUAUGAAAUAUUUACCGUUCGUGUUCAUAUAUUUUGACACUUAUGUUUAGCUAUCAUUUAUUUAGUACCUUGUAACAUGACUUAUGUUCAUGUGCAGCGUGUGGACACAAAGGGAGAUCAUUCAUUCGGCGAGCAGGGAAAUGGAGACGGUUGUUUUAGAUAUUUUUGUCAAGAAUGGACAGAGAAACAAUAAUAGACUCGCUUUUAAUUAUUUUGGUCUUUUGUGUGCUCAAUUCCCUUAGUUAUAUAAUCAGCAGUAUGGCUGAAAAAUUGUAAGCAUAAGCUGUGUGCACUUGCCGAGGCAAGAUUUAGUUCCUUUUUCAAAAAAACAUGACUUCGAAUAGUGGUUGUUAUUUAGCUACCAAGUUAAAUUUUGAAUCUAGACUAAAAAAGACCAUCAGCCCAACAUGCAUUCUUUCUGUCCACACGAGUCCUGACCACACAUAUGUGAUGCCAUAGGCCAUGGAUCCCAUCCACUGAAACUGAAAUGCUCGGACUCUACUUUCUCUGCGCAUGACCUGAAACAGCCCACUUCUCCGCACCGUGUCGGGCGGCUUACUAUUUUUUGCUCGCCCGUGCCUCCGUGAGAACUGUAUCUGCUGAUCUCCAUGCCCACCUCGUGAGCACAUAUACGGCAGGUGCUAUUAUUUUUUAUUUUUUAAUAUGUGUCCGUAAUUUGUUAUUUAAUUUAUCUAAAGAUUUCUGACCUCAAAAUAUUAAAUUAAUAUAGUCAACAUUUUAAAAUACUAAAUUCAAUAUUUCUUCAAACUUAAUUCAACAAUUCCUAUAAACUAAUUCAACAUUUAAUAUGAAAUGAGUAUAUCAAAGAUGUUGAAAGUGCAUAUCAAAAUGUUGAAUAAGUACAUUUCAAAUGUUGAUUUUUUAAAAAAAAACAAAAAUCAAAAUAUAUCCAUAUCAGAUUUUAUUUUAUUGCAUAAAUUCCAAGUAACAUUAUGGUUCAAAAAAUACAAAAUACAUUUAUGUUUUGAGUGAAAAAUGAAAUCAAAAUUUCAGAUAAAAAAUCCCUCAUGAAGUGGAUCCUCCAUGACUAAGGGGGUGUUUGGAUAGCAGGUGCUAAAUUUUAGCACCUGUCACAUCGGAUGUUUGGACACUAAUUAGGAGUAUUAAAUAUAGUCUAAUUACAAAACUAAUUGCACAACCCCUAGGCUAAAUCGCGAGACGAAUCUAUUAAGCCUAAUUAAUCCAUCAUUAGCGAAUGGUUACUGUAGCACCACAUUGUCAAAUCAUGGACUAAUUAGGCUUAAUAGAUUCGUCUCGCGAUUUAGCCUAGGGGUUGUGCAAUUAGUUUUGUAAUUAGGCUAUGUUUAAUACUCCUAAUUAGUGUCUAAACAUCCGAUGUGACAUGUGCUAAAAUUUAGCACAUGCCUCCCAAACACCCCCUAAAGCAACACCCACUGCGCCACCAUCCUCAAGAACUACUGCGAUGCUCUGCCAGUGAAAGAUAAGAUGAUUGUCCAAUACGUCAAAAAUAAUUUGUGCUAGCGGGCAUGAUUAGCACCCGCCGGCACAAAAUUUCCUUGCGCCGGUUAGGGAGCACUGUGCUGACAGGAUAAGGCGAUUUGUGCCGACGGUACUUACAGGACCCGCCAACACAGUAGCCGCAGCACUGACCACAGCAGCAUGCACAUGCACAACACCCUAUAACACAUGCACUGUGUGCAUGCACUGACCAGCAGCGUGCACAUGCACUGUGCGCAUGCACAUGCACACACAUGCCCUGCGGGCACAUGCACUGUGUUGGCGGGCGAGCAAGCACCCGGUCUUCAAGAAAAUUUAAAAUUAUUUAAAUACUUAACAAAUGAUUUUGAAAUUGUUUCAAACUUUUAUACAUUCAUAUAAAUAUUAUUUAGUAAAUUUAAAAAAUAUUAUUUCUUAGUUAAUACAAAUAAUAAUGAAUAGUUAGUGCACUUAUCACUAUAGGUUGAAACAUCCUAUAACUCAUAAGGUGUUUCAACUUAUACUAGCUAUUCAUUCUUGGAUGAAUAUUGAUAUAAAGUUGUAGAUAGAUUAGAUAUAAAAUUUUCUAGUUGAUAACUUUUCCAUUUAAAGUUGUUUAAUAGCUCAAAAUAUCAUUAUAAUCUUUUUAAUUUCUAAAUCUUGAAUUUUAAAAUUUUUAAAUAACUUUGGACACAAAGAAGCUAUCGAGCUCUCCCGUCAGCCCAAACUCCCUUCUUAUCCCUUCCCUCUCCCUCUCCCUCUCGUUAUCCAUCCCUAUCACUUCAUCUUCCACGGCCAAGCGGAGGGGGCACCGGGGCAGCACGGAGCGGCAUGGCCCUCGGCUGCGCGGCCCCUCGGCCCCUCGGGAGCAAGCAGCUGGCGCAGCAGCGGCCGGGGGCAGCGGCGCAUGAGCAGCAAGCGCUCGAGCGGCUGUGCAGGCGGGCUGUGCAGGGUGUGCAGGCGGCAACAGAGAUGGUUCGAGGCGCACAAGGUUGUAAUCGUGCUGCGUGUGGUGCAAGUACUGAAGUUGAUUUUUAUCGUGUGUUUUACCUAUCUCUAUGUUCUUUCGCCAUUUGUGAACCUGAGGCAGUGUGGCGUCUUGUACAACGAGAUUAUGGCGUCUUGUGAACCUGAGGCAGGGGUCAUCGCAAGCUGCGCCCCCUCGUCGGCCCUCUCCUGCGCCAAAUCCGGGAGCGACGGGCGGGACGAGUGGCGGCGUACGGGCGACGCAGGUGGCCGGACUUUUUUUUAUUAUUAAAAAAUUAUUGUGCUACCGGGCUACAUAAGCACCCACCAGCACAGUGAGCGAGCGAGCAUCUGUCAGCACAGAGAGCCAUAGUUGCUGGUGGGUGCUUCGCCCGCCAGUACAGAACCCAUUUAUCCAAGCAAAAAUCAUUUAUGGUCUAGUAGUCAUCGAGUACAUCCUGCCAGUGAACCACCGAACCCGAAGGCAACACCCAAGGCUCAGGGCGUGUUCCACGUUGACAUGUGGAUCGUGCUCGUGCACAACGCAAGAGGUAAGAGGGAGUUUAGGGAACUCGCCAAGGGUGCAAGCUUCACCGGGUUGAAGGCCACAUACAUCUUAACAUCUACGCCAAUGCAUGGGCAAUAAAUUACCGAUAAACUAGAAAAAAUCUACUUUUGCAGUUGCAGUGUGAAUGGAGAAGUACAAUGGGCAUAGAGGUGAUGGACAAGACCAUGGGUCCCUCCCAGAAUAAUCAUCUGAUUCUUGACACCGUGAGAUGCUCAUAUGAUCUUCAUUAUCAUUUGGAGGCACCUAACAAGUGUGGCCGCAUAUAUGUGAUCAUGAACCUUUUAGUAUAGAAAUCUUCGCUCGUGUGAGCUACCAGCUAUGGACAGUCAAUUCAAUUUGUUACCAGCAAUAGAUAUAUAUGAUAUGAUCCUUAUGUUCCUGCUAGAUUAACAUUUUACCAGUGUUGGUUAUACUUGGAUAUUUGUUGUACCAACAUGACGCGGCCAGCACGGCGGUCUCCGGGACGGGGGCGUGGCGGAUCGGGUGGGCCUCCCGCCCGCGGCGCGCUUCUCCUUCUUGCCCUCGUCCUUCGGGAGCGUGACGAGGUGAUGGUGAUAGACUUUGACCGACUAUUGACGCUACACAUUUGAAAGUAUUUUCCUGUGAUUUGCAGUCUUGUUGCUACUAAACAUUAUAUUAGUAUAUACAUAAAAAUCAAAGCAAAAGUCAUAUUAAAACAUGAUUAGAGUCAUAUUAAAAUAUGAUUAGCUACAUAUAGACCAUAUUAUAUAGUAUGGUAAUAUAUUGAUGUAGUUUUCAUGUACCCGUAGCAACUCAUGGGUAUAUUUGCAUAGUCCGAGUAAAAACUAAAUGCAAAAUCACCCGGUCGACGAGCUGUCACAAGGAAAAAAAGCUUACAAACAAGAAAAACAAGAAAAAUAAAACUGGGUCAAAAGAAAACCGGAGCGUAGAGAAAGUAGCCCACGACGUCAGGUGGAGGCUGUAGCAGCCCAGUUCCGGCUGAGACUUUUAGCCCAAUUCCAUUACCAGAAUGCCAGGAGCGAGCCGCGAGCUCGCCGUUUAUGCAUACAACAUGCUCUCAUGGACAUGGAGGUACUUGUUGGAUUUAAUCUUGUUUUAGUCGUAGGUUUAGGAAGUCAAGUUUGUGUCGGUCGAUGAAUUAGGAAGUUGAGUCCGUGUGCAUGCUGGUUAGUAUUACGUGCAUGGAGUUGCACACGUAGGAAGCUAGCAAGGUUACACUAGUAGAGAACUGACUUUCGAUCCGCCCCCUUUUAUCCCGGUUUAAAAGUGGCCCGGGACAAAAGGGGGUGCGCCGGGGUGCGGGAAUUUGGAGGGGAGUAUUAGUCCCGGUUGGUAAUUGCAACCGGGACUAAAGGCCCCCCUUUAGUCCCGGUUGCAACGGCUAGCAGGGGCCUGUCGGUGGUGGGACCCUUUUAUCCCGGUUGGAGGAUCCAACCGGGAUAAAAGGGACACCCUUUUAUCCCGGUUGGAGGCACCAACCGGGAUAAAAGGGUUAGUCCCGGUUGGUUGUUCCAACCGGGAUAAAAGGGUGUCCCUUUUAUCCCGGUUGGAUCCUCCAACCGGGACUAACUUCCAACCGGGACAAAAGGUGUUUCCUUUUGUCUCGGUUGGAGUUUUUAACCGGGAUAAAAACUCAUCCCCCACUAUAUCCCGAGAUAGAGACUUUCUUCUUCCUCCAGCCCGAGCCAGUCCAGCACAUUGAUAGAGAGCUGAGCUUCACCUACCCUCCGGUGGUGCCAAAGCAAGGGAGGUGGUGCCCGAAGUUUUUCCCCUCAUUUUCGUGGGAAUUUGACUCAGCCAACACAAGUGUUGCGAAGGUUUGCUACUUCAUCCUCGUGUUAUGCUUUGAUUUAUGCUUUGGAGAUGGAAAGAUUAUUUGCUACAAUGUGAUGAUGAAGUAGAAAAAUGGAGAGGUAUUUUGAGCUAGAAUGUGAGGGAGAUUGAUGUGUCAUAUAUAGUAUGCAUUAUUUCAGUGGUUUAAAAAUGAUGCUACCUUGUCUAGAUGGUUUAUCUUAUCAAAUUCAAUAUGGUUUUUUAAAUCCAUAUACUUGUUGAACUUGCAUACCGUGUUCAUUUCUGCUAAGAUGUUCUCCGCCGAGCAGCAACGUAUGUCAAGAAGGAGGUUCGAUUCUACGAGAAAGAGUGGAUACGGACAUCGUGACCGUGUCCCCUUUUCCGUAGCAUCUAACCUCUUUCAUGACGAAGUGCGGUGCCGCCCAGCUGAGGACAUCCUCGCGAAAUGAACACGGUCUUCAAGUUCAACAACUUCUGUAGUGGUAAGGAAAGAAUUUUUGUACAUAGAUGACUUCUGCUACUUGUUGAACUUGCAUACCGUGUUCAUCUCGCCGAGGAUGUUCUCCGCCGAGCAGCAACGUAUGUCAAGAAGGAGGUUCGAUUCUACGAGAAAGAGUGGAUACGGACAUCGUGACCGUGUCCCCUUUUCCGUAGCAUCUAACCUCUUUAAUGACGAAGUGCGGUGCCGCCCAGUUGAGGACAUCCUCGCGAGAUGAUCACGGGUGUUUCACGUCCACUUAGUACUACCGUUUCAGGCGGCACAAAUAAACCUAAGGAUGAGGUUGGGUCAGCGGAACCUUCAUCUUCACCGUCCAAGGAUGCUUAAAGUCCUCUCCUUGAUAAUAACCAGUGGAUGGCUUGUUGUAUUGUAUAAUGUUGUUUGGGACUUUAAUUUAAAUAUGUGUAUUUGGAUCUUCAUGUUGUUGUAUUGUACCAUGUUGUUUGGAUCUUUAAUUGAUUUUCACGCGUAAUCCAUUGUCAAGUGUAAUCCAUUUUCAUGCGUAAUACGAUGCAGAUGGACCGGCAAUGGAUGUAUAAUGCAGACAGGCGGAGCAAGGUGUUUAUUGAUGGCUUGCAUUAUUUUCUCGAAGUGGCAAGAGCGAACAAGCCAGAGAAUGGGUUCGUAUGUUGUCCAUGCUUCCAAUGCAAUAACAGGAAGGAGUAUUCAAAGGAUUCCUGGGGGACUAUUCACAGCCACUUGUUUAAAUACGGUUUCAUGCCUAACUAUUUGGUUUGGACCAAGCACGGUGAACUAGGGGUUGUAAUGGAAGAUGGCGAGGAGGAGGAGGAAGAUGACACCAUUACGGACUGGGUUGCAGGCCAAGCUUUUGCAGGUACUACAAUGGGCGAGGCUGAUGAAGAUGAGUUUGCAGAAAAUGACCCUACUGAUGACCUUGGUCAGGUGAUACGAGAUGCACACAGAGAUUGCGAAACUGAGAAGGAAGCAGCAAAGUUGCAGCGCAUGAUAGAUGAUCACCAAAAAUUGUUGUACCCAGGUUGCCAGCAGGGCCAUAAAAAACUAGGUACGACACUAGAAUUUGUGCAAUGGAAGGCAAAAAAUGGUGUGUCCGAUAAGGCAUUUCAGGGGAUGUUGAACAUUGUCAAGAAGAUUCUCCCCGAGAAUAAUGAAUUACCGUCCACAACAUAUGAAGCUAAACAGAUUAUUUGCCCUCUCGGAUUGGAUGUUCAGAAGAUACACGCAUGCCCUAAUGACUGUAUCCUCUAUCGUGGUGAUGAAUACGAGGAAUUGGAUGCUUGUCCCGUCUGCGAAGCCCUGCGGUAUAAGAUCAGGCGAGAUGAUCCUGGUGAUGUCGAGGGGCAGUCUCCCAAGAAGAGAGUUCCCGCGAAGGUGAUGUGGUAUUUCCCUAUAAUACCACGCUUGAAGCGCUUGUUCAGGAACAAGGCGAAUGCUAAGUUGAUGCGACCAAAUCCCGACCAAAUCCGAUGCUUGGCUUAUGGAAACUUUUCCCUCCUGGUUGCGCCAACAACUUAUGGGUAACUCUGAGAUUCACCCACAGCUUGCCUGGUUAGCCAGGGGACCUGCUACCACAAUCGUCAAAUUCCAAGGCUAUGAGAUAAAUGGUUACACAUUUUACACGAGAGCCCAGGACCAGAAAAGCACGAACCAGAAUAGUGGUGUCCGCAUAGAUGCCAUGGACAGAAAUAAUAGCAAGGAGUCAUAUUAUGGUGUCAUACAGGAGAUAUGGGAACUCGAAUACGGACCGCUGUACAUCCCUCUAUUUCUUUGCAAUUGGGUGAAGCUAACUGCCGUCACCAAAGAUCAGUACGGAAUGACAAUAGUAGAUCUGAGCAAGACUGGAUACAGUGAUGACCCAUUCGUACUUGCCAAUGAUGUGCAUCAGGUGUUCUAUGUCAAGGACAUGUGCAGCAAACCCAAGAGGAAUCCAGAAGAGACAUGGGAGCCAAAGUGCCACAUAGUUCUUCCAGGUAAAAGAAAAAUCGUGGGAGUCGAGGAUAAAAUAGACCAAUCAGAUGAUUAUGAUCAGUUUGAUGGCAUGCCUCCAUUCGACGUUGAAGUUGAUCCAAGCAUCCUGCUGUCCAAAGAAGAGGCUCCGUACUUACGCCGCGAUCAUGAUCAAGGAACUUUCAUGAAGAAGAAAUUUUACAACGUUGUAUUGUAAUGCGUUAAAUGUGCAUGACCUUUGUGUAUUAAUUGAUACAAUUUGUAAUUUACCCUAUGUAUGAUUUCAUGUGUUAUUAAAUUUGUUAGGUGAAGAUUUUUUAGAUAUACAUGAACAUUGUUAACCACAUACUAACAUGGAUUUUUCUGCGCAUUCAAAUAAUUUAAUUGAAUAAUUUAUUGAUCACAGCAAUGCAGUAAAAUAAAUAUUUUACAGGCUACAUGAGUUGGUAUAGAAAUAAUGAUUACUUCAUACUUAUUGUCAAUUUACUCGUUAAUUAAAUAUAUUUUUGCAUGUACAAAAUCUGAGAAGGUUUUGUUUUUCAUCCUGGAAUGCAGUGAAAAGGUUAAAUAAAAUCCAUUUCCAAAAAAUAGGCGGGAGAAGAAAAAUAGGAAAAAAGACCUUUUGUCCCGGGUGCUAACAGCAACCGGGACAAAAGGCCCCCCUUUUAUCCCGGUUGCAAACGGCAACCGGGAUAAAAGGGUACGUUUCGUCUCCCGCCCGAACGUACCCUUUUAUCCCGGUUGCCGUUUGCAACCGGGAUAAAAGGCCCCCCUUUUAUCCCGGUUGGUGACGGGACCCGGGAUAAAAGGGUGCGCUCCCAGCCCCACCUGGCGGGGGCACCCUUUUGUCCCGGGUCCCGUUACCAACCGGGAUAAAAAGGGGGGGCCUUUUAUCCCGGUUGGUGACGGGACCCGGGACAAAAGAGCCUUUUGUCCCGGGUCCCGUCACCAACCGGGAUAAAAGGGGGGGGUUAAAAGCACUGUACUCCCUUCUACCCCCCGCCAGUUCCACACUUAGCGAAAUUUUCGCAAGUCCCGCGCUCUCCGCCAUCGCCGCCCGUCCGCCUCCCUCGCCGGCCGCCGCCGUCGUCGUCCCCCAUUGCGCCGUCGAAGUCCCGCAUUGCGCCGUCGUCGUCCCCCGGCCGGCCCUCCUCGAUCUCUCCUCGUCCGUCGACGGGCCCAGCCCCCGGCCCGGCCACCUCGUCGCCGGCUGCAUCGCCCCUCGUCGCCGGCUCCAUCCUCGUCGCCCCUCGUCGCCCCUCGUCGCCCCUCGCCGGCCGCCGUCGUCGUCUUCGCCUCGGCCGCCGUCGUCCCGCCGUCGUCGUCUUCGUCCUCGUCGCCGCCCCGGCCGCCGCUGUCCCGCACGCCGCCCGGCCGCCGCCGUCCCGCCGUCACGCCGCCCCGGCCGCCGCUGUCACGCCGCCCCGGCCGCCGCCGUCACGCCGCCCCGGCCGCCGCCGUCCCGCCGCCCCGGCCGCCGCCCCGCGCGCGAGAGGUCUGCCGCGCCGGCCGGUGCGCCGGGAGAGGGUUUUCUUUUAAUUUUUAAUUUUGUUUUUUUUUAGAUGGAAUUGUAAUUUUGUUAAGUUAGAUUUUUAGAUUUCUAAUUUUGUUAAGUUAGAUUUUUAGAUUUCUAGUUAGUUUGUUAAUUUAGAUUUGUAGUUAGCUUGUUAACUACCGUCCCGUCGUCGUGAUCGCCGCCGUCCCGCCGAGUAGCUACCGUGAGAGUCGCCUUGUAGCCGUCGUGAUCGCCGCCGAGUAGCCGCCGUGAUCGCCGCCGUCCUGCCGCCCAUCACAACGUAGUAGCUUAGGCACCGCCCGUGGUUCCUGUGAACCGCCUCCGCCGCCCUGACCGCCGCCGUCCCGCCUCCGCCGCCCUGAUCGCCGCCGUAGAAAUUCGUCAAAAUUCGUAGAAAUUCGUCAAAAUUCGUAGAAAUUCGUAGAAAUUUGUAGAAAUUCAUAGAAAAUCGUAGAAAUUUGUAGAAAUUCAUAGAAAUUCGUAGAAAUUUGUAUAAAUUCAUAGAAAUUCAUAGAAAUUCAUAGAAAUUCGUAGAAAUUCAUAGAAAUUCGUAGAAAUUUGUAUAAAUUCAUAGAAAUUCAUAGAAAUUCAUAGAAAUUCAUAGAAAUUCGUAGAAAUUCAUAGAAAUUUGUAUAAAGAUUCCGGACUUUGUACGAUUCAUGUUAUUUUAUGAUUUCAUUAUAUACAUGUAUGAUUCCGGACUGUCAUUAUAUACAAAUUUGUAUUAAGACGAUUUCUAUGACUGUCAUGUAUGAUUCCAUGUAUGUUUCCAGCAAUAGUUGAAAUGGCAGACGAUGAGACCGCAAGGUAUAUCAUGGAGCAGAUAAUCGCUGGUGAUGGUAGUGGCGACAACGUUCCACUAUCAUACACGGAUGAAGAGGGCACCCAGGCGGACAUGUUCCUCAACAUGUCUGCCGAUGGGAAUGAAGAGCAACAGCCGCAACAACAACUUGCCGUGGCGGAAGGUUCCGGCGAGGUAUAUACAACCAUUCUUGUAUUGUUUCACGCCACCGCUACUAGUACGUACUAAUUAACGAAUCUUAAACUGUUAGCCCUCCGGAUCGACACAAGGGCAGAAACCCCGAGGUCGUACAAAGGUGAUGGAAGGGAGGCUUGUCAUCACCGAAGUUACAGAUGAGGGCAGGCCGGUUGCUCCCGAGAAAGUCGCAAAGAAGUACGUUAGUCAAAUCGGGGCAAUCGUCCGGGACAACGUGCCUAUCAGCAUCAGAGAAUGGAAGGGCAGAAGCGAUAAUCCAUACGCCCUUCCAGAGACAGAAAAGAAUAUGCUGUGGGAAGACGUGAAGAGGCAUUUCACAUUCCCCGAAGAUUAUAGCGAGAAGGAUGUCAAAGCGUGGACACUUAAGAAGAUGGCUACUCAAUUCCAGACAUUCAAGAAGAUGCUGGACACCCACUACAUCAAGAAGGGCAAAACUCCAGACUUCAACGCGUGGCCCAAGUUGAGGGACCACUGGGAUGCAUUUGUUGAAUACAAGAGGAGUGAAGAAGGUGUGAAAAAGAUCACGACCAACGUUGCAAAUGCUAGUCAGAAGGGCUACCACCAUCAUUUGGGGCGAGGUGGGUAUGGCUCAGCAAUUCCCAAGUGGAGAAAGAUGGAACAAGAUCUGAUCGAACGGGGAAUCAUACCUGCAACUAUUGAAUGGCCCGAACGAUCAAAGAACUGGUACUACGCUCAUGGAGGCUCCCUAAGCCAAGAGGAUGGGACGCUGAUUUUCAAUGACAGAAUACGUGAGAAGGCCGAACAUCUCAUGAAGAACAUUGAAGAUUCCAAGGCUGGGAGGUUGAGGGUGGACCGAGAAAAUGAUGAGCUCACAUUGGCCCUCGGUAAUCCAGAGCACCCAGGACGUUGCCGGGGGUUCGGGGUGGUUCCGUGGAAGUUCGCUUUCCGAGGCGACAGCGCCUCUUACAGAAGCCGGAAGCGAAGAAAGGAACAGAUGGAGGAGAGCUGGCGGCAGAUGCUAGAACAACGAAUGAUGGAUGAAAUCAAUCGGCGGGUGGCCGAGGCAGUUGCGGAGUUGGCGCAAUCUGGAGCAAUGCCAAAUCCUCACACCGCCAGCCCUUCUCAACGCCUCGGGAGCAGUUGUGCUUCUACAGGGGUCCCCGAUGCACAGACGCCCAGGUUACCCGUGGAGGAGCAACGGUUCCCCGUGGAUGCCAUCACGCAACGGACCUCAUGUGAGCUGCAUGCACCGUUCGGCAACCUCACUAUUAAGGUAUACUUAUACAUAAUAUUUAUGCAAUCUUGUCAAUUGAUCCAGGCCUCGAGAUCGGAGUUCAACUUGUUUACUUCUGCUAUAUGUACAGGUAGCGUACGGGAGUGCGUUACCAACGCUGGCAGGGCAGAGCAGUCAUGGCAUGGACAUUCCAACAGGCUACGCCAGCGUCUGCGUCGAGCAAAUAGUAGAUGCCCAGUAUGAAGGUCUAGAGCUCGACUUUCCGGGAGGCGACGGGGAAAAGACAUUGGCAGAUGCGCUUCAUGGGAUCAUUCUAUGGAAGAAACGCUACAUCAUUAUUUCCCGCACGGAGCCAUCUCCUCAGACCUCAAGACCGCUCCCCGUAGAUCCCGAGCAGCGACCUUCUCCUCAUACCUCGAGACCGACAUCUCCUGCUCCAGGACCGUCGCUUCCAUCUAUAUCAAGGUCUCCAUCUCCACCACAUCCUGGUGCUGGGAGCGACGACGACAAUAACAACACCCCUCCCCGAUCACCGUCGCCGGCACCAAGAGCGGCCCCCUCGAAGGAACCUGCAGCACCACUCAAGAAGUCACGAGCACCGCCUCCCAAGCAAAGACAGCCUCGAAAGAAGAAAACAAAGGUCGACCCUGAAGUGGCUCGCAAGGAACGCUUUGAGGCAAUGUCUCAUGCGGAACAGUGGGCAGAAAUCCAACGAGAGGCCAGUGAGUGGUUCAAGAAACAAGCCGAAUUAAAAAAGGCAAGGGAGAUGGAGCCACCGCCAGUAAGUCGGCGGGAUUUAAACUUUUUUAUCAGGAUGGAGGAAGGAGCCAAGAAAAGGAUACCACUCUUGUCAAACUAUGAACGGGCUCUAGUAAAGGCUGAUGAAAAGGAUAAAAGAAAAGGAAAAUCAUCCUCCAAAGGUUCAGUCCCCGACCUCAGCCAUUUAUCAAAGAAAGAUGCUCAACGGGUAAAAGCAAUGCCCUUGGAUCAACAAGAAAAUAUAUUGAAGUUCAUGGAAGAAACAGGUCUGGGACUUGAUGAAUGCAUAGGGCAAGUCGAGACGCCAACUGCACCGCCCCCUGAGCCGAGAUGGCCUUAUGAGCUAGGCAAGCCUCUAGUGAAGCCGGCAAUGGUACGGAAGCUGUCAACAAAGAUCUACGAAUUCCAUCAAUGGUACAUGACGGCAUCCGCCAACUCGAGGGAGAUGAUCGGCAUGAAGGUAAAACCGAUAGAUUUUCACGGUGAAGGGGAGAAAGUGCUGUGGCUAGACUUCAAGGAUAUAUACGAAGUGUACCAUCAUGAUGCCCUGGACGUCUCUCUGAUCAGCGCUUGGAUUCUGUAAGUGUCCGUUUAUUAUCUCUACAUGUAAAUUUUGGCGUGCGUCACCGUACUAACUUCAUCUUCCAUUUCAUGUAGGAUGCUAAUUCAGACAUGCCGCCGAGAGGCGUACCUACAUGUAGGCUUCAUGGAUCCAUCUGUAGUUAACCAACAACAGAUACAAUUAGCGCCGGAAAAAACCUUUGCCAAAAUAUACAAUUUCCUACACAAACAAACAUUCAAGGAUUUCAUACUACUUCCAUACAACUUCAAGUAAGUGUGUGUAUACCGUCUACUUUCGAUGUCUUUUUCCUUAUCUCUACAUGUUAGUUAGCUCUAAUAUGCAUGAACAUUUUACGCACGCAGCUUCCACUGGAUCCUUAUUAUAAUUGAGCCUGAAAGAAGCCACAUCACUGUCUUUGAUUCGUUACGGAAAGAUCCGGUGGACUACCAAGAAUUGCAAGACAUGCUAGGCUUGUAAUAAUUCUGGACAUUUAUCUCUAUGCAAAAAUUUAUUUCCUAAAUUUUAUCCCUGUUACACUAUGUCAUUCAUUAUUCUAAUCCGCAGCGCAUGGAAACAAUUCAUAAGGACACACAAAGGUCCAUUCAAAGAAAAUCUUACAUGGAACACAGACUUCCCGGUACGUAUGAAGUCUGCACAUUUAUUACAUUGUAUAACACGAAUAGUUCAUAACUUAUUUUUUUCCGCACUGAAGUGCUUAAGACAGGAACCCGGGAAUAAUGUAUGUGGCUACUACAUCUGUGAGCACAUGCACAGUUUUUUGGGACCCAAGGGACCGAAGAUGACACCGCACAACUUUAAAGUACGUAAAAUAAAUAUAUUACUAGUUAAUUAUUUUCUAGCUCCUUAUAUGUAUUUGUUCAUGUAACAUUCACAAAUUUCCAAAUUAUAGAUGUUAAAUAUUCAACAAGGACUCUUGAAGGAAGAAAGAGUAGCGGCAAUAUGUGAAGGUCUCAUUGGAUUCAUAAUGGACGAGGUGGUAGAUCCAAGAGGAGAAUUUUAUUACGAUGGACGACAAUUAGACACUCCGAUCAGCAACACCACGACGGGAAGAUCGUAGGAAGAUACUUUGAUUUAUUUGUAUAUAUGAUCGAUUUGUACUAAUUAAGCUAGUUGAAUUGUGUAUAUGAAUUGUGUAUAAGGAUUGUGUAUAUAUAUAGUAGUUGUAUAAUUACAAAUCCCAUUCGUUUAAAUACUAGUUGAUUUCGUUCUAAAAAAAUCUCAACUACAAGGUUAACAAAUUAAAAGGGCCGCGUAUACGUGAUGCAUGCAUGAAAAAUUCAGGCGUCACCAGUGCCAUGCAAGCGCAAUUUAGUCCCGGUUGGAAUUGAGCCGGGACUAAAGGGGACCCCUUUAGUCCCGGUUGGGACCCCCUUUAGUCCCGGUUGGUGACACCAACCGGGACUAAAGGGGGUCCUUUACUCCCGGUUAAAAUACCCGAGACUAAAGACCCCCCCUUUUGUCCCGGUUGGUUUAUCCCGGAUGGAUAUCCGAGAGAUAUGCACCCUACCAACCGGGACUAAAGGUCAAUUCUCUACCAGUGUUAGUUUAGCAAACGGAAUUGCAUUGGUCGGCGAGCUGUCGUAUACGAUCUCGUAUAGAAGGGAAGCUACGAGUUCGCGGAGUCCGGCAGGCAAUCAAGGAAAUCGGAGUUUCCUAGUUGGAGUCGGACAUCAGAUACUUUUAUGGUCGGAGUACUCGUGAGUCCAGAUCGGAUACAAGUCAGAGUUGUAACUUAUAUGUCUGGCCGGUUAGGUGCUUCGGAAGUCUAUGUGUUCUUUUUUCCUUCUCGUGUUCGCGUGUGCUAGAUUCCGUGAAAUCCCAACAGUACUAACAAGCUUUUUAUUCAAACUAGUUCGUGAUACGUGCCACGACGCACGAUCGAUGAGCGGCGACGACGACGUCGGCAUGCCUGCCGGCGCUCCCAUCCCGCCGUGGGCCGACCUCGAGCCCAGCCUCGUCUCCACCAUCGCCGACUGCUGUGCGCUCAAGGACUACGCCUCCUGCCGCGCUGUCUGCGCCGCGUGGCGCUCCGCGCUCCCGCCACCGCUAUCGCGCCCGCUCGCCGUGCUCCCGGCCGACGACGCACGAUCGAUGAGCGGCGACGACGACGUCGGCAUGCCCGCCGACGCUCCCAUCCCGCCGUGGGCCGACCUCGAGCCCAGCCUCGUCUCCACCAUCGCCGACUGCUGCGCGCUCAAGGACUACGCCUCCUGCCGCGCUGUCUGCGCCGCGUGGCGCUCCGCGCUCCCGCCACCGCUAUCGCGCCCGCUCGCCGUGCUCCCGGCUGACGACGCCGCGAGCCUUCCCAUCUCGCUCGCCGCCUGCCCCCUCUACGUGCGGCGCUGGUCCAGGCUCCUGCUGCACCGGCCGGGCGGCACGGUCGGCGCCGCGGCGCGCUGCGGCAGCGUCGGCGCCUCGCGCGACGGGUGGGUGGCACUCGUCGCGGGCGACGCUGCGGCGCCCGCGGGGCCCAUGCUGUUCAACCCCUUCACCGGUGAGGAGAUCCCGCUGGACGAGUCGCUGUACCAGCCCGCGCACGGCCAGCUGGCACCCAAGAUCGUCUUCUCGCCCAACCCCACGCGCCGCGACUUCACCGCGGCGAGCCUCAUCCGGCCGGACAUGGUCGCCGUGCAGAGGGCGGCCGACGGCUGCUCGUACAGCGAGGACACGGGCCCGCUCCUCGAUGGGGUCAUCCUGGUCGACAUCGCCUACGGCGACAACGGCAAGGUCUACUGCCUGGCGUGGGACGGCGAGGUGCACGUGCUCCACCUCACCCGCCGCCACCGUGUCUUCCGCCAGAUGCCACCGAUGGAGGUGGGGCCGCUGCUGAAACUGCCCAUCGGCGCCGACGCCUUCCCUCCGCCGUACGACGUCAUCUCGGAGUACACGGAUGGCAAGAAUCUGGUGCUCUGCGAAGGUGGGCUGUACCAGGUAUGGAGGCGGUCGAGCGGCUCCGGCUCCGUCAGCGUCAACGCGCCGCCCGGGGGAGCCGCGCGGUGGAUUCACAUAUUCGAGGGCGAUGUCUUCGUCCUCAGGUACGACCCGGGGAACUGGCCGAGCAGCUGCUGGGUGGUGGCCGACGCGAAGGAUCUGAGAGGGAACGCGGUGUUCGUCGGCAUGAACGACGCGGCGGUGGUGCGCGGCGAGGGCGUGAGCGCCAACAGCGUCUACCACUGGGACGGCCCGCGCGGGGGAGACGGAGACUACGAGGUGGUGGUUUACAACGUGGCAACCCGAGCCUCUGUCAGGUGGCCGGCGGUGUCGACCGGAGGCGUGUCGUGCCCCGUGUGGUACUUCUUGCCGGCGGCCGGCGUCAGCCAGCGCGUGGGUUAACAAAUAAUCUUUUAUACUUCCAGAGUGAUAAGACGCAGCUGAAACUACCACGGCCUUUUGUCCAGAACUCGCUCAAGCUGUGUUGCUAAUCGUUAGCCUUGACGGGCGCAGCUUUCUUCUAACUUCUAAGUUGUCGGCGACUUCCUUCACCGCGCCGAUGCCGACGUACAUACGAGGAGGCAGAGCAUCCACCAGAGUACGUCCAGACCAUCACCGUGAUGUGCAUGCUAAUUAACUAGAAAUUAGAGGGAUAGGGGCAUGUUAGAUUUAACUUAAUCUAGCAUAAGCGUGUCAUUAACUUAAGGACGGAAUCUUUGAUUAGUCUAAUUAUGAUCCCUAAUAAUAAUUUAAUGCAGAAAUUAGGCUUGAGGUACAAAUGUCCUGCCUCCGUCCUGCACAAGAGAUUUCGUAAACCAAAUAGGAACAGAAAAGAACACACCGAAUAGAUGGGAGGAUCAUUUUUUGGUGUGAGCCUACGUGAAUGCUAGAUGCAUGAAUACCCAACCAAAAGCGGAUGAGCUAACUGGUGCUCAGAUGCAGGGGCCAUCUUUCAGCAUAUAUACAUGGUUAGGCUAACUAGAGAUAAUGUGCUAACCCUCUCAAGCUGUUUCUCUUCAAAUAUGAUAGUUUGUUAUGCAUGCAUACAUGCUUACUGUGAGAAGUUGGAGGGAAACAAGUUAGCUUGGUGUUUCUAUAUCAUUAGUGAGGAGGAAGCAGCGUCGGUUUUGGUGGAGGAGACACUGUCGGAUUUUUGGUUUCGUAUUGGUCCCGAGGUUGGAGGGCGUGAGCGCCAACAGCGUCUACUACUGGGACGGCCCGCGUGGGGGAGACGGAGACUACGAGGCGGUGGUUUACAACGUGGCAACCCGAGCCUCUGUCAAGUGGCCGGCGGUGUCGACCGGAGGCGUGUCGUGCCCCGUGUGGUACUUCUUGCCGGCGGCCGGCGUCAGCCAGCGCGUGGGAGCAGAAACAGCUAGCGUGGAUGCCAUGUCUGGGGAGGAAGCGAUUUCUCUCGAACAUAAUGUCCGCAUCCGAUCCGUUCCGAAUCCGAAUUUUAUGGAUACGGGGAAGAGUUUUUGAUAUAAAUGAGGAUAUGGAUAAUCCGAAUCCGAUUGUUUGGGGAUGCGGAGUAGGAUAUGGUUUUAGUGAAAUCCGAUGGAUAUGGAUUAUCCGAUAAUUGAACGCGGAUUGUCCGAGGCUUAUAAUAGGAUAUCCGAUUCUUAAGAUUAAGAAGAAUAAAUGGUGUUUUAUUAUGAAUCCAUAUUCUUUAAACUCUUAAGUACGAACUGAGAACUUGUAAUAAUCAACUAUUUUAAUCCGUGUAUGCUCCGACAUCGAUCUGAUUCCGCACCAGUUCCGGCAUCCGAGAAAUGCCUCCAUAACAGCAUCCGUGUAAUUAAUAUCCGCUCCGCUCCGCAUCCGAUAAAAAAUAAUGGAUGAGGACGUGGAAAAGACAUUAUCCGAUCCCAUCCGAUCCGCUUUUGUCCCUAACGAAGACUAACCGAAGAUUUUCGCCCGUGGAAGAGACAAGGCUGUGGCUCUCUGGCGCACUGGGAACUCAACUUGCUGCCUUCCCUUGCAUUCCUCUUGCCUAUAAAUACGGCCUCCAAAGAUCACAAUGCUACAUCAAGAUUCAAGCGGCAGCGUAACUCCAACUCACAGGGACUGAGCUAGGGACAAGCAUCUAGCCAGCGGCCGGCCAGCAGCCAAACCGCGAUGGCGCCCUCCACCAAGACCGCCCGUCUCCUCGCGCUCCCGCAGAUCACGCUGCUCGUAGUGGCCAUGGCCAGCUCCGUUUGCCACGGAGCCCGCGACACUAGUUGGCCCAUCGUCCAUUCUGCUAUUUUCUUCAUACGAGUGUAUGUUUAAUUUGCUAAUAAGUACAGUAAUAACCAUGGGUGCUCCCAACACCGUGUAUUUCAGGGAUAGAUCGCCCCGGCUACCUAUCCCUGCAUGCACCGUCCCGGCACUAUGUGGCCCCGUUAUGGGCCUGGUAUCCCCUGCGGCCAUCGUGUUCCACCGUAUCCUCAUCAUAUACGGAGCUUGGUCAACGUUCAACGUGAUUACCACAUGAGUAUACCCUGGUUCCAGUUGGAUGAUCGAUCAAGCAGUCAGAUACCGACGUGAACACCGGGUUAUUAGACUUGCGCCACCAUAACAGUGUUUCAUGAUUGCACGUUGAGACCACACCUGCUCAUAUUUCUUUCCAUUGGCCUCUACUGUCUCUGUUUUCUUAGUAAAAUACUUCCACAGAAUAGAUGUGCACCUCUUCUGCCUCUUUGUUGUCCCUAUCUUAACUUCUGCUUCCUCCUCACCAUCAAGAACAACUGCAUCUGUAGUGGCUAUAGUCCCAGGUCCUUGAGUUUGUGUCUCACUAGAUCCCUCUCCCUGUGUUGAAACAUCGUUGUGUAUAAAGUCGACCCGGUGCAUAGUUUUAUCCUUUCCGUAUGGUGUGGAUGCUAGGGUUGAGUGAGUGGUGCCGUAACCCUAUGUUGUUUUCGGGGAGCCUGUUCAGUUGGCCGACCCUAGUUUGCGAGCCAGAGUGCGCCGACCCUUAAGGCAGUUACCGCCUCGUCCGACCCUUUUCGAGUACGGACCGUAUCCGACCCCUUGGUUCGAGUGGAUCAGACCCUAGGAGUCUGUAUGUGGUAUAUGUGCCUAAAGUGGAGUACCAGGGCAAGUAGAGGCUAUCUAUGUUGAAAAUGGGAAGAAUGUGCUUCCUCUAUGAGGACGUGUGAUGCACCAUUGGCAAGAGUCGCAUUAAAGGAUUUAAUUCAUACGUUCCCAUUUGUUGGAGUACACCUGAGGUUAUGAAAUUGAUGGGGCGUUAACUCUUGCAGAUGGCGCACCGCACCAGGUCUGGAUCUGUGCCCAGUGGUAGUGACCAGCGCCAGGAUCUUCCCCCGCCCCUGCCACCAUCGCCAUUGGAGGCAAUCCUAGCAACUCAAACCGAGCUGCUCAGGCAUCUGGUGCAGGGAUAGCAGCAGCCAUAUGGUGGUAGAGCACAGCAGCAGCCGCAUAUCGCGCAGUACGAGGACUUUCUGGGGACGCAGCCCCCGCUGUUCCAAAAGACCCAAGAACCGCUCGACGCUGAUGCAUGGGUUCGUACGAUCGAAUCCAAGUUCGAGCUCCUCACCGCUCCAUGCCCUGACAACAACAAGGCGCGGUUCGCAGCUCAGCAGCUGCGUGGUUCCGCACGGCUUUGGUGGGACCACUACCAUGCCAUGCUACCUGCUGGCCACGUGGUCAGUUGGAACGAGUUUAAGACGGCGUUUAAGGCGCAUCACAUUCCCGAAGGUCUCCUGGAGCGCAAGCUCAACGAGUUUCUGGCCCUCACCCAAGGAACUCGGGAUGUGCUGCACUACGCCCAGGCGUUCAAUGACCUAUGCCGUUAUGCUGGCUAUCAUGCGGACACCGAUGAGAAGAAGCGGGACAGAUUCCGCCGAGGACUGAGCUUGGAGCUCAGGGAAAGGCUGAACCCCAUUAGGGUGGACACCUGUAACGAGUUGGUCAACCUGGCCAUCUCCCAGGAGGACUGCAUGCAAGCUCUCAAGGCCGACCAGAAGAGGAAAGCCUCUGUGGCUUUUCCGAGCCCGCCAACCCGAAGGUUUCGGAUGAUCCCUCCACAAGCCCCUGGCCGACCCCAACAGUCAGGGAAAUGGAUCGCCCGACCCCCGCCGGCAACAAUGCCUAGUUUCCCAGGCUUCCAACCGCAAGUACCCCGGCCGACCUUGCCAACGCCACCUCGUCCGGCAGCCAGUAAUCGGUGUUAUACCUGCGGCAAUGAGGGACAUUUUGCAAAGGACUGCCCCAGGAACAAGAAUUAGCAGCAAGGCCAGAACCCCGUGGCAGCCAGAGGAAGAAGGCCCAAGGUGCAAGUCCGACAAGGCCGACUCAACUACACCAGCUUGACCGAACUUCCCGAAGGUGCGUCAGUAAUGACGGGUACUUUCCUUGUUUUAAAUCAAGCUGUUGUUGUGUUGUUUGAUUCGGGAGCCUCUCAUAGCUUUAUCGGGAGUAAGGCAAGGGAAAGAUGUGGGCUAAGUGUCGGUCACACUAAGGAACCCUAUGUGAUCGCCACUCCUGGAGGAAGGAUAACGUCGGAUCAGGUCGUUAUUCUUGUACCUCUCCAGCUAGGCCCCACUGUAACGACCGACCCCUAACCUUUCCCAGUUAGGUUUGAUCUCAGCCCUUAACCUCAGUCAGCUGUUCUGUUGACCGCACCUAAGUGCUCAGUCUUCCGCCAGUUCCAACCCCAGAGAUCCGACCCCUACCGUUUCAUUCCUCUUCCGACCCUGGCGAGUUCAGCCCUCCGUCGGAUCCUGCUGAUCUUCCUCGCCCGUCCGAUCUAUCCCCCGGUGGACCCGUGAGAUCUUUUUCCAGAUCCCCCGCGUCAGCCGCACUCGAGUUGCAUGGCCGCCUCAGAGUUUUCCUGCCGCGUGGCUCGUCUUCUCCGACGCCAUCGCCCAGUUUUGUCUCUGGCAAGCAACAGAGUGGGUUCCCGCGCCCCUUUUCCCCAAUGGCAGCGGAAGCCCUCUGCACCCUUUCUGCAGAACCUCAUCUCCCGCGCCCAUCAUCACGCCACCAGAUCCCGGCCCCAGAGCCCGAUGUCGCCCGUCUUUUCCGUCCCUUUCAGCAACAGUUGCGCCGCCCGGUCGUCGCUACACGACGAUUCCCCCACCGCCAACCCCGACCGCGGCCGCGACAGUUCCUUUCCCCGCUCUGUCAGAAGCCGCCCGACAAUCUGUUGUUCCGCGCUCUCUCCCGCGCCGCGUCCGCUUGUCUUCCCACCUGUGCGCCCUCGAUCCUAGCGCUGUUUAACCGGUCGUUUCUAUCACCUCUUCCGCACGACGACGCCCGCUCUCUGCCAAAUCCCAACCACCGGUCUACCCGCACCUACGCCGCCCUGACGGAGUAGCGCAAUGAUCGCUGGCGUCACCCCCGGAGUUCUGCAGCACCGCCCGGUUUGCUCAAUCGCCGCCACGGCAGAGCACUCCAUUGCUUCUCCCCGGCCUUCGCGCCGCUCCCCUUCUCUCUCUCCGCGACGUUUCCGUUCCUCUGCUCCAGCAGCUAUAAAAGGAAUGCCCCCGUCACCGGAGUUCCCUCCGCCUUUGUUGCCUUUAGUCUCCUCUAGCUCCCUGCUCAAGCUUCUAGCGCCACCCACCCAGUUCUUGAGAAGUUCUUCUCCCAGUCCUUCUCAGUUCCUCCAAGUCACCCAGCAGCUUGCUCCCUUGUGCUGCGUAGAGCUCUCUUGUGAUCCGCAAGAAGCGGCGCCGCCGGAGCAUCGCCAGUCUUAGUCCUUGCUCGAAGCGUUAGUCCCUCCAUCCAAGUCUGCCUCUUCCCGACCCCAAGCUUUCCUUUCAGGAAGAAGGUGAGUUGCUGACCCUAAGUCCGCCUCGCCCGACCCCUCCUAUCCGCCCGACCCCAGUUCCGUCUCGUCCGACCCUGUCUGUUCCGCCGACCCUUGUCCGCCUCGCCCGAGGGCUUGGCUGUGAUCUUUUUCUUCAACUCGAGGGUGUAUGUGUAAAACGUGGGAACCCUUCAGCGCUUGCGUCUGAGGAUCCCAGUUAUCACAUCCUCUAGUUCAAGGAUCAGACCACUAGUUUCCCUUCCUACCCUUACCUGUUGAUCAUCAUCAGCUCUCUCAAACCGCCUCAACCUCCUGCUCUUUGUCGCAAGUUUCUGGACUCAGGCGAGCCAGUGUUGCUGUCUAAUCAAACGUUUAAGCUAACCCUUGCAUUGCAUUCGUGUAGAGCUGCACCUCGCUGACGGCUUCUACGAGCUGCACCCGGCACCAGAAGAAGAAGUUGUAGCCGAGUUCCUGCCCGCGGAAGUCGAAGCCGCCCCCGAAGUCGAGCAGUUCCAGCCGUCUUUGCUUGCAGGCAAGCCCCGGUUGCAUGAAAAUCCUACGUGUUUUGUCAAACUUGCGCAUGCCUUCCAUAUAGCAUGUUGUGCAUUUACGUUAGGAGUUGUGUGAAACCCUAGAUGCACGACCUAGUAACCCUUGAGAUGAGCACUAGCUGUUGGACCGAGUAGCUGCAUUGCUUAAAUAGGAGACGGUAAAAGCCGAGUGAUCUCCUGUCACUCGCGAGUUGUAGGAGUUGCAUGUUUUACUCUCCUGUUACAACUAUAAGGACGAUGGACGGGGCAGGGUUUGGUAACUCUUUGGUGGUCGGAUGGACGCCCCAUCUGUCUAUGAAAAUUGGUUAAGGCCCGACAGUGGUGGUGUUCGUGAUCAAGUGUUUGAAAGUACUAGCCUCAUACUUAGUAUGGGAUGAGGAAGCCUAGUACCUGAUUGAACCUAGACGUGAGCGGUCGCCCCAUUGUUCUUGGAACGGAGUUUCCCCUGCUGGUUGUCGCACGUGGUGGCAAAGCGUGGUCACAGAACGGCAGAGGCCGGGUCUGUGGAACCUUGCACCAAAGGAAAUGGGCCCGACACGGGUUAGGGGAUUGAUGGGGAAGGCCGACACAGGAAGCGACCUCCGGGUGCGCGGAUGUCGUGAGUCUAGGUUCACCAUGCAUGGUUAAAGAACUCGAAUCGAUUCGUCUGCCUCUCACAGUCUGAGAUUUCUUGAUCGCUAUGUCACCCUGAGUAAAUGAGGAAUCUGAUGAUGGCAAUAUUGUUGUUUUAUCUACACAUCUUGAUUGGCUUGAUGUUUGCUUAGAAUAGGUUGCACAACUUAGACUGGUAAGUGAACCUAGAACCGGAGCUAAAACUUGAAAUUAAGGUUACUUAGUGCUUUUGGCAAACAAACCCCUCAGCCAAGAAGCCUUGCAUGUCUAGUUAGAAGAGUCGCUGACUCCCGGGUUAAGUCUUGUUGAGCUUAGUAGCUCAGCCUUGUUGUGGCUCCUGUUUUUCAGGUGAAGUUGCUGUUCCCGACCCCUGCCUUGCUGGCGCUUGGCCGUCCCAGCUCCCGCCAGGCUGGACGGUCGAGUGGGACCCCUCCUCGGACGGCGAGGAGAGGACUCAGUGAUGUUCUGGUUGGCCUCGCCCGGACAUCCGACCCCGACGAAGUCUUCCGCUAGUGUUUUCUCUGUUGUUUUCUUUGAACUUGUAAAACUCUGAUGCAAAUUUUUAUGGCCGAACUAAUCAAGUAAGACUUGCUUAACUCAGUGGACUUGUUGUAUUCUCUGUAACCGCUCACCGUCGUGUGGGUUUGCUAGACUCGAUCCUGUUAAGUGGUUAAAUCGGAGGAAAUCCGACGGCACCCCGUGUUAGCUCGGUUUAAGCAGAAGUGUUGCAUGUUAGGCGACUUAACCUUGCUUAAUCAAGCUAAUCCGAGGUGGUUCCACCACAGCUGGUAUCAGAGCCGAGUUUAGCAUAUCAGAGAACCCAAUGAGCCCUAACCACUUCUUUGAAAAUAUAAAAGUUGCAAGAACCUUUCGAAAAUCUCGUACGAACGUUAAGGAUGACUUAGUGCGAGAGGCCCUAGGGGAUUUUGGGGUUGUUUUAGGUGACUAAUAAGUAUCUGGUUAUGUUGCUAACUCCUCCAGCACUUCGCCACGUCUAUCAUACGUGUGCCGAGUUCCGCAUCGCGAGCAUGCGAGGGUUGAUAGGGAGUUCCAUUCAAGGGACCCUAUCUUCGCGGUUGUUUUCGCCCACGUCUAUUAUACGUGCGCAGGUUCCGUAUGUGAUCCAUACGAAGGUUGAUAUGGUUCGAUUCCAACGAACCUAUUGGCACGGUUGUUUCGCCACGUUUAUCAUACGCGUGCCGAUGCCGCAUCACGAGUAUGCGAAGGGUUAUAUGGUUCUAUUCGGAAGGAACCUAUUUCCACGGUUGAGUGUUGUCCAUGCAGCCUUAGACGCAUGGGUGCCAUUCCUAUAGUGAACGGUAAUGUUUGGGAACGCUUUCGUGGGUGCUGGCACGAAAGGUUCGUGUGUGGUGUUUCUGCAGGUUGCUAACCGCGCUCGUUAAGACGUUGCUAGAACCGACUAGUUAAUAUAAGGAGAGACGUAUUGUUGCCUUGUCACCGGCGCUGACCGCGUAAGACCCAAGGUUCGGGCAGUUGUUUCGGUUAAGAGUACGGUAGGCCGUGCAUGCGUCAUACCUAAAAUCUGUAAUGUUUCCUUCUCAACAGCAACCCUGUCUGACAGAGUUCUUUUGGAUCUAAGGAUUUCUAGCUCCUCUUAGUUGCUCUCGGUUAAGCCCUUCUGCUUCUCUAUCCGACCCCUGAUCCUCGGAGUUAUCUCACGUGGCUUCGGUUUUCUUGGUUCCAGAUGGCUGUUCCCGGGCAUGUGGUGUUUGGAGCGGACGGUACCUUCCAAUCAACAUGCCUGCAUUUCGAGGGGUUUCCCGCGAUCUUGUGGGAUACGUUGAGAUGGUUUGGGUAUCAGUCCCCGCCCCUGUAUUCUGGGCGGCUGUAUGUGGAGCAGGGCAUCCAGACGUGCCAGGUGCAAGCGCUGGUACCACCUCCUCUUGCGCGGCCCGACUGGCCCUCUCUGGGCAUCAUAGCCUACGGUCUUUCUCCGGAAGAUACGUGGGAAUCCGCCGCUCUUCAGUUGCUCACGCAGUUCUGUCAGUUCCACCCUGUGGAGAUCACACUGGACCCGAUCGGUCUUUUUCCCGUCAGGAGUCGGCUGGACCCGGCCUGGCUGGACCGCAUCGGAAACCUCGAGGUGUUGGCCACUACCUGUGCUAUGGUCACCAUCUCCACCAACGUCCGUUGCAUGGCUGCUUUCUACCGGCUGAUAGAGCUCCAAGGAAGAGCCAUGACUCUCUUUGCCCGGACGGCUGCAGACACCCACGGGUACCUCCAGGCAGCUAGAAGAGACCUGGUAGGCCAAACCUACCAGCUGAUCCAACGUGGAAUCCAGAUCCACGACAUGCAAGACCGGAUCUACGAGCUGGAAGGAGAAGUUGCCGACCUCGUGGACGGCAUGAUCGAGCUCUCGGAGGAGAAGAUGGAGGUGGAAAUGGAGUUGGCCGUUGCCAAUGCCCACCUAGAGGAGCACCAAGCUGAGCUUGAAGAUAUGCAUGCCCUCAACAUGCAGCUUGAAGCUCAGGAGGACCCUGAGGAAGACAAGGGAGCGUCCAGCAUGGACAUAGAAGAAGAUGGCGCCCCUUCUCCGACUCAUAGUGUCCAGUGGUAGCUUAAGGGUUCUCAGGGAACCUUCUUUCUUUUGUUGUACUCCUCGGCAGCCUAGUUUUGGAAAGCUGUAAUAGGUUAGCCUUGAGUUGAGUACUCCCGGUGUUGAAACAUCGUUGUGUAUAAAGUCAACCCGGUGCAUAGUUUUAUCCUUUUCGUAUGGUGUGGAUGCUAGGGUUGAGUGAGUGGUGCCGUAACCCUAUGUUGUUUUCGGGGAGCCUGUUCAGUUGGCCGACCCUAGUUUGCGAGCCAGAGUGCGCCGACCCUUAAGGCAGUUACCGCCUCGUCCGACCCUCUUCGAGUACGGACCGUAUCCGACCCCUUGGUUCGAGUGGAUCAGACCCUAGGAGUCUGUAUGUGGUAUGUGUGCCUAAAGUGGAAUACCAGGGCAAGUAGAGGCUAUCUAUGUUGAAAAUGGGAGGAAUGUGCUUCCUCUAUGAGGACGUGUGAUGCACCAUUGGCAAGAGUCGCAUUAAAGGAUUUAAGUCAUACGUUCCCAUUUGUUGGAGUACACCUAAGGUUAUGAGAUUGAUGGGGCGUUAACUCUUGCAGAUGGCGCACCGCACCAGGUCAGGAUCUGUGCCCAGUGGUAGUGACCAGCGCCAGGAUCUUCCCCCGCCCCCGCCACCAUCGCCAUUGGAGGCAAUCCUAGCAACUCAAACCGAGCUGCUCAGGCAUCUGGUGCAAGGACAACAGCAGCCACAUGGUGGUAGAGCACAGCAGCAGCAGCAUAUCACAAGAUAUGAGGACUUUCUGGGGACGCAGCCCCCGCUGUUCCAAAAGACCCAAGAACCGCUCGACGCUGAUGCAUGGUUCGUACGAUCGAAUCCAAGUUCGAGCUCCUCACCGCUCCAUGCCCUGACAACAACAAGGCGCGGUUCGCAGCUCAGCAGCUGCGUGGUUCCGCACGGCUUUGGUGGGACCACUACCAUGCCAUGCUACCUGCUGGCCACGUGGUCAGUUGGAACGAGUUUAAGACGGCGUUUAAGGCGCAUCACAUUCCCGAAGGUCUCCUGGAGCGCAAGCUCAACGAGUUUCUGGCCCUCACCCAAGGAACUCGGGAUGUGCUGCACUACGCCCAGGCGUUCAAUGACCUAUGCCGUUAUGCUGGCUAUCAUGCGGACACCGAUGAGAAGAAGCGGGACAGAUUCCGCCGAGGACUGAGCUUGGAGCUCAGGGAAAGGCUGAACCCCAUCAGGGUGGACACCUAUAACGAGUUGGUCAACCUGGCCAUCUCCCAGGAGGACUGCAUGCAAGCUCUCAAGGCCGACCAGAAGAGGAAAGCCUCUGUGGCUCUUCCGAGCCCGCCAACCCGAAGGUUUCGGAUGAUCCCUCCACAAGCCCCUGGCCGACCCCCGCCGGCAACAAUGCCUAGUUUCCCAGGCUUCCAACUGCAAGUACCCCGGCCGACCUUGCCAACGCCACCUCGUCCGGCAGCUAGUAAUCGGUGUUAUACCUGCGGCAAUGAGGGGCAUUUUGCAAAGGACUGCCCUAGGAACAAGAAUCAGCAGCAAGGCCAGAACCCCAUGGCAGCCAGAGGAAGAAGGCCCAAGGUGCAAGUCCGACAAGGCCGACUCAACUACACCAGCUUGACCGAACUUCCCGAAGGUGCGUCAGUAAUGACGGGUAGUUUUCUUGUUUUAAAUCAAGCUGUUGUGGUAUUGUUUGAUUCGGGAGCCUCUCAUAGCUUUAUCGGGAGUAAGGCAAGGGAAAGAUGUGGGCUAAGUGUAGGUCACACUAACGAACCCUAUGUGAUCGCCACUCCUGGAGGAAGGAUAACGUCGGAUCAGGUCGUUAAUCUUGUACCUCUCCAGCUAGGCCCCACCCUCUUCAAGGAAAACCUUAUCAUCCUUGACCUCGAAGGCCUAGAUGUCAUCCUUGGCAUGGAUUGGAUGGCCCGACAUCAUGUUGUUUUAGAUACAUCAACCCGAUCUCUUUUCAUUAGCUCGCCCUCUCAUGGCAGUUCUACCCUAUCCUUGACCCAUCCUGAGUCUUUGACUCCUUGUGCCUAUCCUCUCUUGGGAGCCCGUUUAGAAGACCUCCCUGUUAUCUGUGAGUACCCAGAUGUGUUUCCAGAAGACUUGCCAGGCAUGCCACCUGACAGAGAAGUGGAGUUUUCCAUAGAGUUGCUUCCUGGCACAGCCCCGAUAUCUAAGAGACCCUAUCGGAUGCCACCCGCUGAGUUAGCCGUGUUGAAGACCCAGUUGCACGAUCUGUUGGAAAAGGGCUUCAUUCGACCCAGUACAUCAUCUUGGGGUUGCCCCACCCUGUUUGUGAAGAAGAAAGACGGCAGUUUACGGAUGUGUGUGGAUUACCGACCCCUCAAUGCGGUAACAGCCAAGAACAAGUACCCACUGCCCCGCAUUGAUGUCUUGUUCGAUCAGUUAGCCGGAGCAAAAGUGUUCUCCAAGAUCGAUCUUCGUUCUGGUUAUCACCAAAUCAAGAUUCGACCUUGCGACAUACCCAAGACAACUUUCUCUACCAGAUAUGGACUGUAUGAGUACCUAGUCAUGUCCUUUGGACUCACCAAUGCACCCGCUUACUUCAUGUACCUUAUGAACUCGGUGUUUAUGCUCGAGCUGGACAAGUUUGUAGUGGUGUUCAUUGACGAUAUCCUAGUGUACUCGAAGAACGAGGAAGAGCAUGCCAACCACCUUCAUACAGUUCUCCAACAACUGAGAGAUCACCAGCUUUAUGCAAAGUUCUCCAAGUGUGAGUUUUGGUUAGAUAGUGUCAAGUUUUUGGGACACACUAUCUCCAAGGACGGUAUUGCCGUGGAUCCCAGUAAGGUGCAAGAGGUCAUGGAAUGGAAGUCUCCUGCCUCGGUACACCAGAUCAGGAGUUUCCUUGGACUGGCAGGUUACUAUCGGCGUUUUAUACCGGAUUUCUCCAAGAUAGCUAAGCCGAUGACCGAGUUGUUGAAGAAAGAGGUCAAGUUUGUGUGGGACACCAAGUGCGAAGAAGCUUUCAAAACCCUGAAGCACUUGCUGACCACCGCCCCAGUGUUGGCUCAACCCGACCCCUCUAGGCCGUAUGACGUAUACUGUGACGCCUCUGGCACUGGACUCGGAUGUGUUCUUAUGCAAGACAGCCGAGUCAUUGCCUAUGCCUCACGUGCAUUGCGACCUCAUGAGCUGAACUACCCGACCCAUGACCUUGAGUUGGCAGCAGUGAUACAUGCCUUGAAGAUAUGGAGGCACUACUUAAUGGGAGCUCACUGCAACAUCUACACCGACCACAAGAGCCUCAAGUACAUCUUCACGCAAGCCGACCUCAACAUGCGUCAGAGAAGAUGGCUGGAGUUGAUAAAUGAUUAUGAGUUGGAAGUGCACUAUCACCCUGGCAAGGCCAAUGUGGUAGCCGAUGCCCUCAGUCGCAAACCCCAUUGCCACUGCUUGUUGUCAACAGCCUUCACCAACACUCUGUGUCACGAAAUGGGAAAACUAAGUCUAGAGAUUGUUCCCCAUGGAACCCUUGAUCACAUCAUCCUUGACUCAGUUUUGGAGGACCGAAUUCGGUCAGCACAAGCUAAGGAUGAAGAAGUAAAACGGAUCAUCAGUAAGAUCUUGGUAAAAGACGAGGGAUAUAAGCUUUUCUGUCAGGACCAAACGGGAGGUGUGUAUUAUGGAAACCGACUAGUAGUGCCCGCUGACCCCGAGUUGAGGAAGCAGAUCCUAGAUGAAGCUCAUCUUUCCAAGUUCUCAAUCCACCCUGGCAGCAACAAGAUGUACCAUGAUCUCCGUCAGACCUUUUGGUGGAGUGGGAUGAAACCGGAGAUAGCUCGUUAUGUUUCAGAAUGUGACACUUGUCAACGUGUCAAGGCCAGUCACUUGAAGGUAGCAGGAACCUUGCAGCCGCUACCUAUUCCCUCUUGGAAAUGGGAAGACAUCAGCAUGGACUUCAUAAUUGGGUUACCCCUUACAACUCAACGGUAUGAUUCUAUCUGGGUUAUAGUGGACCGUCUGACCAAGACAGCACAUUUCUUUCCUGUUCGUACCACCUACACAGUCAAGCAAUAUGCAGAGUUGUACCUCGACCAUAUUGUUUCCCUACAUGGUGUACCCAAGACCAUCAUCUCUGAUCGAGGAGUUCAGUUUGUGGCCCGUUUUUGGGAGCAAUUACAAAUAUCCAUGGGCACCAAGCUCAUCCGAAGCUCAACGUAUCAUCCCCAAACUGAUGGCCAAACCGAGAGAGUAAAUCAUAUCCUCGAAGACAUGUUAAGAGCUUGUGUCAUCCACUAUGACAAAAUUUGGGACAAGUGCCUGCCUUUAGUAGAGUUCUCCUACAAUAACAGCUAUCAGGCCAGUUUGAAGAUGGCACUGUUUGAGGCCCUGUAUGGCUGAAGAUGCAGGACACCCUUGAACUGGUCCCAACCAGGAGAGAGACAGGUUUAUGGCCCUGACUUAGUGGCAGAAGCCGAGGAGCAAGUGAAGGUAAUUCAGGCAAAUCUCAAGGCUGCCCAAUCGCGACAGAAGAGUUACUCUGACCAGAGCAGGAGACCCCUGCAGUUCGACCUUGGUGAUCAUGUGUACCUUCGAGUCUCCCCAACCAAAGGAGUGCAACAGUUUGGAAUAAAAGGCAAGUUAGCUCCCCGCUAUGUUGGCCCUUAUGAGAUUGUGGAGAAAUGUGGACCUGUUGCUUACCGGAUCCAACUCCCAGAACCGCUAUCAGCCAUACAUGAUGUUUUCCAUGUGUCUCAGUUGAAGAAAAUGUGUCCGAGUUCCAGCAGAGAUCUUAGAACAAGAACAGCUUCAAGUAGAACCUGACCUGACCUACGCCGAGUACCCAGACCGAGUUCUUGACCAAAAGGAAAGGCACACCCGACGCCAAGUGGUAAAGAUAUACAAGAUCCUCUGGAGAAACCACACCGAAGAUGAAGCAACAUGGGAAACAGAAGAAUAUCUGAACAAGCGUUUCCCAGGUUUUCUAUCCCAUCAAGAAGGUAAAAACAGCACACCCUUGAUCUUGAAUCUCGGGACGAGAUUCUUCUUAAGAGGGGUAGGCUGUAACGACCGACCCCUAACCUUUCCCAGUUAGGUUUGAUCUCAGCCCUUAACCUCAGUCAGCUGUUCUGUUGACCGCACCUAAGUGCUCAGUCUUCCGCCAGUUUCGACCCCUGAGAUCCGACCCCUACCGUUUCGUUCCUCUUCCGACCCUGGCGAGUUCAGCCCUCCGUCGGAUCCUGCUGAUCUUCCUCGCCCGUCCGAUCUAUCCCCCGGUGGACCCGUGAGAUCUUUUUCCAGAUCCCCCGCGUCAGCCGCACUCGAGUUGCAUGGCCGCCUCAGAGUUUUCCUGCCACGUGGCUCGUCUUCUCCGACGCCAUCGCCCAGUUUUGUCUCUGGCAAGCAACAGAGUGGGUUCCCGCGCCCCUUUUCCCCAAUGGCAGCGGAAGCCCUCUGCACCCUUUCUGCAGAACCUCGUCUCCCGCGCCCAUCAUCACGCCACCAGAUCCCGGCCCCAGAGCCCGAUGUCGCCCGUCUUUUCCGUCCCUUUUAGCAACAGUUGCGCCGCCCGGUCGUCGCUACACGACGAUUCCCCCACCGCCAACCCCGACCGCGGCCGCGACAGUUCCUUUCCCCGCUCUGUCAGAAGCCGCCCGACAAUCUGUUGUUCCGCGCUCUCCCCCACGCCGCGUCCGCUUGUCUUCCCACCUGUGCGCCCUCGAUCCUAGCACCGUUUAACCGGUCGCUUCUAUCACCUCUUCCGCACGACGAUGCCCGCUCUCCGCCAAAUCCCAACCACCGGUCUACCCGCGCCUACGCCGCCCUGAUGGAGUAGCGCAAUGAUCGCUGGCGUCACCCCCGGAGUUCUGCAGCACCGCCCGGUUUUCUCAAUCGCCGCCACGGCAGAGCACUCCAUUGCUUCUCCCCGGCCUUCGCGCCGCUCCCCUUCUCUCUCUCCGCGACGUUUCCGUUCCUCUGCUCCAGCAGCUAUAAAAGGAAUGCCCCCGUCACCGGAGUUCCCUCCGCCUUUGUUGCCUUUAGUCUCCUCUAGCUCCCUGCUCAAGCUUCUAGUGCCACCCACCCAGUUCUUGAGAAGUUCUUCUCCCAGUCCUUCUCAGUUCCUCCAAGUCACCCAGCAGCUUGCUCCCUUGUGCUGCGUAGAGCUCUCUUGUGAUCCGCAAGAAGCGGCGCCGCCGGAGCAUCGCCAGUCUUAGUCCUUGCUCGAAGCGUUAGUCCCUCCAUCCAAGUCUGCCUCUUCCCGACCCCAAGCUUUCCUUUCAGGAAGAAGGUGACUUGCUGACCCUAAGUCCGCCUCGCCCGACCCCUCCUAUCCGCCCAACCCCAGUUCCGUCUCGUCCGACCCUGUCUGUUCCGCCGACCCUUGUCCGCCUCGCCCGAGGGCUUGGCUGUGAUCUUUUUCUUCAACUCGAGGGUGUAUGUGUAAAACGUGGGAACCCUUCAGCGCUUGCGUCUGAGGAUCCCAGUUAUCACAUCCUCUAGUUCAAGGAUCAGACCACUAGUUUCCCUUCCUACCCUUACCUGUUGAUCAUCAUCAGCUCUCUCAAACCGCCUCAACCUCCUGCUCUUUGUCGCAAGUUUCUGGACUCAGGCGAGCCAGUGUUGCUGUCGAAUGAAACGUUUAAGCUAACCCUUGCAUUGCAUUCGUGUAGAGCUGCACCUCGCUGACGGCUUCUACGAGCUGCACCCGGCGCCAGAAGAAGAAGCUGUAGCCGAGUUCCUGCCCGCGGAAGUCGAAGCCGCCCCCGAAGUCGAGUAGUUCCAGCCCUCUUUGCUUGCAGGCAAGCCCCGGUUGCAUGAAAAUCCUACGUGUUUUGUCAAACAUGCGCAUGCCUUCCGUAUAGCAUGUUGUGCAUUUACGUUAGGAGUUGUGUGAAACCCUAGAUGCACGACCUAGUAACCCUUGAGAUGAGCACUAGCUGUUGGACCGAGUAGCUGCAUUGCUUAAAUAGGAGACGGUAAAAGCCGAGUGAUCUCCUGUCACUCGCGAGUUGUAGGAGUUGCAUGUUUUACUCUCCUGUUACAACUAUAAGGACGAUGGACGGGGCAGGGUUUGGUAACUCUUUGGUGGUCGGAUGGACGCCCCAUCUGUCUAUGAAAAUUGGUUAAGGCCCGAUAGUGGUGGUGUUCAUGAUCAAGUGUUUGAAAGUACUAGCCUCAUACUUAGUAUGGGAUGAGGAAGCCUAGUACCUGAUUGAACCUAGACGUGAGCGGUCGCCCCAUUGUUCUUGGAACGGAGUUUCCCCUGCUGGUUGUCGCACGUGGUGGCAAAGCGUGGUCACAGAACGGCAGAGGCCGGGUCUGUGGAACCUUGCACCAAAGGAAAUGGGCCCGACAUGGGUUAGGGGAUUGAUGGGGAAGGCCGACACAGGAAGCGACCUCCGGGUGCGCGGAUGUCGUGAGGCUAGGUUCACCAUGCAUGGUUAAAGAACUCGAAUCGAUUCGUCUGCCUCUCACAGUCUGAGAUUUCUUGAUCGCUAUGUCACCCUGAGUAAAUGAGGAAUCUGAUGAUGGCAAUAUUGUUGUUUUAUCUACACAUCUUGAUUGGCUUGAUGUUUGCUUAGAAUAGGUUGCACAACUUAGACUGGUAAGUGAACCUAGAACCGGAGCUAAAACUUGAAAUUAAGGUUACUUAGUGCUUUUGGCAAACAAACCCCUCAGCCAAGAAGCCUUGCAUGUCUAGUUAGAAGAGUCGCUGACUCCCGGGUUAAGUCUUGUUGAGCUUAGUAGCUCAGCCUUGUUGUGGCUCCUGUUUUUCAGGUGAAGUUGUUGUUCCCGACCCCUCCCUUGCUGGCGCUUGGCCGUCCCAGCUCCCGCCAGGCUGGACGGUCGAGUCGGACCCCUCCUUGGACGGCGAGGAGAGGACUCAGUGAUGUUCUGGUUGGCCUCGCCCGGACAUCCGACCCCGACGAAGUCUUCCGCUAGUGUUUUCUCUGUCGUUUUCUUUGAACUUGUAAAACUCUGAUGCAAUUUUUUAUGGCCGAACUAAUCAAGUAAGACUUGCUUAACUCAGUGGACUUGUUGUAUUCUCUGUAACCGCUCACCGUCGUGUGGGUUUGCUAGACUCGAUCCUGUUAAGUGGUUAAAUCGGAGGAAAUCCGACGGCACCCCGUGUUAGCUCGGUUUAAGCAGAAGUGUCGCAUGUUAGGCGACUUAACCUUGCUCAAUCAAGCUAAUCCGAGGUGGUUCCGCCACACCCACCCUCUUCAAGGAAAACCUUAUCAUCCUUGACCUUGAAGGCCUAGAUGUUAUCCUUGGCAUGGAUUGGAUGGCCCGACAUCAUGUUGUUCUAGACACAUCAGCCCGAUCUCUUUACAUCAGCUCACCCUCUCAUGGCAGUUCUACCCUAUCCUUGACCCAUCCUGAGUCUUCGACUCCUUGUGCCUAUCCUCUCUUGGGAGCCCGUUUAGAAGACCUCCCUGUUAUCUGUGAGUACCCAGAUGUGUUUCCAGAAGACUUGCCAGGCAUGCCACCUGACAGAGAAGUUGAGUUUUCUAUAGAGUUGGUUCCUGGCACAGCCCCGGUAUCUAAGAGACCCUAUCGGAUGCCACCCGCUGAGUUAGCCGUGUUGAAGACCCAGUUGCAUGAUCUGUUGGAAAAGGGCUUCAUUCGACCCAGUACAUCAUCUUGGGGUUGCCCCGCCCUGUUUGUGAAGAAGAAAGACGGCAGUUUACGGAUGUGUGUGGAUUACCGACCCCUCAAUGUGGUAACAGUCAAGAACAAGUACCCACUGCCCCGCAUUGAUGUCUUGUUCGAUCAGUUAGCCAGAGCAAAAGUGUUCUCCAAGAUCGAUCUUCAUUCUGGUUAUCACCAAAUCAAGAUUCGACCUUGCGACAUACCCAAGACAGCUUUCUCUACCAGAUAUGGACCGUAUGAGUACCUAGUUAUGUCCUUUGGACUCACCAAUGCACCCACUUACUUCAUGUACCUUAUGAACUCGGUGUUUAUGCCCGAGCUGGACAAGUUUGUAGUGGUGUUCAUUGACGAUAUCCUAGUGUACUCGAAGAACGAGGAAGAGCAUGCCAAGCACCUUCAUACAGUUCUCCAACGACUGAGAGAUCACCAGCUUUAUGCAAAGUUCUCCAAGUGUGAGUUUUGGUUAGAUAGUGUCAAGUUUUUGGGACACACUAUCUCCAAGGACGGUAUCGCCGUGGAUCCCAGUAAGGUGCAAGAAGUCAUGGAAUGGAAAUCCCCUGCCUCGGUACACCAGAUCAGGAGUUUCCUUGGACUGGCAGGUUACUAUCGGUGUUUCAUACCGGAUUUCUCCAAGAUAGCUAAGCCGAUGACCGAGUUGAUGAAGAAAGAGGUCAAGUUUGUGUGGGACACCAAGUUUGAAGAAGCUUUCAAGACCCUGAAGCACUUGCUAACCACCGCCCCAGUUUUGGCUCAACCCGACCCCUCUAGGCCGUAUGACGUAUACUGUGACGCCUCUGGCACUGGACUCGGAUGUGUUCUUAUGCAAGACAGCCGAGUCAUUGCCUAUGCCUCACGUGCGUUACGACCUCAUGAGCUGAACUACCCGACCCAUGACCUUGAGUUGGCAGCAGUGGUACAUGCCUUGAAGAUAUGGAGGCACUACUUAAUGGGAGCUCACUGCAACAUCUACACCGACCACAAGAGCCUCAAGUACAGCUUCACGCAAGCCGACCUCAACAUGCGUCAGAGAAGAUGGCUGGAGUUGAUAAAGGAUUAUGAGUUGGAAGUGCACUAUCAUCCUGGCAAGGCCAAUGUGGUAGCCGAUGCCCUCAGUCGCAAACCCCAUUGCCACUGCUUGUUGUCAACAGCCUUCACCAACACUCUGUGUCACGAGAUGGGAAAACUAAGUCUAGAGAUUGUUCCCCAUGGAACCCUUGAUCACAUCAUCCUUAACUCAGUUUUGGAGGACCGAAUUCGGUCAGCACAAGCUAAGGAUGAAGAAAUAAAACGGAUCAUCAGUAAGAUCUCAGUAAAGGAUGAAGGAUAUAAGCAAUUCCGUCAGGACAAAACGGGAGGUGUGUACUGUGGAAACCGACUAGUAGUGCCCGCCGACCCCGAGUUGAGGAAGCAGAUCCUAGAUGAAGCUCAUCUUUCCAAGUUCUCAAUCCACCCUGGCAGCAACAAGAUGUACCAUGAUCUCCGUCAGACCUUUUGGUGGAGUGGGAUGAAACCGGAGAUAGCUCGUUAUGUUUCAGAAUGUGACACUUAUCAACGUGUCAAGGCCAGUCACUUGAAGGUAGCAGGAACCUUGUAGCCGCUACCUAUUCCCUCUUGGAAAUGGGAAGACAUCAGCAUGGACUUCAUAGUUGGGUUACCCCUUACAACUCAACGGUAUGAUUCUAUCUGGGUUAUAGUGGACCGUCUGACCAAGACAGCACAUUUCUUUCCUGUUCGUACCACCUACACAGUCAAGCAAUAUGCAGAGUUGUACCUCGACCGUAUCGUUUCCCUACAUGGUGUACCCAAGACCAUCAUCUCUGAUCGAGGAGUUCAGUUUGUGGCCCGUUUUUUGGAGCAAUUACAAACAUCCAUGGGCACCAAGCUCAUUCGAAGCUCAACGUAUCAUCCCCAAACCGAUGGCCAAACUGAGAGAGUAAACCAGAUCCUCGAAGACAUGUUAAGAGCUUGUGUCAUCCACUAUGACAAAAACUGGGACAAGUGCCUGCCCUUAGCAGAGUUCUCCUACAAUAACAGCUAUCAGGCCAGUUUGAAGAUGGCACCGUUUGAGGCCCUGUACGGCCGAAGAUGCAGGACACCCUUGAACUGGUCCCAACCAGGAGAGAGAUAGGUUUAUGGCCCUGACUUAGUGGCAGAAGCCGAGGAGCAAGUGAAGGUAAUUCAGGCAAAUCUCAAGGCUGCCCAAUCUCGACAGAAGAGUUACUCCGACCAGCGGAGAAGACCCCUGCAGUUCGAUCUUGGUGAUCAUGUGUACCUUCGAGUCUCCCCAACCAAAGGAGUGCAACGGUUUGGAAUAAAGGGGCAAGUUAGCUCCCCGCUAUGUUGGCCCUUAUGAGAUUGUGGAGAAAUGUGGACCCGUUGCUUACCGGAUCCAACUCCCAGAACAGCUAUCAGCCAUACAUGAUGUUUUCCAUGUGUCUCAGUUGAAGAAAUGUGUCCGAGUUCCAGCGGAGAUCUUAGAACAAGAACAGCUUCAAGUAGAACCUGACCUGACCUACGCCGAGUACCCAGAUCGAGUUCUUGACCAAAAGGAAAGGCACACCCGACGCCAAGUGGUAAAGAUGUACAAGAUCCUCUGGAGAAACCACACCGAAGAUGAAGCAACAUGGGAAACGGACGAAUAUCUAAACAAGCGUUUCCCAGGUUUUCUGUCCCAUCAAGAAGGUAAAAGCAGCACACCCUUGAUCUUUGAAUCUCGGGACGAGAUUCUUUUUAAGAGGGGUAGGCUGUAACGACCGACCCCUAACCUUUCCCAGUUAGGUUUGAUCUCAGCCCUUAACCUUAGUCAGCUGUUUUGUAUGACCGCACCUAAGUGCUCAGUCUUCCGCCAGUUCCGACCCCUGGAUCCGACCCCUUCCUGCUUCGUUCCUUUCCCGACCCUGGCGAGCUCAGCCCUCCGUCGGAUCCUGCUAAUCUUCCUCACCCGUCCGAUCUAUCCCCGGUGGACCCGCGAGAUCUUUUUCCAGAUCCCCCGCGCCAGCCGCACUCGAGUUGCAUGGCCGCUUCAGAGUCUUCCUGCCGCGUGGCUCAUCUUCUCCGACGCCAUCGCCCAGUUUUGUCUCUGGCAAGGAACAGAGUGGGUUCCCGCGCCCCUUUUCCCCAAUGGCAGCGGAAGCCCUCUGCACCCCUUUCUGCAGAACCUCGUCUCCCGCGCCCAUCAUCACGCCACCAGAUCCCGGCCCCAGAGCCCGAUGUCGCCCGUCUUUUCCGUCCCUUUCAGCAACAGUUGCGCCGCCCGGUCGUCGCUACGCGACGAUUCCCCCACCGCCAACCCCGACCGCGGCCGCGACAGUUCCUUUUCCCCGCUCUGUCAGAAGCCGCCCGACAAUCUGUUGUUCCGCGCUCUCCCCCGCGCUCACGUCCGCUUGUCUUCUCACCUGUGCGCCCUCGAUCCUAGCGCCGUUUAACCGGUCGCUUCUAUCACCUCUUCCGCACGACGACGCCCGCUCUCCGCCAAAUCCCAACCACCGGUCUACCCGCGCCUACGCCGCCCUGACGGUAUAGCGCAAUGAUCGCUGGCGUCACCCCCGGAGUUCUGCAGCACCGCCCUGUUUGCUCAAUCGCCGCCAUGGCAGAGCACUCCAUUGCUUCUCCCUGGCCUUCGCGCCGCUCCCCUUCUCUCUCUCCGCGACGUUUCCGUUCCUCUGCUCCAGCAGCUAUAAAAGGAAUGCCCCCAUCACCGGAGUUCCCUCCGCCUUUGUUGCCUUCAGCCUCCUCUAGCUCCCUGCUCAAGCUCCUAGCGCCACCCACCCCGUUCUUGAGAAGUUCUUCUCCCAGUUCCUUCUCAGUUCCUCCAAGUCACCCAGCAGCUUGCUCCUUUGUGCUGCGUAGAGCUCUCUUGUGAUCCGCAAGAAGCAGCGCCGCCGCCGGAGCAUCGCCAGUCUUAGUCCUUGCUCGAAGCUUUAGUCCCUCCGCCCAAGUCUGCCUCUUCCCGACCCCAAGCUUUCCUUUCAGGAAGAAGGUGAGUUGCCGACCCUAAGUCCGCCUCGCCCGACCCCUCCUAUCCGCCCGACCCCAGUUCCGUCUCGUCCGACCCUGUCUGUUCCGCCGACCCUUGUCCGCCUAGCCCGAGGGCUUGGCUGUGAUCUUUUUCUUCAACUCGAGGGUGUAUGUGUAAAACUUGGGAACCCUUCAGCGCUUGCGUCUGAGGAUCCCAGUUAUCACAUCCUCUAGUUCAAGGAUCAGACCACUAGUUUCCCUUCCUACCCUUACCAGUUGAUCAUCAUCAGCUCUCUUGAACCACCAUAACCUCCUGCUCUUUGUCGCAAGUUUCUGGACUCAGGCGAGCCAGUGUUGCUGUUUGAAUAAACGUUUAAGCUAACCCUUGCAUUGCAUUCGUGUAGAGCUGCACCUCGCCGACGGCUUCUACAAGUUGCACCCGGCGCCAGAAGAAGAAGCUGUAGCCGAGUUCCUGCCCGCGGAAGCCGAAGCCGCCCCAGAAGUCGAGCAGCUUCCGUCCCCUUUGCUCGCAGGCAAGCCCCGGUUGCAUGAGAAUCCUACGUGUUUUGCCAAACUUGCGCAUGCCUUCCGUAUAGCAUGUUUGUGCAUUUACGUUUAGGAGUUGUGUGAAACCCUAGAUGCACGACCUCGUAACCCUUGAUAUGAGCACUAGCUAUUGGACCGAGUAGCUGCAUUGCUUAAAUAGGAGACGGUAAAAGCCGAGUGAUCUCCUGUCACUCGUGAGUUGUAGGAGUUGCAUGAUUUACUAUCCUGUUACAACUAUAAGGACGAUGGACGGGGCAGGGUUUUGGGUAACUCUUUGGUGGUCGGAUGGUCGCCCCGUCUGUCUAUGAAAACUUGCUAAGGCCCGACAGUGGUGGUGUUCGUGAUCAAGUGUUUGAAAGUACUAGCCUCAUACUUAGUAUGGGAUGAGGAAGCCUAGUACCUGAUUGAACCUAGACGUGAGCGGUCGCCCCAUUGUUCUUGGAACGGAGUUUCCCCUGCUGGUUGUCGCACGUGGUGGCAAUGUGUGGUCACAGAACGGCAGAGGCCGGGUCUGUGGAACCUUGCACCAAAGGAAAUGGGCCCGACACGGGUUAGGGGAUUGAUGGGGAAGGCCGACACAGGAAGCGACCUCCGGGUGCGCAGAUGUCGUGAGGCUAGGUUCACCAUGCAUGGUUAAAGAACUCGAAUCGAUUCGUCUGCCUCUCACAGUCUGAGAUUUCUUGAUCGCUACGUCACCCUGAGUAAAUGAGGAAUCUGAUGAUGGCAAUGUUGUUGUUAUAUCUACACAUCUUGUUUGGCUCUAUGAUUGCUUAGAAUAGGUGGCACAACCUAGACUGGUAAGUGAAUCUAGAACCGGAGCUAAAACCUGAAAAUAAGGUUAAUUAGUGCUUUUGGCAAACAAACCCCUCAGCCAAGAAGCCUUGCAUGUCUAGUUGGAAGAGUAGUUGACUCCUCCCCGGUUAAGUCUUGUUGAGCUUAGUAGCUCAGCCUUGUUGUGGCUCCUGUUUUUCCAGGUGAAGUUGUUGUUCCCGACCCCUCUCUGGUUGGUGCUUGGCCGCCCCAGCUCCCGCCAGGCUGGACGGUCGAGUGGGACCCCUCCUCGGACGGCGAGGAGAGGACUCAGUGAUGUUCUGGUUGGCCUCGCCCAGACAUCCGACCCCGACGAAGUCUUCCGCUAGUGUUUUCUCUGUUGUUCUUUGUUUAUAAAACUCUGAUGUUAAUUUUUAUGGCCGAACUAAUGGAGUAAGACUGUUUAAUUCAGUGGACUUGUUGUAUUCUCUGUAGCCGCUCACCUUCGUGUGGGUUUGCUAGACUCGAUCCUGUUAAGUGGUUAAAUCGGAUGAAAUCCGAUGGCACCCCGGGUUAGCUCGGUUUAAGCAGAAGUGUCGCGUGUUAGGCGACUUAACCUUGCUUAAUCAAGCUAAUCCGAGGUGGUUCCGCCACACUUUAGCUACCCACAAAUCAUAUUUUGGGUUAGCAACUAUCUCUUUCUUGUCGUCGGCCUUCACCAGUUCCAUGGUCUUGGACGGUUCCUUGAUGGAUCCAUCUAGGAUCCCCAUCAGCUGCGCGCCACGCACAGCCAGGAAAAGCUGAGCUUUUCACAAGACGUAAUUUUCCCGUGUGAGCUUUUCAGCUAUGGGAGCUCCGAGAGGUGCCGCCGGCGAGCUUGAAGAUGACGCCAUGGAGGAGGUGGUAGUCGGGUAGAUGUGUUGUGGAAGAAGGGGGCUCUGAUUACCAUAACGCCAUGGAGGAGGUGGUAGUCGGGUAGAUGUGUUGUGGAAGAAGGGGGCUCUGAUUACCAUGUAAAAUGAUAGAACGUGGUUGCCUAUCUUGGGUCGCCAUGGUUGCACGUUAAUAUAUAGGGAGAGUCCCAACAGAUUACAUCCUAAGGCGUUGCAAAUAUUCGGUUCGGUUGGAUAUGAUUACAACAAGAUUCCUAUCUCUAACAACCGAACGAAAGUCUCAACACCUAUAUCUGUAGGAUUACAUAAUCCAAAUUGCAUAUGAUGAUAUCUCUAAUUCCAACAUGUAAUAGAGUAGCGCACACUUUGGCGGCGCGCAAAGAUGUAAGUAUAGUCCUCAUGAUGAUGUCCUAUCUUGGGAUGGUAUGCUUCCGGGUGUGGAGGACCUGGUGGCCAGUGACACCACUGGGUCCUCAUUGCGGUGGAGCAGAGCAAUGGGUGUGUCGCAGCACCAGCAUGGAGCGAUGCGAAGGGGGUGAAGUGGUGAACAGGCAUCGAUAAUGAUAUAAACAAAAACAAUCAAGUUACAUGGAAAAUUGGCAAUUGAGGGUGAUUCACUACUGGAAAACGGACCUUUAGGCCCGGUUGGUAGGGGUCAAAUUUCCCAAAAAUUCAUUUGGGAUUAAUUUUUUGAGAUAAAUGGGUUCUUUAGUCCCGGGUCAUCCACUCGGGAUUAAAGGGGGCCUUUAGUUCCGGUUGGUGUUUCCAACCAGGACUAAAGUGUUUUGAAAAAAAUUAAAAAAAAGACGCAAGCCGCCUGCCGCCCGCCGCCCGCCCCGACACCAGCCACACGCCGCUCCGACCUCCGCUCUGCCCCGGCUCUAGCCUCCGCCCCAACCCUGACCCCAGCCCCAGCCUCCGCUCCGCCCCGCGCCGCUCCAUCCCGGCGCCGUCCCGUUCCGGCCUCCGCGCCGCUCCGUCGCUUCGAGCAAUUACUGAGAGGGACAUAGGAAUCAGAGGGCGAAGGAUUUUUCAGAGUCAUGCCUCUUGAUUGAGAUCGAUUUUCAGGGGGGGAGGGGGCAGAUGGAGGUCCUGCGCCUGCUCCCGCGUGUCCUGCACCUGUGCGCCACUGCUCGACGUCCUACCCACGUGCCGUGCCUGCGAGUCCCCCGCUCGCCGCGCGCUGCCGCAGCUCACUCGCCGUGCUCCGUCGCCCCAUCGCCGUCACUGCCCUACACCUCACCCUGCUACUGCUCCUCACUGCCAGUGUGAGGCGAGCAGAAGGGGAAGGGGAGGGGCAGCAGGGGAGGGGGCGGCCACCCACACCGGAGGGAAAGGAGAAUGGAGGAAGGAGAGGAGGAGGAGGAAGAAGAAAGGGAGAGUAGCAGAAGAAAGACUUGCGCGUGAAAGACUUGUACGCGUGGAUAAGGAGAGGGGGGCAGGAAGCUCCUUUUGUCCCGGUUGGAAAUUCCAACUAGGACAAAAGAUCUACCCUUUUUAUCCCGAUUGGUAAUUUCAACUGGGAUAAAAGAUUAAUUCCCGGUUGGAAUUUCCAACCGGGAUAAAAGGGGCGGACAUCAUUGUCAGAUCUUUUCAACCGGGACUAAAGUCCCUCCCGUCGGUGUCCUUGCGGUACUUAUUUUUGAACCAGGACUAAAGCCACUUUAGUCACGGGUCAAAUAUUAACCGGAAUAAAAGGGGGUGGAUGGAAGGUCAGUUCUCUAGUAGUAAUCCCUAUUCCUGUGUGAGGAAUCAGGAUGCAGCGUGCAUGCAUAUCAUUUUGCUUAUUCCGGCACUCUCUCUUUAUCUAAAUGAUGGACCGUGAGAUGGAAAAGUUAAUAAUAAGUUUUGAAUUGAAAUUGGGAAAGUUAAGAAAAAGUUUUUCAAUUCAAGUUAUUAUGAUGCAUAACAUUUGGAUUGAUUUAUCAGUCUACACCCAACUAUAUCUGGCAUCAAUACUGAAAUCAAGCCAGUUUUCUAGCAGCACUAAUAAAGUGGCAGCAGCAGGUGGUGUCCAUGUUAGUGCAGGACAUAACAUUCCCAAGACGUCUCUCCAGGCAGUUUCUAAGGCAGGCUUUGUCGCACCUUGGUAGAUGAAAGCACAUCGCUACAUAAUUGUAAAUUUAAAAGUAAUGGUCAAAGAUCGAUUGUGUCAAAUCUAAAAUGUUUGUAAAAAAGAAGACGGUAAGAUCAUGUGCACAUGUGUAAAUACAAUAUGUACGUUUUUGUCCUCCAUGCACAAGAGAUGGUGACAAGACCGCCAUGGCUACGACCAUGACCGUCAAAACAGAACCUUGCUGACAGGUGCCAUGAUAGAUGGUGUUUCUAGCUGUUGCUCUUGCGUUUGGUUGUGAGGUUGCCGGGUUAUUGAAAUGCAAUGCUCUGUGUCCAUGUUAAUAUAGAGGCAGGAGGCUGGAGCAAACAUGGCAGUGAAUUAACUCUAGCCAUAUUCUUUGCUACAUUGUAUAGAUGAUAGAUUGGAUAACUCAUGUCAUACUAGUAGAAAUUAUCUUUCAGACCAUAUAUCAUAAACUUCAUUUUUAGCAUUCAUUUAUCAAAUUUAUGAAAUAUUUACCGUUCAUGUUCAUAUAUUUUGACACUUAUGUUUAGCUAUCAUUUAUUUAGUACCUUGUAACAUGACUUAUGUUCAUGUGCAGCGUGUGGACACAAAGGGAGAUCAUUCAUUCGGCGAGCAGGGAAAUGGAGACUGUUGCUUUAGAUAUUUUUAUCAAGAAUGGACGGAGAAACAAUAAUAGACUCGCUUUUAAUUAUUUUGGUCUUUUGUGUGCUCAAUUCCCUUAGUUAUAUAAUCAGCAGUAUGGCUGAAAAAUUGUAAGCAUAAGCUGUGUGCACUUGCCGAGGCAAGAUUUAGUUCCUUUUUCAAAAAAACAUGACUUCGAAUAGUGGUUGUUAUUUAGCUACCAAGUUAAACUUUGAAUCUAGACUAAAAAAGACCAUCAGCCCAACAUGCAUUCUUUCUGUCCACACGAGUCCUGACCACACAUAUGCGAUGCCAUAGGUCAUGGAUCCCAUCCACUGAAACUGAAAUGCUCGGACUCUACUUUCUCUGCGCAUGACCUGAAACAGCCCACUUCUCCGCACCGUGUGGGGCGGCUUACUAUUUUUUGCUCGUGGAAACUAGCAGCUUCCCGUGCCUCCGUGAGAACUGUAUCUGCUGAUCUCCAUGCCCACCUCGUGAGCACAUAUACGGCAGGUGCUAUUAUUUUUUAUUUUUUAAUAUGUGUCCGUAAUUUGUUAUUUAAUUUAUCUAAAGAUUUCUGACCUCAAAAUAUUAAAUUAAUAUAGUCAACAUUUUAAAUUAAGAAAGUAGCCCACGACGUCAGGUGGAGGCUGUAGCAGCCCAGUUCCGGCUGAGACUUUUAGCCCAAUUCCAUUACCAGAAUGCCAGGAGCGAGCCGCGAGCUCGCCGUUUAUGCAUACAACAUGCUCUCAUGGACAUGGAGGUACUUGUUGGAUUUAAUCUUGUUUUAGUCGUAGGUUUAGGAAGUCAAGUUUGUGUCGGUCGAUGAAUUAGGAAGUUGAGUCCGUGUGCAUGCUGGUUAGUAUUACGUGCAUGGAGUUGCACACGUAGGAAGCUAGCAAGGUUAGUUUAGCAAACGGAAUUGCAUUGGUCGGCGAGCUGUCGUAUACGAUCUCGUAUAGAAGGGAAGCUACGAGUUCGCGGAGUCCGGCAGGCAAUCAAGGAAAUCGGAGUUUCCUAGUUGGAGUCGGACAUCAGAUACUUUUAUGGUCGGAGUACUCGUGAGUCCAGAUCGGAUACAAGUCAGAGUUGUAACUUAUAUGUCUGGCCGGUUAGGUGCUUCGGAAGUCUAUGUGUUCUUUUUUCCUUCUCGUGUUCGCGUGUGCUAGAUUCCGUGAAAUCCCAACAGUACUAACAAGCUUUUUAUUCAAACUAGUUCGUGAUACGUGCCAUGACGCACGAUCGAUGAGCGGCGACGACGACGUCGGCAUGCCCGCCGGCGCUCCCAUCCCGCCGUGGGCCGACCUCGAGCCCAGCCUCGUCUCCACCAUCGCCGACUGCUGCGCGCUCAAGGACUACGCCUCCUGCCGCGCUGUCUGCGCCGCGUGGCGCUCCGCGCUCCCGCCACCGCUAUCGCGCCCGCUCGCUGUGCUCCCGGCCGACAACGCCGCGAGCCUUCCCGUCUCGCUCGCCGCCUGCCCCCUCUACGUGCGGCGCUGGUCCAGGCUCCUGCUGCACCGGCCGGGCGGCACGGUCGGCGCCGCGGCGCGCUGCCGCUGCAUCGGCGCCUCGCGCGACGGGUGGGUGGCACUCGUCGCGGGCGACGCUGCGGCGCCCGCGGGGCCCAUGCUGUUCAACCCCUUCACCGGUGAGGAGAUCCCGCUGGACGAGUCGCUGUACCAGCCCGCGCACGGCUAGCUGGCACCCAAGAUCGUCUUCUCGCCCAACCCCACGCGCCGCGACUUCACCGCGGCGAGCCUCAUCCGGCCGGACAUGGUCGCCGUGCAGAGGGCGGCCGACGGCUGCUCGUACAGCGAGGACACGGGCCCGCUCCUCGACGGGGUCAUCCUGGUCGACAUCGCCUACGGCGACAACGGCAAGGUCUACUGCCUGGCGUGGGACGGCGAGGUGCACGUGCUCCACCUCACCCGCCGCCACCGUGUCUUCCGCCAGAUGCCACCGAUGGAGGUGGGGCCGCUGCUGAAACUGCCCAUCGGCGCCGACGCCUUCCCUCCGCCGUACGACGUCAUCUCGGAGUACACGGACGGCAAGAACCUGGUGCUCUGCGAAGGUGGGCUGUACCAGGUAUGGAGGCGGUCGAGCGGCUCCGGCUCCGUCACAGUCGACGCGCCGCCCGGGGGAGCCGCGCGGUGGAUUCACAUAUUCGAGGGCGAUGUCUUCGUCCUCAGGUACGACCCGGGGAACUGGCCGGGCAGCUGCUGGGUGGUGGCCGACGCGAAGGAUCUGAGAGGGAACGCGGUGUUCGUCGGCAUGAACGACGCGGCGGUGGUGCGCGGCGAGGGCGUGAGCGCCAACAGCGUCUACCACUGGGACGGCCCGCGCGGGGGAGACGGAGACUACGAGGCGGUGAAUUACAACGUGGCAACCCGAGCCUCUGUCAGGUGGCCGGCGGUGUCGACCGGAGGCGUGUCGUGCCCCGUGUGGUACUUCUUGCCGGCGGCCGGCGUCAGCCAGCGCGUGGGUUAACAAAUAAUCUUUUAUACUUCCAGAGUGAUAAGACGCAGCUGAAACUACCACGGCCUUUUGUCCAGAACUCGCUCAAGCUGUGUUGCUAAUCGUUAGCCUUGACGGGCGCAGCUUUCUUCUAACUUCUAAGUUGUCGGCGACUUCCUUCACCGCGCCGAUGCCGACGUACAUACGAGGAGGCAGAGCAUCCACCAGAGUACGUCCAGACCAUCACCGUGAUGUGCAUGCUAAUUAACUGGAAAUUAGAGGGAUAGGGGCAUGUUAGAUUUAACUUAAUCUAGCAUAAGCGUGUCAUUAACUUAAGGACGGAAUCUUUGAUUAGUCUAAUUAUGAUCCCUAAUAAUAAUUUAAUGCAGAAAUUAGGCUUGAGGUACAAAUGUCCUGCCUCCGUCCUGCACAAGAGAUUUCGUAAACCAAAUAGGAACAGAAAAGAACACACCGAAUAGAUGGGAGGAUCAUUUUUUGGUGUGAGCCUACGUGAAUGCUAGAUGCAUGAAUACCCAACCAAAAGCGGAUGAGCUAACUGGUGCUCAGAUGCAGGGGCCAUCUUUCAGCAUAUAUACAUGGUUAGGCUAACUAGAGAUAAUGUGCUAACCCUCUCAAGCUGUUUCUCUUCAAAUAUGAUAGUUUGUUAUGCAUGCAUACAUGCUUACUGUGAGAAGUUGGAGGGAAACAAGUUAGCUUGGUGUUUCUAUAUCAUUAGUGAGGAGGAAGCAGCGUCGGUUUUGGUGGAGGAGACACUGUCGGAUUUUUGGUUUCGUAUUGGUCCCGAGGUUGGAGGGCGUGAGCGCCAACAGCGUCUACUACUGGGACGGCCCGCGUGGGGGAGACGGAGACUACGAGGCGGUGGUUUACAACGUGGCAACCCGAGCCUCUGUCAGGUGGCCGGCGGUGUCGACCAGAGGCGUGUCGUGCCCCGUGUGGUACUUCUUGCCGGCGGCCGGCGUCAGCCAGCGCGUGGGAGCAGAAACAGCUAGCGUGGAUGCCAUGUCUGGGGAGGAAGCGAUUUCUCUCGAACAUAAUGUCCGCAUCCGAUCCGUUCCGAAUCCGAAUUUUAUGGAUACGGGGAAGAGUUUUUGAUAUAAAUGAGGAUAUGGAUAAUCCGAAUCCGAUUGUUUGGGGAUGCGGAGUAGGAUAUGGUUUUAGUGAAAUCCGAUGGAUAUGGAUUAUCCGAUAAUUGAACGCGGAUUGUCCGAGGCUUAUAAUAGGAUAUCCGAUUCUUAAGAUUAAGAAGAAUAAAUGGUGUUUUAUUAUGAAUCCAUAUUCUUUAAACUCUUAAGUACGAACUGAGAACUUGUAAUAAUCAACUAUUUUAAUCCGUGUAUGCUCCGACAUCGAUCUGAUUCCGCACCAGUUCCGGCAUCCGAGAAAUGCCUCCAUAACAGCAUCCGUGUAAUUAAUAUCCGCUCCGCUCCGCAUCCGAUAAAAAAUAAUGGAUGAGGACGUGGAAAAGACAUUAUCCGAUCCAAUCCGAUCCGCUUUCGUCCCUAACGAAGACUAACCGAAGAUUUUCGCCCGUGGAAGAGACAAGGCUGUGUCUCUCUGGCGCACUGGGAACUCAACUUGCUGCCUUCCCUUGCAUUCCUCUUGCCUAUAAAUACGGCCUCCAAAGAUCACAAUGCUACAUCAAGAUUCAAGCGGCAGCGUAACUCCAACUCACAGGGACUGAGCUAGGGACAAGCAUCUAGCCAGCGGCCGGCCAGCAGCCAAACCGCGAUGGCGCCCUCCACCAAGACCGCCCGUCUCCUCGCGCUCCCGCAGAUCACGCUGCUCGUAGUGGCCAUGGCCAGCUCCGUUUGCCACGGAGCCCGCGACACUAGUUGGCCCAUCGUCCAUUCUGCUAUUUUCUUCAUACGAGUGUAUGUUUAAUUUGCUAAUAAGUACAGUAAUAACCAUGGGUGCUCCCAACACCGUGUAUUUCAGGGAUAGAUCGCCCCGGCUACCUAUCCCUGCAUGCACCGUCCCGGCACUAUGUGGCCCCGUUAUGGGCCUGGUAUCCCCUGCGGCCAUCGUGUUCCACCGUAUCCUCAUCAUAUACGGAGCUUGGUCAACGUUCAACGUGAUUACCACAUGAGUAUACCCUGGUUCCAGUUGGAUGAUCGAUCAAGCAGUCAGAUACCGACGUGAACACCGGGUUAUUAGACUUGCGCCACCAUAACAGUGUUUCAUGAUUGCACGUUGAGACCACACCUGCUCAUAUUUCUUUCCAUUGGCCUCUACUGUCUCUGUUUUCUUAGUAAAAUACUUCCACAGAAUAGAUGUGCACCUCUUCUGCCUCUUUGUUGUCCCUAUCUCAACAACUUCUGCUUCCUCCUCACCAUCAAGAACAACUGCAUCUGUAGUGGCUAUAGUCCCAGGUCCUUGAGUUUGUGUCUCACUAGAUCCCUCUCCCUGUGUUGAAACAUCGUUGUGUAUAAAGUCGACCCGGUGCAUAGUUUUAUCCUUUUCGUAUGGUGUGGAUGCUAGGGUUGAGUGAGUGGUGCCGUAACCCUAUGUUGUUUUCGGGGAGCCUGUUCAGUUGGCCGACCCUAGUUUGCGAGCCAGAGUGCGCCGACCCUUAAGGCAGUUACCGCCUCGUCCGACCCUUUUCGAGUACGGACCGUAUCCGACCCCUUGGUUCGAGUGGAUCAGACCCUAGGAGUCUGUAUGUGGUAUAUGUGCCUAAAGUGGAGUACCAGGGCAAGUAGAGGCUAUCUAUUUUGCAAAGGACUGCCCCAGGAACAAGAAUCAGCAGCAAGGCCAGAACCCCGUGGCAGCCAGAGGAAGAAGGCCCAAGGUGCAAGUCCGACAAGGCCGACUCAACUACACCAGCUUGACCGAAUUUCCCGAAGGUGCGUCAGUAAUGACGGGUACUUUUCUUGUUUUAAAUCAAGCUGUUGUGGUAUUGUUUGAUUCGGGAGCCUCUCAUAGCUUUAUCGGGAGUAAGGCAAGGGAAAGAUGUGGGCUAAGUGUAGGUCACACUAAGGAACCCUAUGUGAUCGCCACUCCUGGAGGAAGGAUAACGUCGGAUCAGGUCGUUAAUCUUGUACCUCUCCAGCUAGGCCCCACCCUCUUCAAGGAAAACCUUAUCAUCCUUGACCUCGAAGGCCUAGAUGUCAUCCUUGGCAUGGAUUGGAUGGCCCGACAUCAUGUUGUUUUAGAUACAUCAACCCGAUCUCUUUUCAUCAGCUCGCCCUCUCAUGGCAGUUCUACCCUAUCCUUGACCCAUCCUGAGUCUUUGACUCCUUGUGCCUAUCCUCUCUUGGGAGCCCGUUUAGAAGACCUCCCUGUUAUCUGUGAGUACCCAGAUGUGUUUCCAGAAGACUUGCCAGGCAUGCCACCUGACAGAGAAGUGGAGUUUUCCAUAGAGUUGCUUCCUGGCACAGCCCCGAUAUCUAAGAGACCCUAUCGGAUGCCACCCGCUGAGUUAGCCGUGUUGAAGACCCAGUUGCACGAUCUGUUGGAAAAGGGCUUCAUUCGACCCAGUACAUCAUCUUGGGGUUGCCCCGCCCUGUUUGUGAAGAAGAAAGACGGCAGUUUACGGAUGUGUGUGGAUUACCGACCCCUCAAUGCGGUAACAGUCAAGAACAAGUACCCACUGCCCCGCAUUGAUGUCUUGUUCGAUCAGUUAGCCGGAGCAAAAGUGUUCUCCAAGAUCGAUCUUCGUUCUGGUUAUCACCAAAUCAAGAUUCGACCUUGCGACAUACCCAAGACAGCUUUCUCUACCAGAUAUGGACUGUAUGAGUACCUAGUCAUGUCCUUUGGACUCACCAAUGCACCCGCUUACUUCAUGUACCUUAUGAACUCGGUGUUUAUGCCCGAGCUGGACAAGUUUGUAGUGGUGUUCAUUGACGAUAUCCUAGUGUACUCGAAGAACGAGGAAGAGCAUGCCAACCACCUUCAUACAGUUCUCCAACGACUGAGAGAUCACCAGCUUUAUGCAAAGUUCUCCAAGUGUGAGUUUUGGUUAGAUAGUGUCAAGUUUUUGGGACACACUAUCUCCAAGGACGGUAUAGCCGUGGAUCCCAGUAAGGUGCAAGAGGUCAUGGAAUGGAAGUCUCCUGCCUCGGUACACCAGAUCAGGAGUUUCCUUGGACUGGCAGGUUACUAUCGGCGUUUUAUACCGGAUUUCUCCAAGAUAGCUAAGCCUAUGACCGAGUUGUUGAAGAAAGAGGUCAAGUUUGUGUGGGACACCAAGUGCGAACAAGCUUUCAAAACCCUGAAGCACUUGCUGACCACCGCCCCAGUGUUGGCUCAACCCGACCCCUCUAGGCCGUAUGACGUAUACUGUGACGCCUCUGGCACUGGACUCGGAUGUGUUCUUAUGCAAGACAGCCGAGUCAUUGCCUAUGCCUCACGUGCGUUGCGACCUCAUGAGCUGAACUACCCAACCCAUGAUCUUGAGUUGGCAGCAGUGAUACAUGCCUUGAAGAUAUGGAGGCACUACUUAAUGGGAGCUCACUGCAACAUCUACACCGACCACAAGAGCCUCAAGUACAUCUUCACGCAAGCCGACCUCAACAUGCGUCAGAGAAGAUGGCUGGAGUUGAUAAACGAUUAUGAGUUGGAAGUGCACUAUCACCCUGGCAAGGCCAAUGUGGUAGCCGAUGCCCUCAGUCGCAAACCCCAUUGCCACUGCUUGUUGUCAACAGCCGUCACCAACACUCUGUGUCACGAAAUGGGAAAACUAAGUCUAGAGAUUGUUCCCCAUGGAACCCUUGAUCACAUCAUCCUUGACUCAGUUUUGGAGGACCGAAUUCGGUCAGCACAAGCUAAGGAUGAAGAAGUAAAACGGAUCAUCAGUAAGAUCUUGGUAAAAGACGAGGGAUAUAAGCUUUUCCGUCAGGACCAAACGGGAGGUGUGUAUUAUGGAAACCGACUAGUAGUGCCCGCCGACCCCGAGUUGAGGAAGCAGAUCCUAGAUGAAGCUCAUCUUUCCAAGUUCUCAAUCCACCCUGGCAGCAACAAGAUGUACCAUGAUCUCCGUCAGACCUUUUGGUGGAGUGGGAUGAAACCGGAGAUAGCUCGUUAUGUUUCAGAAUGUGACACUUGUCAACGUGUCAAGGCCAGUCACUUGAAGGUAGCAGGAACCUUGCAGCCGCUACCUAUUCCCUCUUGGAAAUGGGAAGACAUCAGCAUGGACUUCAUAAUUGGGUUACCCCUUACAACUUAACGGUAUGAUUCUAUCUGGGUUAUAGUGGACCGUCUGACCAAGACAGCACAUUUCUUUCCUGUUCGUACCACCUACACAGUCAAGCAAUAUGCAGAGUUGUACCUCGCCCGUAUUGUUUCCCUACAUGGUGUACCCAAGACCAUCAUCUCUGAUCGAGGAGUUCAGUUUGUGGCCCGUUUUUGGGAGCAAUUACAAACAUCCAUGGGCACCAAGCUCAUCCGAAGCUCAACGUAUCAUCCCCAAACUGAUGGCCAAACCGAGAGAGUAAAUCAGGUCCUCGAAGACAUGUUAAGAGCUUGUGUCAUCCACUAUGACAAAAAUUGGGACAAGUGCCUGCCCUUAGCAGAGUUCUCCUACAAUAACAGCUAUCUUUAACCAUUGGCAAGAGUCGCAUUAAAGGAUUUAAUUCAUACGUCCCCAUUUGUUGGAGUACACCUGAGGUUAUGAAAUUGAUGGGGCGUUAACUCUUGCAGAUGGCGCACCGCACCAGGUCUGGAUCUGUGCCUAGUGGUAUUGACCAGCGCCAGGAUCUUCCCCCGCCCCCGCCACCAUCGCCAUUGGAGGCAAUCCUAGCAACUCAAACCGAGCUGCUCAGGCAUCUGGUGCAGGGACAGCAGCAGCCACAUGGUGGUAGAGCACAGCAGCAGCCGCAUGUCACGCGGUACGAGGACUUUCUGGGGACGCAGCCCCCGCUGUUCCAAAAGACCCAAGAACCGCUCGACGCUGAUGCAUGGGUUCGUACGAUCGAAUCCAAGUUCGAGCUCCUCACCGCUCCAUGCCCUGACAACAACAAGGCGCGGUUCGCAGCUCAGCAGCUGCGUGGUUCCGCACGGCUUUGGUGGGACCACUACCAUGCCAUGCUACCUGCUGGCCACGUGGUCAGUUGGAACGAGUUUAAGACGGCGUUUAAGGCGCAUCACAUUCCCGAAGGUCUCCUGGAGCGCAAGCUCAACGAGUUUCUGGCCCUCACCCAAGGAACUCGGGAUGUGCUGCACUACGCCCAGGCGUUCAAUGACCUAUGCCGUUAUGCUGGCUAUCAUGCGGACACCGAUGAGAAGAAGCGGGACAGAUUCCGUCGAGGACUGAGCUUGGAGCUCAGGGAAAGGCUGAACCCCAUCAGGGUGGACACCUAUAACGAGUUGGUCAACCUGGCCAUCUCCCAGGAGGACUGCAUGCAAGCUCUCAAGGCCGACCAGAAGAGGAAAGCCUCUGUGGCUUUUCCGAGCCCGCCAACCCGAAGGUUUCGGAUGAUCCCUCCACAAGCCCCUGGCCGACCCCAACAGUCAGGGAAAUGGAUCGCCCGACCCCCGCCGGCAACAAUGCCUAGUUUCCCAGGCUUCCAACCGCAAGUACCCCCGGCCGACCUUGCCAACGCCACCUCGUCCGGCAGCCAGUAAUCGGUGUUAUACCUGCGGCAAUGAGGGACAUUUUGCAAAGGACUGCCCCAGGAACAAGAAUCAGCAGCAAGGCCAGAACCCCGUGGCAGCCAGAGGAAGAAGGCCCAAGGUGCAAGUCCGACAAGGCCGACUCAACUACACCAGCUUGACCGAACUUCCCGAAGGUGCGUCAGUAAUGACGGGUACUUUCCUUGUUUUAAAUCAAGCUGUUGUUGUGUUGUUUGAUUCGGGAGCCUCUCAUAGCUUUAUCGGGAGUAAGGCAAGGGAAAGAUGUGGGCUAAGUGUCGGUCACACUAAGGAACCCUAUGUGAUCGCCACUCCUGGAGGAAGGAUAACGUUAGAUCAGGUCGUUAUUCUUGUACCUCUCCAGCUAGGCCCCACUGUAACGACCGACCCCUAACCUUUCCCAGUUAGGUUUGAUCUCAGCCCUUAACCUCAGUCAGCUGUUCUAUUGACCGCACCUAAGUGCUCAGUCUUCCGCCAGUUCCGACCCCUGAGAUUCGACCCCUACCGUUUCGUUCCUCUUCCGACCCUGGCGAGUUCAGCCCUCCGUCGGAUCCUGCUGAUCUUCCUCGCCCGUCCGAUCUAUCCCCCGGUGGACCCGUGAGAUCUUUUUCCAGAUCCCCCGCGUCAGCCGCACUCGAGUUGCAUGGCCGCCUCAGAGUUUUCCUGCCGCGUGGCUCGUCUUCUCCGACGCCAUCGCCCAGUUUUGUCUCUGGCAAGCAACAGAGUGGGUUCCCGCGCCCCUUUUCCCCAAUGGCAGCGGAAGCCCUCUGCACCCUUUCUGCAGAACCUCGUCUCCCGCGCCCAUCAUCACGCCACCAGAUCCCGGCCCCAGAGCCCGAUGUCGCCCGUCUUUUCCGUCCCUUUCAGCAACAGUUGCGCCGCCCGGUCGUCGCUACACGACGAUUUCCCCACCGCCAACCCCGACCGCGGCCGCGACAGUUCCUUUCCCCGCUCUGUCAGAAGCCGCCCGAUAAUCUGUUGUUCCGCGCUCUCCCCCGCGCCGCGUCCGCUUGUCUUCCCACCUGUGCGCCCUCGAUCCUAGCGCCGUUUAACCGGUCGCUUCUAUCACCUCUUCCGCACGACGACGCCCGCUCUCCGCCAAAUCCCAACCACCGGUCUACCCGCGCCUACGCCGCCCUGACGGAGUAGCGCAAUGAUCGCUGGCGUCACCCCCGGAGUUCUGCAGCACCGCCCGGUUUGCUCAAUCGCCGCCACGGCAGAGCACUCCAUUGCUUCUCCCCGGCCUUCGCGCCGCUCCCCUUCUCUCUCUCCGCGACGUUUCCAUUCCUCUGCUCCAGCAGCUAUAAAAGGAAUGCCCCCGUCACCGGAGUUCCCUCCGCCUUUGUUGCCUUUAGUCUCCUCUAGCUCCCUGCUCAAGCUUCUAGCGCCACCCACCCAGUUCUUGAGAAGUUCUUCUCCCAGUCCUUCUCAGUUCCUCCAAGUCACCCAGCAGCUUGCUCCCUUGUGCUGCGUAGAGCUCUCUUGUGAUCCGCAAGAAGCGGCGCCGCCGGAGCAUCGCCAGUCUUAGUCCUUGCUCGAAGCGUUAGUCCCUCCAUCCAAGUCUGCCUCUUCCUGACCCCAAGCUUUCCUUUUCAGGAAGAAGGUGAGUUGCUGACCCUAAGUCCGCCUCGCCCGACCCCUCCUAUCCGCCCGACCCCAGUUCCGUCUCGUCCGCCCCUGUCUGUUCCGCCGACCCUUGUCCGCCUCGCCCGAGGGCUUGGCUGUGAUCUUUUUCUUCAACUCGAGGGUGUAUGUGUAAAACGUGGGAACCCUUCAGCGCUUGCGUCUGAGGAUCCCAGUUAUCACAUCCUCUAGUUCAAGGAUCAGACCACUAGUUUCCCUUCCUACCCUUACCUGUUGAUCAUCAUCAGCUCUCUCAAACCGCCUCAACCUCCUGCUCUUUGUCGCAAGUUUCUGGACUCAGGCGAGCCAGUGUUGCUGUCGAAUCAAACGUUUAAGCUAACCCUUGCAUUGCAUUCGUGUAGAGCUGCACCUCGCUGACGGCUUCUACGAGCUGCACCCGGCGCCAGAAGAAGAAGCUGUAGCCGAGUUCCUGCCCGCGGAAGUCGAAGCCGCCCCCGAAGUCGAGCAGUUCCAGCCCUCUUUGCUUGCAGGCAAGCCCCGGUUGCAUGAAAAUCCUACGUGUUUUGUCAAACAUGCGCAUGCCUUCCGUAUAGCAUGUUGUGCAUUUACGUUAGGAGUUGUGUGAAACCCUAGAUGCACGACCUAGUAACCCUUGAGAUGAGCACUAGCUGUUGGACCGAGUAGCUGCAUUGCUUAAAUAGGAGACGGUAAAAGCCGAGUGAUCUCCUGUCACUCGCGAGUUGUAGGAGUUGCAUGUUUUACUCUCCUGUUACAACUAUAAGGACGAUGGACGGGGCAGGGUUUGGUAACUCUUUGGUGGUCGGAUGGACGCCCCAUCUGUCUAUGAAAAUUGGUUAAGGCCCGAUAGUGGUGGUGUUCAUGAUCAAGUGUUUGAAAGUACUAGCCUCAUACUUAGUAUGGGAUGAGGAAGCCUAGUACCUGAUUGAACCUAGACGUGAGCGGUCGCCCCAUUGUUCUUGGAACGGAGUUUCCCCUGCUGGUUGUCGCACGUGGUGGCAAAGCGUGGUCACAGAACGGCAGAGGCCGGGUCUGUGGAACCUUGCACCAAAGGAAAUGGGCCCGACAUGGGUUAGGGGAUUGAUGGGGAAGGCCGACACAGGAAGCGACCUCCGGGUGCGCGGAUGUCGUGAGGCUAGGUUCACCAUGCAUGGUUAAAGAACUCGAAUCGAUUCGUCUGCCUCUCACAGUCUGAGAUUUCUUGAUCGCUAUGUCACCCUGAGUAAAUGAGGAAUCUGAUGAUGGCAAUAUUGUUGUUUUAUCUACACAUCUUGAUUAGCUUGAUGUUUUCUUAGAAUAGGUUGCACAACUUAGACUGGUAAGUGAACCUAGAACCGGAGCUAAAACUUGAAAUUAAGGUUACUUAGUGCUUUUGGCAAACAAACCCCUCAGCCAAGAAGCCUUGCAUGUCUAGUUAGAAGAGUCGCUGACUCCCGGGUUAAGUCUUGUUGAGCUUAGUAGCUCAGCCUUGUUGUGGCUCCUGUUUUUCAGGUGAAGUUGUUGUUCCCGACCCCUCCCUUGCUGGCGCUUGGCCGUCCCAGCUCCCGCCAGGCUGGACGGUCGAGUCGGACCCCUCCUUGGACGGCGAGGAGAGGACUCAGUGAUGUUCUGGUUGGCCUCGCCCGGACAUCCGACCCCGACGAAGUCUUCCGCUAGUGUUUUCUCUGUCGUUUUCUUUGAACUUGUAAAACUCUGAUGCAAAUUUUUAUGGCCGAACUAAUCAAGUAAGACUUGCUUAACUCAGUGGACUUGUUGUAUUCUCUGUAACCGCUCACCGUCGUGUGGGUUUGCUAGACUCGAUCCUGUUAAGUGGUUAAAUCGGAGGAAAUCCGACGGCACCCCGUGUUAGCUCGGUUUAAGCAGAAGUGUCGCAUGUUAGGCGACUUAACCUUGCUCAAUCAAGCUAAUCCGAGGUGGUUCCGCCACACCCACCCUCUUCAAGGAAAACCUUAUCAUCCUUGACCUUGAAGGCCUAGAUGUUAUCCUUGGCAUGGAUUGGAUGGCCCGACAUCAUGUUGUUCUAGACACAUCAGCCCGAUCUCUUUACAUCAGCUCACCCUCUCAUGGCAGUUCUACCCUAUCCUUGACCCAUCCUGAGUCUUCGACUCCUUGUGCCUAUCCUCUCUUGGGAGCCCGUUUAGAAGACCUCUCUGUUAUCUGUGAGUACCCAAAUGUGUUUCCAGAAGACUUGCCAGGCAUGCCACCUGACAGAGAAGUUGAGUUUUCUAUAGAGUUGGUUCCUGGCACAGCCCCGGUAUCUAAGAGACCCUAUCGGAUGCCACCCGCUGAGUUAGCCGUGUUGAAGACCCAGUUGCAUGAUCUGUUGGAAAAGGGCUUCAUUCGACCCAGUACAUCAUCUUGGGGUUGCCCCGCCCUGUUUGUGAAGAAGAAAGACGGCAGUUUACGGAUGUGUGUGGAUUACCGACCCCUCAAUGUGGUAACAGUCAAGAACAAGUACCCACUGCCCCGCAUUGAUGUCUUGUUCGAUCAGUUAGCCGGAGCAAAAGUGUUCUCCAAGAUCGAUCUUCGUUCUGGUUAUCACCAAAUCAAGAUUCGACCUUGCGACAUACCCAAGACAGCUUUCUCUACCAGAUAUGGACCGUAUGAGUACCUAGUUAUGUCCUUUGGACUCACCAAUGCACCCACUUACUUCAUGUACCUUAUGAACUCGGUGUUUAUGCCCGAGCUGGACAAGUUUGUAGUGGUGUUCAUUGACGAUAUCCUAGUGUACUCGAAGAACGAGGAAGAGCAUGCCAACCACCUUCAUACAGUUCUCCAACGACUGAGAGAUCACCAGCUUUAUGCAAAGUUCUCCAAGUGUGAGUUUUGGUUAGAUAGUGUCAAGUUUUUGGGACACACUAUCUCCAAGGACGGUAUCGCCGUGGAUCCCAGUAAGGUGCAAGAAGUCAUGGAAUGGAAAUCCCCUGCCUCGGUACACCAGAUCAGGAGUUUCCUUGGACUGGCAGGUUACUAUCGGUGUUUCAUACCGGAUUUCUCCAAGAUAGCUAAGCCGAUGACCGAGUUGCUGAAGAAAGAGGUCAAGUUUGUGUGGGACACCAAGUUUGAAGAAGCUUUCAAGACCCUGAAGCACUUGCUAACCACCGCCCCAGUUUUGGCUCAACCCGACCCCUCUAGGCCGUAUGACGUAUACUGUGACGCCUCUGGCACUGGACUCGGAUGAGUUCUUAUGCAAGACAGCCGAGUCAUUGCCUAUGCCUCACGUGCGUUACGACCUCAUGAGCUGAACUACCCGACCCAUGACCUUGAGUUGGCAGCAGUGGUACAUGCCUUGAAGAUAUGGAGGCACUACUUAAUGGGAGCUCACUGCAACAUCUACACCGACCACAAGAGCCUCAAGUACAGCUUCACGCAAGCCGACCUCAACAUGCGUCAGAGAAGAUGGCUGGAGUUGAUAAAGGAUUAUGAGUUGGAAGUGCACUAUCAUCCUGGCAAGGCCAAUGUGGUAGCCGAUGCCCUCAGUCGCAAACCCCAUUGCCACUGCUUGUUGUCAACAGCCUUCACCAACACUCUGUGUCACGAGAUGGGAAAACUAAGUCUAGAGAUUGUUCCCCAUGGAACCCUUGAUCACAUCAUCCUUAACUCAGUUUUGGAGGACCGAAUUCGGUCAGCACAAGCUAAGGAUGAAGAAAUAAAACGGAUCAUCAGUAAGAUCUCAGUAAAGGAUGAAGGAUAUAAGCAAUUCCGUUAGGACAAAACGGGAGGUGUGUACUGUGGAAACCGACUAGUAGUGCCCGCCGACCCCGAGUUGAGGAAGCAGAUCCUAGAUGAAGCUCAUCUUUCCAAGUUCUCAAUCCACCCUGGCAGCAACAAGAUGUACCAUGAUCUCCGUCAGACCUUUUGGUGGAGUGGGAUGAAACCGGAGAUAGCUCGUUAUGUUUCAGAAUGUGACACUUGUCAACGUGUCAAGGCCAGUCACUUGAAGGUAGCAGGAACCUUGUAGCCGCUACCUAUUCCCUCUUGGAAAUGGGAAGACAUCAGCAUGGACUUCAUAGUUGGGUUACCCCUUACAACUCAACGGUAUGAUUCUAUCUGGGUUAUAGUGGACCGUCUGACCAAGACAGCACAUUUCUUUCCUGUUCGUACCACCUACACAGUCAAGCAAUAUGCAGAGUUGUACCUCGACCGUAUCGUUUCCCUACAUGGUGUACCCAAGACCAUCAUCUCUGAUCGAGGAGUUCAGUUUGUGGCCCGUUUUUUGGAGCAAUUACAAACAUCCAUGGGCACCAAGCUCAUUCGAAGCUCAACGUAUCAUCCCCAAACCGAUGGCCAAACUGAGAGAGUAAACCAGAUCCUCGAAGACAUGUUAAGAGCUUGUGUCAUCCACUAUGACAAAAACUGGGACAAGUGCCUGCCCUUAGCAGAGUUCUCCUACAAUAACAGCUAUCAGGCCAGUUUGAAGAUGGCACCGUUUGAGGCCCUGUACGGCCGAAGAUGCAGGACACCCUUGAACUGGUCCCAACCAGGAGAGAGAUAGGUUUAUGGCCCUGACUUAGUGGCAGAAGCCGAGGAGCAAGUGAAGGUAAUUCAGGCAAAUCUCAAGGCUGCCCAAUCUCGACAGAAGAGUUACUCCGACCAGCGGAGAAGACCCCUGCAGUUCGAUCUUGGUGAUCAUGUGUACCUUCGAGUCUCCCCAACCAAAGGAGUGCAACGGUUUGGAAUAAAGGGGCAAGUUAGCUCCCCGCUAUGUUGGCCCUUAUGAGAUUGUGGAGAAAUGUGGACCCGUUGCUUACCGGAUCCAACUCCCAGAACAGCUAUCAGCCAUACAUGAUGUUUUCCAUGUGUCUCAGUUGAAGAAAUGUGUCCGAGUUCCAGCGGAGAUCUUAGAACAAGAACAGCUUCAAGUAGAACCUGACCUGACCUACGCCGAGUACCCAGAUCGAGUUCUUGACCAAAAGGAAAGGCACACCCGACGCCAAGUGGUAAAGAUGUACAAGAUCCUCUGGAGAAACCACACCGAAGAUGAAGCAACAUGGGAAACGGACGAAUAUCUAAACAAGCAUUUCCCAGGUUUUCUGUCCCAUCAAGAAGGUAAAAGCAGCACACCCUUGAUCUUUGAAUCUCGGGACGAGAUUCUUUUUAAGAGGGGUAGGCUGUAACGACCGACCCCUAACCUUUCCCAGUUAGGUUUGAUCUCAGCCCUUAACCUUAGUCAGCUGUUUUGUAUGACCGCACCUAAGUGCUCAGUCUUCCGCCAGUUCCGACCCCUGGAUCCGACCCCUUCCUGCUUCGUUCCUUUCCCGACCCCGGCGAGCUCAGCCCUCUGUCGGAUCCUGCUAAUCUUCCUCACCCGUCCGAUCUAUCCCUGGUGGACCCGCGAGAUCUUUUUCCAGAUCCCCCGCGCCAGCCGCACUCGAGUUGCAUGGCCGCUUCAGAGUCUUCCUGCCGCGUGGCUCAUCUUCUCCGACGCCAUCGCCCAGUUUUGUCUCUGGCAAGGAACAGAGUGGGUUCCCGCGCCCCUUUUCCCCAAUGGCAGCGGAAGCCCUCUGCACCCCUUUCUGCAGAACCUCGUCUCCCGCGCCCAUCAUCACGCCACCAGAUCCCGGCCCCAGAGCCCGAUGUCGCCCGUCUUUUCCGUCCCUUUCAGCAACAGUUGCGCCGCCCGGUCGUCGCUACGCGACGAUUCCCCCACCGCCAACCCCGACCGCGGCCGCGACAGUUCCUUUUCCCCGCUCUGUCAGAAGCCGCCCGACAAUCUGUUGUUCCGCGCUCUCCCCCGCGCUCGCGUCCGCUUGUCUUCGCACCUGUGCGCCCUCGAUCCUAGUGCCGUUUAACCGGUCGCUUCUAUCACCUCUUCCGCACGACGACGCCCGCUCUCCGCCAAAUCCCAACCACCGGUCUACCCGCGCCUACGCCGCCCUGACGGUAUAGCGCAAUGAUCGCUGGCGUCACCCCCGGAGUUCUGCAGCACCGCCCUGUUUGCUCAAUCGCCGCCAUCGCAGAGCACUCCAUUGCUUCUCCCUGGCCUUCGCGCCGCUCCCCUUCUCUCUCUCCGCGACGUUUCCGUUCCUCUGCUCCAGCAGCUAUAAAAGGAAUGCCCCCAUCACCGGAGUUCCCUCCGCCUUUGUUGCCUUCAGCCUCCUCUAGCUCCCUGCUCAAGCUCCUAGCGCCACCCACCCCGUUCUUGAGAAGUUCUUCUCCCAGUUCCUUCUCAGUUCCUCCAAGUCACCCAGCAGCUUGCUCCUUUGUGCUGCGUAGAGCUCUCUUGUGAUCCGCAAGAAGCAGCGCCGCCACCGGAGCAUCGCCAGUCUUAGUCCUUGCUCGAAGCUUUAGUCCCUCCGCCCAAGUCUGCCUCUUCCCGACCCCAAGCUUUCCUUUCAGGAAGAAGGUGAGUUGCCGACCCUAAGUCCGCCUCGCCCGACCCCUCCUAUCCGCCCGACCCCAGUUCCGUCUCGUCCGACCCUGUCUGUUCCGCCGACCCUUGUCCGCCUAGCCCGAGGGCUUGGCUGUGAUCUUUUUCUUCAACUCGAGGGUGUAUGUGUAAAACUUGGGAACCCUUCAGCGCUUGCGUCUGAGGAUCCCAGUUAUCACAUCCUCUAGUUCAAGGAUCAGACCACUAGUUUCCCUUCCUACCCUUACCAGUUGAUCAUCAUCAGCUCUCUUGAACCACCAUAACCUCCUGCUCUUUGUCGCAAGUUUCUGGACUCAGGCGAGCCAGUGUUGCUGUUUGAAUAAACGUUUAAGCUAACCCUUGCAUUGCAUUCGUGUAGAGCUGCACCUUGCCGACGGCUUCUACAAGUUGCACCCGGCGCCAGAAGAAGAAGCUGUAGCCGAGUUCCUGCCCGCGGAAGCCGAAGCCGCCCCAGAAGUCGAGCAGCUUCCGUCCCCUUUGCUCGCAGGCAAGCCCCGGUUGCAUGAGAAUCCUACGUGUUUUGCCAAACUUGCGCAUGCCUUCCGUAUAGCAUGUUUGUGCAUUUACGUUUAGGAGUUGUGUGAAACCCUAGAUGCACGACCUCGUAACCCUUGAUAUGAGCACUAGCUAUGAAAACUUGCUAAGGCCCGACAGUGGUGGUGUUCGUGAUCAAGUGUUUGAAAGUACUAGCCUCAUACUUAGUAUGGGAUGAGGAAGCCUAAUACCUGAUUGAACCUAGACGUGAGCGGUCGCCCCAUUGUUCUUGGAACGGAGUUUCCCCUGCUGGUUGUCGCACGUGGUGGCAAUGUGUGGUCACAGAACGGCAGAGGCCGGGUCUGUGGAACCUUGCACCAAAGGAAAUGGGCCCGACACGGGUUAGGGGAUUGAUGGGGAAGGCCGACACAGGAAGCGACCUCCGGGUGCGCGGAUGUCGUGAGGCUAGGUUCACCAUGCAUGGUUAAAGAACUCGAAUCGAUUCGUCUGCCUCUCACAGUCUGAGAUUUCUUGAUCGCUACGUCACCCUGAGUAAAUGAGGAAUCUGAUGAUGGCAAUGUUGUUGUUAUAUCUACACAUCUUGUUUGGCUCUAUGAUUGCUUAGAAUAGGUGGCACAACCUAGACUGGUAAGUGAAUCUAGAACCGGAGCUAAAACCUGAAAAUAAGGUUAAUUAGUGCUUUUGGCAAACAAACCCCUCAGCCAAGAAGCCUUGCAUGUCUAGUUGGAAGAGUAGUUGACUCCUCCCCGGUUAAGUCUUGUUGAGCUUAGUAGCUCAGCCUUGUUGUGGCUCCUGUUUUUCCAGGUGAAGUUGCUGUUCCCGACCCCUCUCUGGUUGGUGCUUGGCCGCCCCAGCUCCCGCCAGGCUGGACGGUCGAGUGGGACCCCUCCUCGGACGGCGAGGAGAGGACUCAGUGAUGUUCUGGUUGGCCUCGCCCAGACAUCCGACCCCGACGAAGUCUUCCGCUAGUGUUUUCUCUGUUGUUCUUUUGUUAUAAAACUCUGAUGUUAAUUUUUAUGGCCGAACUAAUGGAGUAAGACUGUUUAAUUCAGUGGACUUGUUGUAUUCUCUGUAACCGCUCACCUUCGUGUGGGUUUGCUAGACUCGAUCCUGUUAAGUGGUUAAAUCGGAUGAAAUCCGAUGGCACCCCGUGUUAGCUCGUUUUAAGCAGAAGUGUCGCGUGUUAGGCGACUUAACCUUGCUUAAUCAAGCUAAUCCGAGGUGGUUCCGCCACACUUUAGCUACCCACAAAUCAUAUUUUGGGUUAGCAACUAUCUCUUUCUUGUCGUCGGCCUUCACCAGUUCCAUGGUCUUGGACGGUUCCUUGAUGGAUCCAUCUAGGAUCCCCAUCAGCUGCGCGCCACGCACAGCCAGGAAAAGCUGAGCUUUUCACAAGACGUAAUUUUCCCGUGUGAGCUUUUCAGCUAUGGGAGCUCCGAGAGGCGCCGGCGGCGAGCUUGAAGAUGACGCCAUGGAGGAGGUGGUAGUCGGGUAGAUGUGUUGUGGAAGAAGGGGGCUCUGAUUACCAUAACGCCAUGGAGGAGGUGGUAGUCGGGUAGAUGUGUUGUGGAAGAAGGGGGCUCUGAUUACCAUGUAAAAUGAUAGAACGUGGUUGCCUAUCUUGGGUCACCAUGGUUGCACGUUAAUAUAUAGGGAGAGUCCCAACAGAUUACAUCCUAAGGCGUUGCAAAUAUUCGGUUCGGUUGGAUAUGAUUACAACAAGAUUCCUAUCUCUAACAACCGAACGAAAGUCUCAACACCUAUAUCUGUAGGAUUACAUAAUCCAAAUUGCAUAUGAUGAUAUCUCUAAUUCCAACAUGUAAUAGAGUAGCGCACACUUUGGCGGCGCGCAAAGAUGUAAGUAUAGUCCUCAUGAUGAUGUCCUAUCUUGGGAUGGUAUGCUUCCGGGUGUGGAGGACCUGGUGGCCAGUGACACCACUGGGUCCUCAUUGCGGUGGAGCAGAGCAAUGGGUGUGUCGCAGCACCAGCGUGGAGCGAUGCGAAGGGGGUGAAGUGGUGAACAGACAUCGAUAAUGAUAUAAACAAAAACAAUCAAGUUACAUGGAAAAUUGGCAAUUGAGGGUGAUUCACUGCUGGAAAACGGACCUUUAGGCCCGGUUGGUAGGGGUCAAAUUUCCCAAAAAUUCAUUUGGGAUUAAUUUUUUGAGAUAAAUGGGUUCUUUAGUCCUGGGUCAUCCACUCGGGAUUAAAGGGGGCCUUUAGUUCCGGUUGGUGUUUCCAACCAGGACUAAAGUGUUUUGAAAAAAAUUAAAAAAAAGACGCAAGCCGCCCGCCGCCCGCCACCCGCCCCGACACCAGCCACACGCCGCUCCGACCUCCGCUCUGCCCCGGCUCUGGCCUCCGCCCCAACCCUGACCCCAGCCCCAGCCUCCGCUCCGCCCCGCGCCGCUCCAUCCCGGCGCCGUCCCGUUCCGGCCUCCGCGCCACUCCGUCGCUUCGAGCAAUUACUGAGAGGGACAUAGGAAUCAGAGGGCGAAGGAUUUUUCAGAGUCAUGCCUCUUGAUUGAGAUCGAUUUUCAGGGGGGGAGGGGGCAGAUGGAGGUCCUGCGCCUGCUCCCGCGUGUCCUGCACCUGUGCGCCACUGCUCGAUGUCCUACCCACGCGCCGUGCCAGCGAGUCCCCCGCUCGCCGCGCGCUGCCGCAGCUCACUCGCCGUGCUCCGUCGCCCCAUCGCCGUCACUGCCCUACACCUCACCCUGCUACUGCUCCUCACUGCCAGUGUGAGGCGAGCAGAAGGGGAAGGGGAGGGGCAGCAGGGGAGGGGGCGGCCACCCACACCGGAGGGAAAGGAGAAUGGAGGAAGGAGAGGAGGAGGAGGAAGAAGAAAGGGAGAGUAGCAGAAGAAAGACUUGCGCGUGAAAGACUUGUACGCGUGGAUAAGGAGAGGGGGGCAGGAAGCUCCUUUUGUCCCGGUUGGAAAUUCCAACCGGGACAAAAGAUCUACCCUUUUUAUCCCGAUUGGUAAUUCCAACUGGGAUAAAAGAUUAAUUCCCGGUUGGAAUUUCCAACCGGGAUAAAAGGGGCGGACAUCAUUGUCAGAUCUUUUCAACCGGGACUAAAGUCCCUCCCGUCGGUGUCCUUGCGGUACUUAUUUUUGAACCAGGACUAAAGCCACUUUAGUCACGGGUCAAAUAUUAACCGGAACAAAAGGGGGUGGAUGGAAGGUCAGUUCUCUAGUAGUAAUCCCUAUUCCUGUGUGAGGAAUCAGGAUGCAGCGUGCAUGCAUAUCGUUUUGCUUAUUCCGGCACUCUCUCUUUAUAUAAAUGAUGGACCGUGAGAUGGAAAAGUUAAUAAUAAGUUUUGAAUUGAAAUUGGGAAAGUUAAGAAAAAGUUUUUCAAUUCAAGUUAUUAUGAUGCAUAACAUUUGGAUUGAUUUAUCAGUCUACACCCAACUAUAUCUGGCAUCAAUACUGAAAUCAAGCCAGUUUUCUAGCAGCACUAAUAAAGUGGCAGCAGCAGGUGGUGUCCAUGUUAGUGCAGGACAUAACAUUCCCAAGACGUCUCUCCAGGCAGUUUCUAAGGCAGGCUUUGUCGCACCUUGGUAGAUGAAAGCACAUCGCUACAUAAUUGUAAAUUUAAAAGUAAUGGUCAAUGAUCGAUUGUGUCAAAUCUAAAAUGUUUGUAAAAAAGAAGACGGUAAGAUCAUGUGCACAUGUGUAAAUACAAUACGUACGUUUUUGUCCUCCAUGCACAAGAGAUGGUGACAAGACCGCCAUGGCUACGACCAUGACCGUCAAAACAGAACCUUGCUGACAGGUGCCAUGAUAGAUGGUGUUUCUAGCUGUUGCUCUUGCGUUUGGUUGUGAGGUUGCCGGGUUAUUGAAAUGCAAUGCUCUGUGUCCAUGUUAAUAUAGAGGCAGGAGGCUGGAGCAAACAUGGCAGUGAAUUAACUCUAGCCAUAUUCUUUGCUACAUUGUAUAGAUGAUAGAUUGGAUAACUCAUGUCAUACUAGUAGAAAUUAUCUUUCAGACCAUAUAUCAUAAACUUCAUUUUUAGCAUUCAUUUAUCAAAUUUAUGAAAUAUUUACCGUUCAUGUUCAUAUAUUUUGACACUUAUGUUUAGCUAUCAUUUAUUUAGUACCUUGUAACAUGACUUAUGUUCAUGUGCAGCGUGUGGACACAAAGGGAGAUCAUUCAUUCGGCGAGCAGGGAAAUGGAGACUGUUGCUUUAGAUAUUUUUAUCAAGAAUGGAUGGAGAAACAAUAAUAGACUCGCUUUUAAUUAUUUUGGUCUUUUGUGUGCUCAAUUCCCUUAGUUAUAUAAUCAGCAGUAUGGCUGAAAAAUUGUAAGCAUAAGCUGCGUGCACUUGCCGAGGCAAGAUUUAGUUCCUUUUUCAAAAAAACAUGACUUCGAAUAGUGGUUGUUAUUUAGCUACCAAGUUAAACUUUGAAUCUAGACUAAAAAAGACCAUCAGCCCAACAUGCAUUCUUUCUGUCCACACGAGUCCUGACCACACAUAUGCGAUGCCAUAAGCCAUGGAUCCCAUCCACUGAAACUGAAAUGCUCGGACUCUACUUUCUCUGCGCAUGACCUGAAACAGCCCACUUCUCCGCACCGUGUGGGGCGGCUUACUAUUUUUUGCUCGUGGAAACUAGCAGCUUCCCGUGCCUCCGUGAGAACUGUAUCUGCUGAUCUCCAUGCCCACCUCGUGAGCACAUAUACGGCAGGUGCUAUUAUUUUUUAUUUUUUAAUAUGUGUCCGUAAUUUGUUAUUUAAUUUAUCUAAAGAUUUCUGACCUCAAAAUAUUAAAUUAAUAUAGUCAACAUUUUAAAUUAAGAAAGUAGCCCACGACGUCAGGUGGAGGCUGUAGCAGCCCAGUUCCGGCUGAGACUUUUAGCCCAAUUCCAUUACCAGAAUGCCAGGAGCGAGCCGCGAGCUCGCCGUUUAUGCAUACAACAUGCUCUCAUGGACAUGGAGGUACUUGUUGGAUUUAAUCUUGUUUUAGUCGUAGGUUUAGGAAGUCAAGUUUGUGUCGGUCGAUGAAUUAGGAAGUUGAGUCCGUGUGCAUGCUGGUUAGUAUUACGUGCAUGGAGUUGCACACGUAGGAAGCUAGCAAGGUUAGUUUAGCAAACGGAAUUGCAUUGGUCGGCGAGCUGUCGUAUACGAUCUCGUAUAGAAGGGAAGCUACGAGUUCGCGGAGUCCGGCAGGCAAUCAAGGAAAUCGGAGUUUCCUAGUUGGAGUCGGACAUCAGAUACUUUUAUGGUCGGAGUACUCGUGAGUCCAGAUCGGAUACAAGUCAGAGUUGUAACUUAUAUGUCUGGCCGGUUAGGUGCUUCGGAAGUCUAUGUGUUCUUUUUUCCUUCUCGUGUUCGCGUGUGCUAGAUUCCGUGAAAUCCCAACAGUACUAACAAGCUUUUUAUUCAAACUAGUUCGUGAUACGUGCCACGACGCACGAUCGAUGAGCGGCGACGACGACGUCGGUAUGCCCGCCGGCGCUCCCAUCCCGCCGUGGGCCGACCUCAAGCCCAGCCUCGUCUCCACCAUCGCCGACUGCUGCGCGCUCAAGGACUACGCCUCCUGCCGCGCUGUCUGCGCCGCGUGGCGCUCCGCGCUCCCGCCACCGCUAUCGCGCCCGCUCGCCGUGCUCCCGGCCGACGACGCACGAUCGAUGAGCGGCGACGACGACGUCGGCAUGCCCGCCGGCGCUCCCAUCCCGCCGUGGGCCGACCUCAAGCCCAGCCUCGUCUCCACCAUCGCCGACUGCUGCGCGCUCAAGGACUACGCCUCCUGCCGCGCUGUCUGCGCCGCGUGGCGCUCCGCGCUCCCGCCACCGCCAUCGCGCCCGCUCGCCGUGCUCCCGGCCGACGACGCCACGAGCCUUCCCGUCUCGCUCGCCGCCUUCCCCCUCUACGUGCGGCGCUGGUCCAGGCUCCUGCUGCACCGGCCGGGCGGCACGGUCGGCGCCGCGGCGCGCUGCCGCUGCGUCGGCGCCUCGCGCGACGGGUGGGUGGCACUCGUCGCGGGCGACGCUGCGGCGCCCGCGGGGCCCAUGCUGUUCAACCCCUUCACCGGUGAGGAGAUCCCGCUGGACGAGUCGCUGUACCAGCCCGCGCACGGCCAGCUGGCACCCAAGAUCGUCUUCUCGCCCAACCCCACGCGCCGCGACUUCACCGCGGCGAGCCUCAUCCGGCCGGACAUGGUCACCGUGCAGAGGGCGGCCGACGGCUGCUCGUACAGCGAGGACACGGGCCCGCUCCUCGACGGGGUCAUCCUGGUCGACAUCGCCUACGGCGACAACGGCAACGUCUACUGCCUGGCGUGGGACGGCGAGGUGCACGUGCUCCACCUCACCCGCCGCCACCGUGUCUUCCGCCAGAUGCCACCGAUGGAGGUGGGGCCGCUGCUGAAACUGCCCAUCGGCGCCGACGCCUUCCCUCCGCCGUACGACGUCAUCUCGGAGUACACGGACGGCAAGAACCUGGUGCUCUGCGAAGGUGGGCUGUACCAGGUAUGGAGGCGGUCGAGCGGCUCCGGCUCCGUCACAGUCGACGCGCCGCCCGGGGGAGCCGCGCGGUGGAUUCACAUAUUCGAGGGCGAUGUCUUCGUCCUCAGGUACGACCCGGGGAACUGGCCGGGCAGCUGCUGGGUGGUGGCCGACGCGAAGGAUCUGAGAGGGAACGCGGUGUUCGUCGGCAUGAACGACGCGGCGGUGGUGCGCGGCGAGGGCGUGAGCGCCAACAGCGUCUACCACUGGGACGGCCCGCGCGGGGGAGACGGAGACUACGAGGCGGUGAAUUACAACGUGGCAACCCGAGCCUCUGUCAGGUGGCCGGCGGUGUCGACCGGAGGCGUGUCGUGCCCCGUGUGGUACUUCUUGCCGGCGGCCGGCGUCAGCCAGCGCGUGGGUUAACAAAUAAUCUUUUAUACUUCCAGAGUGAUAAGACGCAGCUGAAACUACCACGGCCUUUUGUCCAGAACUCGCUCAAGCUGUGUUGCUAAUCGUUAGCCUUGACGGGCGCAGCUUUCUUCUAACUUCUAAGUUGUCGGCGACUUCCUUCACCGCGCCGAUGCCGACGUACAUACGAGGAGGCAGAGCAUCCACCAGAGUACGUCCAGACCAUCACCGUGAUGUGCAUGCUAAUUAACUGGAAAUUAGAGGGAUAGGGGCAUGUUAGAUUUAACUUAAUCUAGCAUAAGCGUGUCAUUAACUUAAGGACGGAAUCUUUGAUUAGUCUAAUUAUGAUCCCUAAUAAUAAUUUAAUGCAGAAAUUAGGCUUGAGGUACAAAUGUCCUGCCUCCGUCCUGCACAAGAGAUUUCGUAAACCAAAUAGGAACAGAAAAGAACACACCGAAUAGAUGGGAGGAUCAUUUUUUGGUGUGAGCCUACGUGAAUGCUAGAUGCAUGAAUACCCAACCAAAAGCGGAUGAGCUAACUGGUGCUCAGAUGCAGGGGCCAUCUUUCAGCAUAUAUACAUGGUUAGGCUAACUAGAGAUAAUGUGCUAACCCUCUCAAGCUGUUUCUCUUCAAAUAUGAUAGUUUGUUAUGUAUGCAUACAUGCUUACUGUGAGAAGUUGGAGGGAAACAAGUUAGCUUGGUGUUUCUAUAUCAUUAGUGAGGAGGAAGCAGCGUCGGUUUUGGUGGAGGAGACACUGUUGGAUUUUUGGUUUCGUAUUGGUCCCGAGGUUGGAGGGCGUGAGCGCCAACAGCGUCUACUACUGGGACGGCCCGCGCGGGGGAGACGGAGACUACAAGGCGGUGGUUUACAAUGUGGCAACCCGAGCCUCUGUCAGGUGGCCGGCGGUGUCGACCGGAGGCGUGUCGUGCCCCGUGUGGUACUUCUUGCCGGCGGCCGGCGUCAGCCAGCGCGUGGGAGCAGAAACAGCUAGCGUGGAUGCCAUGUCUGGGGAGGAAGCGAUUUCUCUCGAACAUAAUGUCCGCAUCCGAUCCGUUCCGAAUCCGAAUUUUAUGGAUACGGGGAAGAGUUUUUGAUAUAAAUGAGGAUAUGGAUAAUCCGAAUCCGAUUGUUUGGGGAUGCGGAGUAGGAUAUGGUUUUAGUGAAAUCCGAUGGAUAUGGAUUAUCCGAUAAUUGAACGCGGAUUGUCCGAGGCUUAUAAUAGGAUAUCCGAUUCUUAAGAUUAAGAAGAAUAAAUGGUGUUUUAUUAUGAAUCCAUAUUCUUUACACUCUUAAGUACGAACUGAGAACUUGUAAUAAUCAACUAUUUUAAUCCGUGUAUGCUCCGACAUCGAUCUGAUUCCGCACCAGUUCCGGCAUCCGAGAAAUGCCUCCAUAACAGCAUCCGUGUAAUUAAUAUCCGCUCCGCUCCGCAUCCGAUAAAAAAUAAUGGAUGAGGACGUGGAAAAGACAUUAUCCGAUCCAAUCCGAUCCGCUUUCGUCCCUAACGAAGACUAACCGAAGAUUUUCGCCCGUGGAAGAGACAAGGCUGUGUCUCUCUGGCGCACUGGGAACUCAACUUGCUGCCUUCCCUUGCAUUCCUCUUGCCUAUAAAUACGGCCUCCAAAGAUCACAAUGCUACAUCAAGAUUCAAGCGGCAGCGUAACUCCAACUCACAGGGACUGAGCUAGGGACAAGCAUCUAGCCAGCGGCCGGCCAGCAGCCAAACCGCGAUGGCGCCCUCCACCAAGACCGCCCGUCUCCUCGCGCUCCCGCAGAUCACGCUGCUCGUAGUGGCCAUGGCCAGCUCCGUUUGCCACGGAGCCCGCGACACUAGUUGGCCCAUCGUCCAUUCUGCUAUUUUCUUCAUACGAGUGUAUGUUUAAUUUGCUAAUAAGUACAGUAAUAACCAUGGGUGCUCCCAACACCGUGUAUUUCAGGGAUAGAUCGCCCCGGCUACCUAUCCCUGCAUGCACCGUCCCGGCACUAUGUGGCCCCGUUAUGGGCCUGGUAUCCCCUGCGGCCAUCGUGUUCCACCGUAUCCUCAUCAUAUACGGAGCUUGGUCAACGUUCAACGUGAUUACCACAUGAGUAUACCCUGGUUCCAGUUGGAUGAUCGAUCAAGCAGUCAGAUACCGACGUGAACACCGGGUUAUUAGACUUGCGCCACCAUAACAGUGUUUCAUGAUUGCACGUUGAGACCACACCUGCUCAUAUUUCUUUCCAUUGGCCUCUACUGUCUCUGUUUUCUUAGUAAAAUACUUCCACAGAAUAGAUGUGCACCUCUUCUGCCUCUUUGUUGUCCCUAUCUCAACAACUUCUGCUUCCUCCUCACCAUCAAGAACAACUGCAUCUGUAGUGGCUAUAGUCCCAGGUCCUUGAGUUUGUGUCUCACUAGAUCCCUCUCCCUGUGUUGAAACAUCGUUGUGUAUAAAGUCGACCCGGUGCAUAGUUUUAUCCUUUUCGUAUGGUGUGGAUGCUAGGGUUGAGUGAGUGGUGCCGUAACCCUAUGUUGUUUUCGGGGAGCCUGUUCAGUUGGCCGACCCUAGUUUGCGAGCCAGAGUGCGCCGACCCUUAAGGCAGUUACCGCCUCGUCCGACCCUUUUCGAGUACGGACCGUAUCCGACCCCUUGGUUCGAGUGGAUCAGACCCUAGGAGUCUGUAUGUGGUAUAUGUGCCUAAAGUGGAGUACCAGGGCAAGUAGAGGCUAUCUAUUUUGCAAAGGACUGCCCCAGGAACAAGAAUCAGCAGCAAGGCCAGAACCCCGUGGCAGCCAGAGGAAGAAGGCCCAAGGUGCAAGUCCGACAAGGCCGACUCAACUACACCAGCUUGACCGAAUUUCCCGAAGGUGCGUCAGUAAUGACGGGUACUUUUCUUGUUUUAAAUCAAGCUGUUGUGGUAUUGUUUGAUUCGGGAGCCUCUCAUAGCUUUAUCGGGAGUAAGGCAAGGGAAAGAUGUGGGCUAAGUGUAGGUCACACUAAGGAACCCUAUGUGAUCGCCACUCCUGGAGGAAGGAUAACGUCGGAUCAGGUCGUUAAUCUUGUACCUCUCCAGCUAGGCCCCACCCUCUUCAAGGAAAACCUUAUCAUCCUUGACCUCGAAGGCCUAGAUGUCAUCCUUGGCAUGGAUUGGAUGGCCCGACAUCAUGUUGUUUUAGAUACAUCAACCCGAUCUCUUUUCAUCAGCUCGCCCUCUCAUGGCAGUUCUACCCUAUCCUUGACCCAUCCUGAGUCUUUGACUCCUUGUGCCUAUCCUCUCUUGGGAGCCCGUUUAGAAGACCUCCCUGUUAUCUGUGAGUACCCAGAUGUGUUUCCAGAAGACUUGCCAGGCAUGCCACCUGACAGAGAAGUGGAGUUUUCCAUAGAGUUGCUUCCUGGCACAGCCCCGAUAUCUAAGAGACCCUAUCGGAUGCCACCCGCUGAGUUAGCCGUGUUGAAGACCCAGUUGCACGAUCUGUUGGAAAAGGGCUUCAUUCGACCCAGUACAUCAUCUUGGGGUUGCCCCGCCCUGUUUGUGAAGAAGAAAGACGGCAGUUUACGGAUGUGUGUGGAUUACCGACCCCUCAAUGCGGUAACAGUCAAGAACAAGUACCCACUGCCCCGCAUUGAUGUCUUGUUCGAUCAGUUAGCCGGAGCAAAAGUGUUCUCCAAGAUCGAUCUUCGUUCUGGUUAUCACCAAAUCAAGAUUCGACCUUGCGACAUACCCAAGACAGCUUUCUCUACCAGAUAUGGACUGUAUGAGUACCUAGUCAUGUCCUUUGGACUCACCAAUGCACCCGCUUACUUCAUGUACCUUAUGAACUCGGUGUUUAUGCCCGAGCUGGACAAGUUUGUAGUGGUGUUCAUUGACGAUAUCCUAGUGUACUCGAAGAACGAGGAAGAGCAUGCCAACCACCUUCAUACAGUUCUCCAACGACUGAGAGAUCACCAGCUUUAUGCAAAGUUCUCCAAGUGUGAGUUUUGGUUAGAUAGUGUCAAGUUUUUGGGACACACUAUCUCCAAGGACGGUAUAGCCGUGGAUCCCAGUAAGGUGCAAGAGGUCAUGGAAUGGAAGUCUCCUGCCUCGGUACACCAGAUCAGGAGUUUCCUUGGACUGGCAGGUUACUAUCGGCGUUUUAUACCGGAUUUCUCCAAGAUAGCUAAGCCUAUGACCGAGUUGUUGAAGAAAGAGGUCAAGUUUGUGUGGGACACCAAGUGCGAACAAGCUUUCAAAACCCUGAAGCACUUGCUGACCACCGCCCCAGUGUUGGCUCAACCCGACCCCUCUAGGCCGUAUGACGUAUACUGUGACGCCUCUGGCACUGGACUCGGAUGUGUUCUUAUGCAAGACAGCCGAGUCAUUGCCUAUGCCUCACGUGCGUUGCGACCUCAUGAGCUGAACUACCCAACCCAUGAUCUUGAGUUGGCAGCAGUGAUACAUGCCUUGAAGAUAUGGAGGCACUACUUAAUGGGAGCUCACUGCAACAUCUACACCGACCACAAGAGCCUCAAGUACAUCUUCACGCAAGCCGACCUCAACAUGCGUCAGAGAAGAUGGCUGGAGUUGAUAAACGAUUAUGAGUUGGAAGUGCACUAUCACCCUGGCAAGGCCAAUGUGGUAGCCGAUGCCCUCAGUCGCAAACCCCAUUGCCACUGCUUGUUGUCAACAGCCGUCACCAACACUCUGUGUCACGAAAUGGGAAAACUAAGUCUAGAGAUUGUUCCCCAUGGAACCCUUGAUCACAUCAUCCUUGACUCAGUUUUGGAGGACCGAAUUCGGUCAGCACAAGCUAAGGAUGAAGAAGUAAAACGGAUCAUCAGUAAGAUCUUGGUAAAAGACGAGGGAUAUAAGCUUUUCCGUCAGGACCAAACGGGAGGUGUGUAUUAUGGAAACCGACUAGUAGUGCCCGCCGACCCCGAGUUGAGGAAGCAGAUCCUAGAUGAAGCUCAUCUUUCCAAGUUCUCAAUCCACCCUGGCAGCAACAAGAUGUACCAUGAUCUCCGUCAGACCUUUUGGUGGAGUGGGAUGAAACCGGAGAUAGCUCGUUAUGUUUCAGAAUGUGACACUUGUCAACGUGUCAAGGCCAGUCACUUGAAGGUAGCAGGAACCUUGCAGCCGCUACCUAUUCCCUCUUGGAAAUGGGAAGACAUCAGCAUGGACUUCAUAAUUGGGUUACCCCUUACAACUUAACGGUAUGAUUCUAUCUGGGUUAUAGUGGACCGUCUGACCAAGACAGCACAUUUCUUUCCUGUUCGUACCACCUACACAGUCAAGCAAUAUGCAGAGUUGUACCUCGCCCGUAUUGUUUCCCUACAUGGUGUACCCAAGACCAUCAUCUCUGAUCGAGGAGUUCAGUUUGUGGCCCGUUUUUGGGAGCAAUUACAAACAUCCAUGGGCACCAAGCUCAUCCGAAGCUCAACGUAUCAUCCCCAAACUGAUGGCCAAACCGAGAGAGUAAAUCAGGUCCUCGAAGACAUGUUAAGAGCUUGUGUCAUCCACUAUGACAAAAAUUGGGACAAGUGCCUGCCCUUAGCAGAGUUCUCCUACAAUAACAGCUAUCAGGCCAGUUUGAAGAUGGCACCGUUUGAGGCCCUGUAGGGCCGAAGAUGCAGGACACCCUUGAACUGGUCCCAACCAGGAGAGAGAUAGGUUUAUGGCCCUGACUUAGUGGCAGAAGCCGAGGAGCAAGUGAAGGUAAUUCAGGCAAAUCUCAAGGCUGCCCAAUCGCGACAGAAGAGUUACUCUGACUAGAGGAGGAGACCCCUGCAGUUCGACCUUGGUGAUCAUGUGUACCUUCGAGUCUCCCCAACCAAAGGAGUGCAACGGUUUGGAAUAAAAGGCAAGUUAGCUCCCCGCUAUGUUGGCCCUUAUGAGAUUGUGGAGAAAUGUGGACCUGUUGCUUACCGGAUCCAACUCCCAGAACCGCUAUCAGCCAUACAUGAUGUUUUCCAUGUGUCUCAGUUGAAGAAAUGUGUCCGAGUUCCAGCAGAGAUCUUAGAACGAGAACAGCUUCAAGUAGAACCUGACCUGACCUACGCCGAGUACCCAGACCGAGUUCUUGACCAAAAGGAAAGGCACACCCGACGCCAAGUGGUAAAAGAUGUACAAGAUCCUCUGGAGAAACCACACCGAAGAUGAAGCAACAUGGGAAACGGAAGAAUAUCUGAACAAGCGUUUCCCAGGUUUUCUAUCCCAUCAAGAAGGUAAGAACAGCACACCCUUGAUCUUGAAUCUCGGGACGAGAUUCUUUUUAAGAGGGGUAGGUUGUAACGACCGACCCCUAACCUUUCCCAGUUAGGUUUGAUCUCAGCCCUUAACCUCAGUCAGCUGUUCUGUUGACCGCACCUAAGUGCUCAGUCUUCCGCCAGUUCCGACCCCUGAGAUCCGACCCCUACCGUUUCGUUCCUCUUCCGACCCUGGCGAGUUCAGCCCUCCGUCGGAUCCUGCUGAUCUUCCUCGCCCGUCCGAUCUAUCCCCCGGUGGACCCGUGAGAUCUUUUUCCAGAUCCCCCGCGUCAGCCGCACUCGAGUUGCAUGGCCGCCUCAGAGUUUUCCUGCCGCGUGGCUCGUCUUCUCCGACGCCAUCGCCCAGUUUUGUCUCUGGCAAGCAACAGAGUGGGUUCCCGCGCCCCUUUUCCCCAAUGGCAGCGGAAGCCCUCUGCACCCUUUCUGCAGAACCUCGUCUCCCGCGCCCAUCAUCACGCCACCAGAUCCCGGCCCCAGAGCCCGAUGUCGCCCGUCUUUUCCGUCCCUUUCAGCAACAGUUGCGCCGCCCGGUCGUCGCUACACGACGAUUCCCCCACCGCCAACCCCGACCGCGGCCGCGACAGUUCCUUUCCCCGCUCUGUCAGAAGCCGCCCGACAAUCUGUUGUUCCGCGCUCUCCCCCACGCCGCGUCCGCUUGUCUUCCCACCUGUGCGCCCUCGAUCCUAGCACCGUUUAACCGGUCGCUUCUAUCACCUCUUCCGCACGACGACGCCCGCUCUCCGCCAAAUCCCAACCACCGGUCUACCCGCGCCUACGCCGCCUUGACGGAGUAGCGCAAUGAUCGCUGGCGUCACCCCCGGAGUUCUGCAGCACCGCCCGGUUUGCUCAAUCGCCGCCACGGCAGAGCACUCCAUUGCUUCUCCCCGGCCUUCGUGCCGCUCCCCUUCUCUCUCUCCGCGACGUUUCCGUUCCUCUGCUCCAGCAGCUAUAAAAGGAAUGCCCCCGUCACCGGAGUUCCCUCCGCCUUUGUUGCCUUUAGUCUCCUCUAGCUCCCUGCUCAAGCUUCUAGCGCCACCCACCCAGUUCUUGAGAAGUUCUUCUCCCAGUCCUUCUCAGUUCCUCCAAGUCACCCAGCAGCUUGCUCCCUUGUGCUGCGUAGAGCUCUCUUGUGAUCCGCAAGAAGCGGCGCCGCCGGAGCAUCGCCAGUCUUAGUCCUUGCUCGAAGCGUUAGUCCCUCCAUCCAAGUCUGCCUCUUCCCGACCCCAAGCUUUCCUUUCAGGAAGAAGGUGAGUUGCUGACCCUAAGUCCGCCUCGCCCGACCCCUCCUAUCCGCCCGACCCCAGUUCCGUCUCGUCCGACCCUGUCUGUUCCGCCGACCCUUGUCCACCUCGCUCGAGGGCUUGGCUGUGAUCUUUUUCUUCAACUCGAGGGUGUAUGUGUAAAACGUGGGAACCCUUCAGCGCUUGCGUCUGAGGAUCCCAGUUAUCACAUCCUCUAGUUCAAGGAUCAGACCACUAGUUUCCCUUCCUACCCUUACCUGUUGAUCAUCAUCAGCUCUCUCAAACCGCCUCAACCUCCUGCUCUUUGUCGCAAGUUUCUGGACUCAGGUGAGCCAGUGUUGCUGUCGAAUCAAACGUUUAAGCUAACCCUUGCAUUGCAUUCGUGUAGAGCUGCACCUCGCUGACGGCUUCUACGAGCUGCACCCGGCGCCAGAAGAAGAAGCUGUAGCCGAGUUCCUGCCCGCGGAAGUCGAAGCCGUCCCCGAAGUCGAGCAGUUCCAGCCCUCUUUUCUUGCAGGCAAGCCCCGGUUGCAUGAAAAUCCUACGUGUUUUGUCAAACUUGCGCAUGCCUUCCGUAUAGCAUGUUGUGCAUUUACGUUAGGAGUUGUGUGAAACCCUAGAUGCACGACCUAGUAACCCUUGAGAUAAGCACUAGCUGUUGGACCGAGUAGCUGCAUUGCUUAAAUAGGAGACGGUAAAAGCCGAGUGAUCUCCUGUCACUCGCGAGUUGUAGGAGUUGCAUGUUUUACUCUCCUGUUACAACUAUAAGGACGAUGGACGGGGCAGGGUUUGGUAACUCUUUGGUGGUCGGAUGGACGCCCCAUCUGUCUAUGAAAAUUGGUUAAGGCCCGACAGUGGUGGUGUUCGUGAUCAAGUGUUUGAAAGUACUAGCCUCAUACUUAGUAUGGGAUGAGGAAGCCUAGUACCUGAUUGAACCUAGACGUGAGCGGUCGCCCCAUUGUUCUUGGAACGGAGUUUCCCCUGCUGGUUGUCGCACGUGGUGGCAAAGCGUGGUCACAGAACGGCAGAGGCCGGGUCUGUGGAACCUUGCACCAAAGGAAAUGGGCCCGACACGGGUUAGGGGAUUGAUGGGGAAGGCCGACACAGGAAGCGACCUCCGGGUGCGCGGAUGUCGUGAGGCUAGGUUCACCAUGCAUGGUUAAAGAACUCGAAUCGAUUCGUCUGCCUCUCACAGUCUGAGAUUUCUUGAUCGCUACGUCACCCUGAGUAAAUGAGGAAUCUGAUGAUGGCAAUAUUGUUGUUUUAUCUACACAUCUUGAUUGGCUUGAUGUUUGCUUAGAAUAGGUUGCACAACUUAGACUGGUAAGUGAACCUAGAACCGGAGCUAAAACUUGAAAUUAAGGUUACUUAGUGCUUUUGGCAAACAAACCCCUCAGCCAAGAAGCCUUGCAUGUCUCGUUAGAAGAGUCGCUGACUCCCGGGUUAAGUCUUGUUGAGCUUAGUAGCUCAGCCUUGUUGUGGCUCCUGUUUUUCAGGUGAAGUUGCUGUUCCCGACCCCUCCCUUGUUGGCGCUUGGCCGUCCCAGCUCCCGCCAGGCUGGACGGUCGAGUGGGACCCCUCCUCAGACGGCGAGGAGAGGACUCAGUGAUGUUCUGGUUGGCCUCGCCCGGACAUCCGACCCCGACGAAGUCUUCCGCUAGUGUUUUCUCUGUCGUUUUCUUUGAACUUGUAAAACUCUGAUGCAAAUUUUUAUGGCCGAACUAAUCAAGUAAGACUUGCUUAACUCAGUGGACUUGUUGUAUUCUCUGUAACCGCUCACCGUCGUGUGGGUUUGCUAGACUCGAUCCUGUUAAGUGGUUAAAUCGGAGGAAAUCCGACGGCACCCCGUGUUAGCUCGGUUUAAGCAGAAGUGUCGCAUGUUAGGCGACUUAACCUUGCUCAAUCAAGCUAAUCCGAGGUGGUUCCGCCACAGCUGGUAUCAGAGCCGAGUUUAGCAUAUCAGAGAACCCAAUGAGCCCUAACCACUUCUUUGAAAAUAUAAAAGUUGCAAGAACCUUUCGAAAAUCUCGUACGAACGUUAAGGAUGACUUAGUGCGAGAGGCCCUAGGGGAUUUUGGGGUUGUUUUAGGUGACUAAUAAGUAUCUGGUUAUGUUGCUAACUCCUCCAGCACUUCGCCAUGUCUAUCAUACGUGUGCCGAGUUCCGCAUCGCGAGCAUGCGAGGGUUGAUAGGGAGUUCCAUUCAAGGGACCCUAUCUUCGCGGUUGUUUUCGCCCACGUCUAUUAUACGUGCGCAGGUUCCGUAUGUGAUCCAUACGAAGGUUGAUAUGGUUCGAUUCCAACGAACCUAUUGGCACGGUUGUUUCGCCACGUUUGUCAUACGCGUGCCGAUGCCGCAUCACGAGUAUGCGAAGGGUUAUAUGGUUCUAUUCGAAAGGAACCUAUUUCCACGGUUGAGUGUUGUCCAUGCAGCCUUAGACGCAUGGGUGCUGUUCCUAUAGUGAACGGUAAUGUUUGGGAACGCUUUCGUGGGUGCUGGCACGAAAGGUUCGUGUGUGGUGUUUCUGCAGGUUGCUAACCGCGCUCGUUAAGACGUUGCUAGAACCGACUAGUUAAUAUAAGGAGAGACGUAUUGUUGCCUUGUCACCGGCGUUGACCGCGUAAGACCCAAGGUUCGGGCAGUUGUUUCGGUUAAGAGUACGGUAGGCCGUGCAUGCGUCAUACCUAAAAUCUGUAAUGUUUCCUUCUCAACAGCAACCCUGUCCGAUAGAGUUCUUUUGGAUCUAAGGAUUUCUAGCUCCUCUUAGUUGCUCUCGGUUAAGCCCUUCUGCUUCUCUAUCCGACCCCUGAUCCUUGGAGUUAUCUCACGUGGCUUCGGUUUUCUUGGUUCCAGAUGGCUGUUCCCGGGCAUGUGGUGUUUGGAGCGGACGGUACCUUCCAAUCAACAUGCCUGCAUUUCGAGGGGUUUCCCGCGAUCUUGUGGGAUACGUUGAGAUGGUUUGGGUAUCAGUCCCCGCCCCUGUAUUCUGGGCGGCUGUAUGUGGAGCAGGGCAUCCAGACGUGCCAGGUGCAAGCGCUGGUACCACCUCCUCUUGCGCGGCCCGACUGGCCCUCUCUGGGCAUCAUAGCCUACGGUCUUUCUCCGGAAGAUACGUGGGAAUCCGCCGCUCUUCAGUUACUCACGCAGUUCUGUCAGUUCCACCCUGUGGAGAUCACACUGGACCCGAUCGGUCUUUUUCCCGUAAGGAGUCGGCUGGACCCGGCCUGGCUGGACCGCAUCGGAAACCUCGAGGUGUUGGACACUACCUGUGCUAUGGUCACCAUCUCCACCAACAUCCGUUGCAUGGUUGCUUUCUACCGGCUGAUAGAGCUCCAAGGAAGAGCCAUGACUCUCUUUGCCCGGACGGCUGCAGACACCCACGGGUACCUCCAGGCAGCUAGAAGAGACCUGGUAGGCCAAACCUACCAGCUGAUCCAACGUGGAAUCCAGAUCCACGACAUGCAAGACCGGAUCUCCGAGCUGGAAGGAGAAGUUGCCGACCUCGUGGACGGCAUGAUCGAGCUCUCGGAGGAGAAGAUGGAGGUGGAAAUGGAGUUGGCCGUUGCCAAUGCCCACCUAGAGGAGCACCAAGCUGAGCUUGAAGAUAUGCAUGCUCUCAACAUGCAGCUUGAAGCUCAGGAGGACCCUGAGGAAGACGAGGGAGCGUCCAGCAUGGACAUAGAAGAAGAUGGCGCCCCUUCUCCGACUCAUAGUGUCCAGUGGUAGCUUAAGGGUUCUCAGGGAACCUUCUUUCUUUUGUUGUACUCCUCGGCAGCCUAGUUUUGGAAAGCUGUAAUAGGUUAGCCUUGAGUUGAGUACUCCCGGUGUUGAAACAUCGUUGUGUAUAAAGUCAACCCGGUGCAUAGUUUUAUCCUUUUCGUAUGGUGUGGAUGCUAGGGUUGAGUGAGUGGUGCCGUAACCCUAUGUUGUUUUCGGGGAGCCUGUUCAGUUGGCCGACCCUAGUUUGCGAGCCAGAGUGCGCCGACCCUUAAGGCAGUUACCGCCUCGUCCGACCCUCUUCGAGUACGGACCGUAUCCGACCCCUUGGUUUGAGUGGAUCAGACCCUAGGAGUCUGUAUGUGGUAUGUGUGCCUAAAGUGGAAUACCAGGGCAAGUAGAGGCUAUCUAUGUUGAAAAUGGGAGGAAUGUGCUUCCUCUAUGAGGACGUGUGAUGCACCAUUGGCAAGAGUCGCAUUAAAGGAUUUAAGUCAUACGUUCCCAUUUGUUGGAGUACACCUAAGGUUAUGAGAUUGAUGGGGCGUUAACUCUUGCAGAUGGCGCACCGCACCAGGUCAGGAUCUGUGCCCAGUGGUAGUGACCAGCGCCAGGAUCUUCCCCCGCCCCCGCCACCAUCGCCAUUGGAGGCAAUCCUAGCAACUCAAACCGAGCUGCUCAGGCAUCUGGUGCAAGGACAACAACAGCCACAUGGUGGUAGAGCACAGCAGCAGCAGCAUAUCGCAAGAUAUGAGGACUUUCUGGGGACGCAGCCCCCGCUGUUCCAAAAGACCCAAGAACCGCUCGACGCUGAUGCAUGGGUUCGUACGAUCGAAUCCAAGUUCGAGCUCCUCACCGCUCCAUGCCCUGACAACAACAAGGCGCGGUUCGCAGCUCAGCAGCUGCGUGGUUCCGCACGGCUUUGGUGGGACCACUACCAUGCCAUGCGACCUACUGGCCACGUGGUCAGUUGGAACGAGUUUAAGACGGCGUUUAAGGCGCAUCACAUUCCCGAAGGUCUCCUGGAGCGCAAGCUCAACGAGUUUCUGGCCCUCACCCAAGGAACUCGGGAUGUGCUGCACUACGCCCACGCAUUCAAUGACCUAUGCCGUUAUGCUGGCUAUCAUGCGGACACUGAUGAGAAGAAGCGGGACAGAUUCCGCCGAGGACUAAGCUUGGAGCUCAGGGAAAGGCUGAACCCCAUCAGGGUGGACACCUAUAACGAGUUGGUCAACCUGGCCAUCUCCCAGGAGGACUGCAUGCAAGCUCUCAAGGCCGACCAGAAGAGGAAAGCCUCUGUGGCUCUUCCGAGCCCGCCAACCCGAAGGUUUCGGACGAUCCCUCCACAAGCCCCUGGCCAACCCCAACAGUCAGGGAAAUGGAUCGCCCGACCCCCGCCGGCAACAAUGCCUAGUUUCCCAGGCUUCCAACCGCAAGUACCCUGGCCGACCUUGCCAACACCACCUCGUCCGGCAGCCAGUAAUCGGUGUUAUACCUGCGGCAAUGAGGGGCAUUUUGCAAAGGACUGCCCCAGGAACAAGAAUCAGCAGCAAGGCCAGAACCCCAUGGCAGCCAGAGGAAGAAGGCCCAAGGUGCAAGUCCGACAAGGCCGACUCAACUACACCAGCUUGACCGAACUUCCCGAAGGUGCGUCAGUAAUGACGGGUACUUUUCUUGUUUUAAAUCAAGCUGUUGUGGUGUUGUUUGAUUCGGGAGCCUCUCAUAGCUUUAUCGGGAGUAAGGCAAGGGAAAGAUGUGGGCUAAGUGUAGGUCACACUAAGGAACCCUAUGUGAUCGCCACUCCUGGAGGAAGGAUAACGUCGGAUCAGGUCGUUAAUCUUGUACCUCUCCAGCUAGGCCCCACCCUCUUCAAGGAAAACCUUAUCAUCCUUGACCUCGAAGGCCUAGAUGUCAUCCUUGGCAUGGAUUGGAUGGCCCGACAUCAUGUUGUUUUAGAUACAUCAACCCGAUCUCUUUUCAUCAGCUCGCCCUCUCAUGGCAGUUCUACCCUAUCCUUGACCCAUCCUGAGUCUUUGACUCCUUGUGCCUAUCCUCUCUUGGGAGCCCGUUUAGAAGACCUCCCUGUUAUCUGUGAGUACCCAGAUGUGUUUCCAGAAGACUUGCCAGGCAUGCCACCUGACAGAGAAGUGGAGUUUUCCAUAGAGUUGCUUCCUGGCACAGCCCCGAUAUCUAAGAGACCCUAUCGGAUGCCACCCGCUGAGUUAGCCGUGUUGAAGACCCAGUUGCACGAUCUGUUGGAAAAGGGCUUCAUUCGACCCAGUACAUCAUCUUGGGGUUGCCCCGCCCUGUUUGUGAAGAAGAAAGACGGCAGUUUACGGAUGUGUGUGGAUUACCGACCCCUCAAUGCGGUAACAGUCAAGAACAAGUACCCACUGCCCCGCAUUGAUGUCUUGUUCGAUCAGUUAGCCGGAGCAAAAGUGUUCUCCAAGAUCGAUCUUCGUUCUGGUUAUCACCAAAUCAAGAUUCGACCUUGCGACAUACCCAAGACAGCUUUCUCUACCAGAUAUGGACUGUAUGAGUACCUAGUCAUGUCCUUUGGACUCACCAAUGCACCCGCUUACUUCAUGUACCUUAUGAACUCGGUGUUUAUGCCCGAGCUGGACAAGUUUGUAGUGGUGUUCAUUGACGAUAUCCUAGUGUACUCGAAGAACGAGGAAGAGCAUGCCAACCACCUUCAUACAGUUCUCCAACGACUGAGAGAUCACCAGCUUUAUGCAAAGUUCUCCAAGUGUGAGUUUUGGUUAGAUAGUGUCAAGUUUUUGGGACACACUAUCUCCAAGGACGGUAUAGCCGUGGAUCCCAGUAAGGUGCAAGAGGUCAUGGAAUGGAAGUCUCCUGCCUCGGUACACCAGAUCAGGAGUUUCCUUGGACUGGCAGGUUACUAUCGGCGUUUUAUACCGGAUUUCUCCAAGAUAGCUAAGCCUAUGACCGAGUUGUUGAAGAAAGAGGUCAAGUUUGUGUGGGACACCAAGUGCGAACAAGCUUUCAAAACCCUGAAGCACUUGCUGACCACCGCCCCAGUGUUGGCUCAACCCGACCCCUCUAGGCCGUAUGACGUAUACUGUGACGCCUCUGGCACUGGACUCGGAUGUGUUCUUAUGCAAGACAGCCGAGUCAUUGCCUAUGCCUCACGUGCGUUGCGACCUCAUGAGCUGAACUACCCGACCCAUGACCUUGAGUUGGCAGCAGUGGUACAUGCCUUGAAGAUAUGGAGGCACUACUUAAUGGGAGCUCACUGCAACAUCUACACCGACCACAAGAGCCUCAAGUACAUCUUCACGCAAGCCGACCUCAACAUGCGUCAGAGAAGAUGGCUGGAGUUGAUAAAGGAUUAUGAGUUGGAAGUGCACUAUCAUCCUGGCAAGGCCAAUGUGGUAGCCGAUGCCCUCAGUCGCAAACCCCAUUGCCACUGCUUGUUGUCAACAGCCUUCACCAACACUCUGUGUCACGAGAUGGGAAAACUAAGUCUAGAGAUUGUUCCCCAUGGAACCCUUGAUCACAUCAUCCUUAACUCAGUUUUGGAGGACCGAAUUCGGUCAGCACAAGCUAAGGAUGAAGAAAUAAAACGGAUCAUCAGUAAGAUCUCAGUAAAGGAUGAAGGAUAUAAGCAAUUCCGUCAGGACAAAACGGGAGGUGUGUACUGUGGAAACCGACUAGUAGUGCCCGCCGACCCCGAGUUGAGGAAGCAGAUCCUAGAUGAAGCUCAUCUUUCCAAGUUCUCAAUCCACCCUGGCAGCAACAAGAUGUACCAUGAUCUCCGUCAGACCUUUUGGUGGAGUGGGAUGAAACCGGAGAUAGCUCGUUAUGUUUCAGAAUGUGACACUUGUCAACGUGUCAAGGCCAGUCACUUGAAGGUAGCAGGAACCUUGUAGCCGCUACCUAUUCCCUCUUGGAAAUGGGAAGACAUCAGCAUGGACUUCAUAGUUGGGUUACCCCUUACAACUCAACGGUAUGAUUCUAUCUGGGUUAUAGUGGACCGUCUGACCAAGACAGCACAUUUCUUUCCUGUUCGUACCACCUACACAGUCAAGCAAUAUGCAGAGUUGUACCUCGACCGUAUCGUUUCCCUACAUGGUGUACCCAAGACCAUCAUCUCUGAUCGAGGAGUUCAGUUUGUGGCCCGUUUUUGGGAGCAAUUACAAACAUCCAUGGGCACCAAGCUCAUUCGAAGCUCAACGUAUCAUCCCCAAACCGAUGGCCAAACUGAGAGAGUAAACCAGAUCCUCGAAGACAUGUUAAGAGCUUGUGUCAUCCACUAUGACAAAAACUGGGACAAGUGCCUGCCCUUAGCAGAGUUCUCCUACAAUAACAGCUAUCAGGCCAGUUUGAAGAUGGCACCGUUUGAGGCCCUGUACGGCCGAAGAUGCAGGACACCCUUGAACUGGUCCCAACCAGGAGAGAGAUAGGUUUAUGGCCCUGACUUAGUGGCAGAAGCCGAGGAGCAAGUGAAGGUAAUUCAGGCAAAUCUCAAGGCUGCCCAAUCUCGACAGAAGAGUUACUCCGACCAGCGGAGAAGACCCCUGCAGUUCGACCUUGGUGAUCAUGUGUACCUUCGAGUCUCCCCAACCAAAGGAGUGCAACGGUUUGGAAUAAAGGGGCAAGUUAGCUCCCCGCUAUGUUGGCCCUUAUGAGAUUGUGGAGAAAUGUGGACCCGUUGCUUACCGGAUCCAACUCCCAGAACAGCUAUCAGCCAUACAUGAUGUUUUCCAUGUGUCUCAGUUGAAGAAAUGUGUCCAAGUUCCAGCGGAGAUCUUAGAACAAGAACAGCUUCAAGUAGAACCUGACCUGACCUACGCCGAGUACCCAGAUGGAGUUCUUGACCAAAAGGAAAGGCACACCCGACGCCAAGUGGUAAAGAUGUACAAGAUCCUCUGGAGAAACCACACCGAAGAUGAAGCAACAUGGGAAACGGACGAAUAUCUGAACAAGCGUUUCCCAGGUUUUCUGUCCCAUCAAGAAGGUAACAGCAGCACACCCUUGAUCUUUGAAUCUCGGGACGAGAUUCUUUUUAAGAGGGGUAGGCUGUAACGACCGACCCCUAACCUUUCCCAGUUAGGUUUGAUCUCAGCCCUUAACCUUAGUCAGCUGUUUUGUUUGACCGCACCUAAGUGCUCAGUCUUCCGCCAGUUCCGACCCCUGGAUCCGACCCCUUCCUGCUUCGUUCCUUUCCCGACCCCGGCGAGCUCAGCCCUCCGUCGAAUCCUGCUAAUCUUCCUCACCCGUCCGAUCUAUCCCCGGUGGACCCGCGAGAUCUUUUUCCAGAUCCCCCGCGCCAGCCGCACUCGAGUUGCAUGGCCGCUUCAGAGUCUUCCUGCCGCGUGGCUCAUCUUCUCCGACGCCAUCGCCCAGUUUUGUCUCUGGCAAGGAACAGAGUGGGUUCCCGCGCCCCUUUUCCCCAAUGGCAGCGGAAGCCCUCUGCACCCCUUUCUGCAGAACCUCGUCUCCCGCGCCCAUCAUCACGCCACCAGAUCCCGGCCCCAGAGCCCGAUGUCGCCCGUCUUUUCCGUCCCUUUCAGCAACAGUUGCGCCGCCCGGUCGUCGCUACGCGACGAUUCCCCCACCGCCAACCCCGACCGCGGCCGCGAUAGUUCCUUUUCCCCGCUCUGUCAGAAGCCGCCCGACAAUCUGUUGUUCCGCGCUCUCCCCCGCACCCGCGUCCGCUUGUCUUCUCACCUGUGCGCCCUCGAUCCUAGCGCCGUUUAAUCGGUCGCUUCUAUCACCUCUUCCGCACGACGACGCCCGCUCUCCGCCAAAUCCCAACCACCGGUCUACCCGCGCCUACGCCGCCCUGACGGUAUAGCGCAAUGAUCGCUGGCGUCACCCCUGGAGUUCUGCAGCACCGCCCUGUUUGCUCAAUCGCCGCCAUGGUAGAGCACUCCAUUGCUUCUCCCCGGCCUUCGCGCCGCUCCCCUUCUCUCUCUCCGCGAUAUUUCCGUUCCUCUGCUCCAGCAGCUACAAAAGGAAUGCCCCCGUCACCGGAGUUCCCUCCGCCUUUGUUGCCUUCAGCCUCCUCUAGCUCCCUGCUCAAGCUCCUAGCGCCACCCACCCCGUUCUUGAGAAGUUCUUCUCCCAGUUCCUUCUCAGUUCCUCCAAGUCACCCAGUAGCUUGCUCCUUUGUGCUGCGUAGAGCUCUCUUGUGAUCCGCAAGAAGCAGCGCCGCCGCCGGAGCAUCGCCAGUCUUAGUCUUUGCUCGAAGCUUUAGUCCCUCCGCCCAAGUCUGCCUCUUCCCGACCCCAAGCUUUCCUUUCAGGAAGAAGGUGAGUUGCCGACCCUAAGUCCGCCUCGCCCGACCCCUCCUAUCCGCCCGACCCCAGUUCCGUCUCGUCCGACCCUGUCUAUUCCGCCGACCCUUGUCCGCCUCACCCGAGGGCUUGGCUGUGAUCUUUUUCUUCAACUCGAGGGUGUAUGUGUAAAACUUGGGAACCCUUCAGUGCUUGCGUCUGAGGAUCCCAGUUAUCACAUCCUCUAGUUCAAGGAUCAGACCACUAGUUUCCCUUCCUACCCUUACCUGUUGAUCAUCAUCAGCUCUCUUGAACCACCAUAACC